ACAUAAUCUAUUAAUCAUACAAUGAAAUUCAGCUGUAAGUAAAUUGAAUUUUUUUAUGCUUUACUACGUGUCUUCUUUCCUUCUUCUCCUCCAUGUGUCUCUCUAUUUUCUCCUUAAAUAAUCUUAACUCUAGGACUUUCUAAUAAUUGGAUUAUUGUUGUUGUUGUUGUUGUUGUUGUUAUAUUAGUAAAACUCCUCUUAUUAUGUUAUUGAGUUUCUUUUCUUAGGUAAAAAGAAUAUUUCAACGAAUGAUAAAAAAAAAUGAGAGUUUUAACAAGAUUUCAAAAUCUGUCUUAAUUUUUAUUGUCUUUGAUGCAUCUGACAUGUUUGAUCUCUUGAUUAUAACUUGCAAAAGUAGGUACUAUAACACAAUGAUGAUGAUUAGUGAUUGGUGUUAAGAGAAUUUGGGAAAAAAAGAUAUUGGCACAAAAUUUUGUAAACUUUAACUUUUCUAAAUUUUCAGCAAAUAUCAGGGAUUGUAUUGUUAAUAAACAAACAAACACAUCCUUGCCCUUUAAUCUACAUUUGUGUGAGAUCUGCAGCACAAAAACACAAAAAGAAGGGUAUGGUGUACCCGUUGCACCAUAGCUAGAUCCAUAUAUAUAUAGAGAGAGAGAGAGAGAGUGUAGUUUUCUGAUCCGAGAUCUUAAGGUGUAGGAAAAGUCUAGGAAAGCUAUAAAACUGUGUGGUUUAAGUAUUUUAAACCUUUAAAACCCCACGGUUUAUGCGUUUUUCUGAACUUUCGCGCACUUUAAAAUUUCAUAUUAGAACAUUUCUAUAUAUACGUAUGUGUAUAUGUAUGUAUGUAUAAAAUAUCAUUCUCUACUGCAAAUGCCUGUAUUUUUUAAUUAUCGAGACACUGUUAAACUAUACAACUUAAUAGAGUUAAUUUCUAGUACAAUAUAAAAUUAUGUGAUUUAAUAGCAUUAAAAUUUGACUUUAUCAAACCGCACGUUUUAACAGUGUACCCUUAUGAAAAAGAAUGAGGAUACUCUCAUUAGAAAAAGACUAUAUACACACAUACAACCCCACCCUCUUCCUUUCAUUUAAGUUAUUUGAUUUAAUCUCACGGUUCAAAUUAUUUCAUUGAAAUAAAAACUCACGAGUCACAACUUAUCUUUUUAUUUUUUAUUUUCGCUUUCUUCGCGAUGACUCAUAGUACAAAAUUCUCUUUCUUUCGUCCAAGGGCCUUCCCUCCCUAUGAUAGUCACUCUAUCAUAUGAGCUCAUGAUUUCUAUUUUUGCAUGAUUAAUAUCUUCUUUUCAUUUAUUAUGUUUAUGUUUACAAAAGUUACAAGCUAAAUAAGUUAAAUUUUAUUUUCUCUUUCUUCGCGAUGACUCAUAGUCAAAUAUUCUCUUUAGUCUGAGAGCCUUCCCUAUCUAUGAUAGANNNNNNNNNNNNNNNNNNNNNNNNNNNNNNNNNNNNNNNNNNNNNNNNNNNNNNNNNNNNNNNNNNNNNNNNNNNNNNNNNNNNNNNNNNNNNNNNNNNNNNNNNNNNNNNNNNNNNNNNNNNNNNNNNNNNNNNNNNNNNNNNNNNNNNNNNNNNNNNNNNNNNNNNNNNNNNNNNNNNNNNNNNNNNNNNNNNNNNNNNNNNNNNNNNNNNNNNNNNNNNNNNNNNNNNNNNNNNNNNNNNNNNNNNNNNNNNNNNNNNNNNNNNNNNNNNNNNNNNNNNNNNNNNNNNNNNNNNNNNNNNNNNNNNNNNNNNNNNNNNNNNNNNNNNNNNNNNNNNNNNNNNNNNNNNNNNNNNNNNNNNNNNNNNNNNNNNNNNNNNNNNNNNNNNNNNNNNNNNNNNNNNNNNNNNNNNNNNNNNNNNNNNNNNNNNNNNNNNNNNNNNNNNNNNNNNNNNNNNNNNNNNNNNNNNNNNNNNNNNNNNNNNNNNNNNNNNNNNNNNNNNNNNNNNNNNNNNNNNNNNNNNNNNNNNNNNNNNNNNNNNNNNNNNNNNNNNNNNNNNNNNNNNNNNNNNNNNNNNNNNNNNNNNNNNNNNNNNNNNNNNNNNNNNNNNNNNNNNNNNNNNNNNNNNNNNNNNNNNNNNNNNNNNNNNNNNNNNNNNNNNNNNNNNNNNNNNNNNNNNNNNNNNNNNNNNNNNNNNNNNNNNNNNNNNNNNNNNNNNNNNNNNNNNNNNNNNNNNNNNNNNNNNNNNNNNNNNNNNNNNNNNNNNNNNNNNNNNNNNNNNNNNNNNNNNNNNNNNNNNNNNNNNNNNNNNNNNNNNNNNNNNNNNNNNNNNNNNNNNNNNNNNNNNNNNNNNNNNNNNNNNNNNNNNNNNNNNNNNNNNNNNNNNNNNNNNNNNNNNNNNNNNNNNNNNNNNNNNNNNNNNNNNNNNNNNNNNNNNNNNNNNNNNNNNNNNNNNNNNNNNNNNNNNNNNNNNNNNNNNNNNNNNNNNNNNNNNNNNNNNNNNNNNNNNNNNNNNNNNNNNNNNNNNNNNNNNNNNNNNNNNNNNNNNNNNNNNNNNNNNNNNNNNNNNNNNNNNNNNNNNNNNNNNNNNNNNNNNNNNNNNNNNNNNNNNNNNNNNNNNNNNNNNNNNNNNNNNNNNNNNNNNNNNNNNNNNNNNNNNNNNNNNNNNNNNNNNNNNNNNNNNNNNNNNNNNNNNNNNNNNNNNNNNNNNNNNNNNNNNNNNNNNNNNNNNNNNNNNNNNNNNNNNNNNNNNNNNNNNNNNNNNNNNNNNNNNNNNNNNNNNNNNNNNNNNNNNNNNNNNNNNNNNNNNNNNNNNNNNNNNNNNNNNNNNNNNNNNNNNNNNNNNNNNNNNNNNNNNNNNNNNNNNNNNNNNNNNNNNNNNNNNNNNNNNNNNNNNNNNNNNNNNNNNNNNNNNNNNNNNNNNNNNNNNNNNNNNNNNNNNNNNNNNNNNNNNNNNNNNNNNNNNNNNNNNNNNNNNNNNNNNNNNNNNNNNNNNNNNNNNNNNNNNNNNNNNNNNNNNNNNNNNNNNNNNNNNNNNNNNNNNNNNNNNNNNNNNNNNNNNNNNNNNNNNNNNNNNNNNNNNNNNNNNNNNNNNNNNNNNNNNNNNNNNNNNNNNNNNNNNNNNNNNNNNNNNNNNNNNNNNNNNNNNNNNNNNNNNNNNNNNNNNNNNNNNNNNNNNNNNNNNNNNNNNNNNNNNNNNNNNNNNNNNNNNNNNNNNNNNNNNNNNNNNNNNNNNNNNNNNNNNNNNNNNNNNNNNNNNNNNNNNNNNNNNNNNNNNNNNNNNNNNNNNNNNNNNNNNNNNNNNNNNNNNNNNNNNNNNNNNNNNNNNNNNNNNNNNNNNNNNNNNNNNNNNNNNNNNNNNNNNNNNNNNNNNNNNNNNNNNNNNNNNNNNNNNNNNNNNNNNNNNNNNNNNNNNNNNNNNNNNNNNNNNNNNNNNNNNNNNNNNNNNNNNNNNNNNNNNNNNNNNNNNNNNNNNNNNNNNNNNNNNNNNNNNNNNNNNNNNNNNNNNNNNNNNNNNNNNNNNNNNNNNNNNNNNNNNNNNNNNNNNNNNNNNNNNNNNNNNNNNNNNNNNNNNNNNNNNNNNNNNNNNNNNNNNNNNNNNNNNNNNNNNNNNNNNNNNNNNNNNNNNNNNNNNNNNNNNNNNNNNNNNNNNNNNNNNNNNNNNNNNNNNNNNNNNNNNNNNNNNNNNNNNNNNNNNNNNNNCCUUUAUCUCCCCGCAGAUUGGCAAUUGGAAAAUUUUGGCUCUGUAAUUUUUCCAGGAUUUGAAUAUCUAAUUGCAGAACACCGAUAUUGCGAGGGAAAAAAAGAAAAAGAAAAAGAAAAAGAAAAAUUGGACAAAACGUUAAUCAAAUGAACUAUAAUGACAUAUAUUUUAAGGGUUCAAUUAUGGUGCAAUACCACAGUUGUACCUAGUCAUUGAAUCUAAUUAUAGUGACAACUGAAGGAUAGAUUUAAUGGUUGGGUGCAGCUGUAGUAUGAUACUACAGUUGCAUUAUAGUUUUGCUCAUAUUUUAAAAGAAAAAAUUAAAAUAAUAUAUUACUACUAUAAUAACUUAUAUUAUUAAUUUUUAUUCUUUUUAACAUUUUUCUUAACUUAUCAAAGAAGGCUGCAACCAGUCUUUAGAUUCUUCUAUUUAAGGUUCAUGCAUCUGUCAUGAUUAGAGGUGGAGCCAGAAAAUUGAGUCAUAGGGUCAAUAUUAUUUUAAUUGCGUUGGAAAAAAUAAAAUUGAAAAAUUAAGAGUGAACACAAGAAUAUGAUUUUAAUUUGCUCCGCGUCAUCGCAUUGGCAGUCGUCGCCGUCUCUGUUGGGGGGGUGUUGAUCGGUAUUUUACCAUUAUCUAGACCUUUAGGCUAUUUUAUCAAUAAGAGUGAAGUUUAUUUUGUUUAAUAAAAUCUUUUUACUCAUCCCAAGCAAUAAGGGAUUCGGUAUAUAUUUUUAAAACUAAUUUGAAGUUGGUUAGCUUGUAACACAUGAACAGAAUUCCGCAUGGACCCAAACCCAGGCCCUAACCCAACAAGUUCACUUCUUUUCAUUCGCUUUUUUAAGUUUAAUUGAACUGAAAAAAAAAAGGUUUGUUAUUUUGCGUGCUAAAUUUAGAUUGUUAAUGGAUAACUCACAGACAGGACAAACCCUACUGAAGCUUCUUUGUGAUUUCCCAAAAUCAAAGCUCCAAGAAUCAAUAAUCACUAUGAGAAAAUGAAUCACAUACAUUACAUCAAGUCUAUGAUCUAACAAAGUUUGAGAUUUGGCUUAUCUUGAUCAAUUCUUAUUUAAAUAGUCUCAACUUAAAUUUUAAUUUGCCACCUAAAUUUAAAUCAUGAAGAGAAUAUAAGCUUAAUCAUUUAAUUUGAAUUUUUUAUAUUUAAUUUAUUUUGAGAAGGUAAAACUUAUUGUAUUCUUCUAAUUAGUAGUAAGUACUUUUCUUUUUAAUAAUACUUCCUUAUUCCAUCGAGAUAGAUUUAAAAAAAAAACUUUGAUAAUUCCAACUCUUAUUGUUUCAAUAUUAUAUUAACUUCAAAGACGCUUAUAAACUUGGAGAAAUAUUAACAUCAAAUAUGUUUACAAGCAUUGAGAAAUAUUGACGAACUCGAUCUCAAUAGCUCUUACUGUCUUAAUUAACAUCAACGAUAUCAUGAGUGACUUAAAAACAACUAAAGACUUAAGUAAUAACAGUAAAGAAUAUUAUAAGGAAUAUGCAACUUUUUAAGAUAGAAUAAUAUAAUCUAAAACAGAAAGUGAAAAGAAAAAUACAAAUCCGUAGAAAGAAAGGAAAAAAGUUUUUGUUUCUCCAGUCGCCGGGAACUUCCAUGCACAUUAAUAAUUUAAGAAAGCCGAUCUAGAGUUGAAGGCUCUAUACACUUUGGGUUGUUAUCCAAGAAUGAUCCUAGGGCUAGUGAAUACAUCAAUGAAUCGAUCUAAUGUCUAGAAUUAAGCGCUUUAGGUGCUGCCAUCUGUCGUUAUAAAUACUAAAAAGACCAUUGCGUUGACCAGAAAACAUACUGCUGGUUGGUGGUUAAGGAUCAAGUGCUUUUAGAAUCUUUGAAAUGAGAAGAUUUUUGACACUCAUGAAGUAUUGUUUCUUGUCUAUUUAUAUUUGAUAUAUGUAUAUACAUAUUAUCAUUAUUGUUUGAGCUCGUAUAAAUACGAGAAAGAAUGAAUUAUAUAUAUAUAUAUGUAUGUAUGUAUGUAUGUAUGUAGUGUGUGUGUGACAAAGAUUGAACAAAAAAAUAGUAUUACAGGAACACCACCUCUUCAAAUGCAGCUUUUAUUUAUUUUUUUUAUGAAAAAUGAUAAAGAAACUGAAUGAUGACAGAAGAUGAAAUGAAUUAUAUUACUUUGCAGUAUUAUAAUGUUAAUUGAUUAUCUUGUCCUUUUAUAUCGUAUGACGUUAUACUUCAUUCUUCCUUUUUUAUAUUUAAUUUUUCUAUUUAAAUAUUUGUAGUAUAGCUAAUGCUUGCCACGUAAGUUAAUCACACAACAAGGGGCACAUUUGUCGACCCACCCCCUAUAAGUAACGAGUCCCUGCGAAUUUAGUCUCACCUGUUGCUCUCCUCCUCUACAGAAAUUACUCUCUCUAUUUUCUGCAGUUGAACAAACACAAGACACAAGAUGCGGAUUCCGAACUGCGAGUACUGCCGUGGUCAUACUCAUGGGUAGGGUUAUUUUCUAAGUCAGUUAACUUGUCAUCAUUUUCUUUUCAGUUAUUGAUAAUGAAAAUCGUGAGCUGUGUGUUGGGUUGAAAGAAGAACUACAGGAUUAGUGUGUGUGUAUUUAUAUAUACCCAAAAAAAUUUCAAUCGAACUACAGGAUUAAAAGUAUGGCACGAGUUUAUAACAUUAUAAAUAGAUUUUUUUUAUAGUUUAAAAUGUUGUAAAAUCAUGAAAAAGGCAAUUUAUAAUAUUGUAAACUCGUCUUAAAUUUUAAUAUUGGAUUUUAAUUCCACACCUAAAGUUGUCGAAGACUAAGAAGUGAGUUAUUUAUCUCUAUAUAUAGAGAGAGAACAGUAAUAAAGAUGACUGAGAAUACUAAAAAAAAUAAUUAUUUAAUUUUUGUAUUAUUUCACUACAGCAAAAAUAUUUAUCAUAAAUCUAAUUGAUUACUUCCAAUUAUAUAAAUUAAUAGUUCAAACUGCAGUCAAAGGUAGGGCUUUUUCCAUUUUUUAUAGGACUUCACGUCUCUCCAGGACCGCAUCAUAGAGGCAAACCGUAGACAAUAACUUCUCCCGUGCGCAGCUUACGAAUUUUAUCGUAUUAUGCUCUUCAAAGAGCAAAUCCUCUCAAAAUCACAAAAGGUGUUUCGAUUAAUUACAUUCAAGUGGAUACUCUACAAUUCUCGGAAGCAAAUUAUAACUCUGAUCUGCUGUGUUUUUGUGAUUUGCAGGGACCGAAUUAUCCUUUCCUACGCUGUUAUUUUCGGGUUUCUCAUUCCAGUUCUUGUCAAUGUUGUGGCUGCCAAUGCUGAAGGCACAAGCGAGCCCUUGUUGGAGAAGAAUGGCAUAAAUAUGUGGUUUUUUCUCGUGGGACUAGGAGGGUACUGCGCUGCACUUGAUGCUGACAUUAAAUCCCGAAUCCAUCAAGCAAAUUCGUCCGCUGCUGCUGCUACUGCUGAUACAAGUUCCCUAACUCAUCAAAAAAAUUCUUCAAACAUCUGGAGCCUUAUUGCUGUCGUCUUCGGAUCACUUUCUACGGUCUCAUUGGUAUCCAUCCUUGUUCCACGCGUGAUUGGUUAUGUCAUCUUAGGCAUGACUUGGAUUGCCGCAGCUGCUUUUAUUGCUUUCUAUCGAGGUGGCAGAUUAAUCGUGGAUCCUGGUCGUUGCAUUUACAACAAAUUCAUGAAGCCGGUUCUUAGCAAGACUUGGAAUUGUUUCAACGUAAUAACAACAUCAUUCUCCACUACCUUCCUCUCCACAGAGCAGCCAAAACCAGCAUCAAAUGCUUCAAACUAAAGUUUUUUACUUGUUAAAGUUAUAAGUGUGCUAUUAUUUUAAGAAUAUGAUUAUAUUUAAUAUUAACAUGUACUAUUUGGUAGGUGUAGUUCAAGAUUAGAUUGGAUUGCAAUAAUAACUUUUUAUUGUUAUUAUUAAAAUUAAUUAUAAAUAAAUAAAUAUUUAUAGAAUUAUAGUUUAAUUGAAUUGUUACAAAUAAAAAUUAACUUGCUACAAAAUUUAAAAAUUAAAAUAUUUAUAUUUUAUUUUGUUAAAACUAUGUAUAGAUAAAGAUGCUACAAGCUGAAACAACCAUGAUAUUCAGUCACCACUAACUACAGAAGCUUCGAAGCCAAUAUUACACACACACACACACACACACACACACACACGUAGUUAUUUAGAAGAGCUAAAGAAAAUAUAUUUACCAACAAACAUUUUAUACGACUGAAAAUUGAUGCUGGAAAAGCUGUUAAGUAGUUUGCCAAGUCAUCAAUCCCGGUCCUCUUAAAGGGUUUCACACCUACUACUACUUCAAAGAUUUAGAUACUGUGCUCAGAGCUGAGCUUGAAAAACAAAAAGAGAGGAAUUGGAAGAACAACAUGGAUUUUUUUACGGGGGAGAAUUUUAUAAUUUUAUCACUAGUGUUUUAUUAAUGAAACUUACUGGUAAAUAUAUAUAUAUUGUUUAUUGUUGUAUCAAAACAUUAACCAGUGAAAUUAAGGGUAUAUUAGAAAUUAAAGAGGGAAUAUUAAGAAAUUUUAGUCAUUUUAAACAAAUCUGUGAUUGUGGGAGACACUACAAUUUUCCUUUUGUAAAGAGUGAGAAGAGGAAAAAAUUGUGGUGCUCGUACUCUUGCUUUAAUUGCCACUUGGAACUUCUGAUCAAUAAAGCUUAUAGAGAAAAUAUAUGCAUACCCAGGCAACUAAAAUGCGCAUACAAAAACUAUGCUGAGUGAAAAGAUUUAAAGAUCAAAGGCUAGAACCUAUGAUCAAAAUAAGGUGAGAGAGAAAGAACGAAAGAGAUGUUACAAUUACUAAUAUAUUAGAGAGAAAGAGAAAGAAAUUGGGAGAAUGAAAUUCACAGGGAGAAAGAGAAAGAAAUUGGGAGAAUGAAAUUCACAGGGAGAAAAUGCUCUAAUUCAGUUCAUAUUUUCAUACUCUUAUGAUCUGUUCCCACCAGAAACACACUGCCUUUUAUAGGGAAAAUCAAACCAUAAAUAAUAAUAAACCUAAAGACAUGAUAUUAUAAUAAAUCCUUUUUUUUUGAGAUAUUAUAAUAAAUCCUUCAAUCAUUAAAGAUAAUGGAUUAUUAUAAUAAAAGUAAAGAUAUGUUAUUAUUAUAAUAAAAGUAAAGAUAUGUUAUUAUUAUUAAACCUUUAAUCAUUAAAGAUCAAGGAUUAUUAUAACAACGAAGGAAAAUAAUCCCACAACAAAUCAACGCAACAUUAAGAAAUAUAAUAAAAAAUUAAACAAUAGGGUGUUCAAUGGUUCAAAUCGAUUGUAUUUUGUCAAAUGCAAGUCCAAUCCAUCAUUUUUUUUUGGAUUCAAUAUGAUCCAAUUACUAAUUAAAAUCUAAUAUAAUCCAAAUUAAUAAAAGGUGAAAUCCAAUUUAAUUAAUCUGAUUCGAUCAAUCCUAUUGAAAUAAAAAUCUGAAACAAAAAUCAUCAAUUACUUUCUAGAGUUCUAAUUACUAUCAAUUGAAAAAAAAAAGAUCAACUGCUUUGAUAUUUCACAAUUCAUGUAUUUUAUUAUCACAUGGUUAAAGAACAAUUGAAAUUUGAAAAUUGAAAGUAAAAAUUGGUGGCACUCGUAGUUUAUACUCAGUAUUAUUAUACACUUAUAGUAAUACAAAGUUAUGUUUUAUUUUUUUAAGGAAAAUUAGGUUCUAUUUUUUAGCACUUAAAUAUAAAAGUGACAUGUAGCUCUUUUAAAAAAUAAAGAAAAAAAUAUUGUUUGGAUUGUUUAUAUUGAAUCUAAACACACAGAUCCAUAGACCAAUCCAAUAAUAUAAGAUUUUUCAUUUUGCAAUCCAACCUUCACCAUCCAUAAUGUUAGUUCACCACUGGCUAGUUGAUACUAUGCUAACCCACCUACUGAACAUGUGACCAAGCUUUGAUACCACUUGUUGGAUCGAGCAUAUUAUUGCAACUUCCUAGUAGAUCACUCAUAGUUGAAUUGCUCUAGAUUCAACAUGCUUAGCUAUGGAGUUUUAAAGUCAAGGUUGCCAUAUUUCUUUGAAAAUUAAUUGGUGCUUGAAGAAUGGAAUAAAUCAUUUAACUUUAUCUCUUUGUAGUCCUAAAGGUGACUCCUCAUAAGGCCAACAAUAUAGUAUAUAUCGGGUGAGGUUACUUUAACUUAAAAUUUUUGACUUAAAAAUUUAACAUAAAUUUUGAGCCAUUGAUUUCAAGCAAUUCAAUAAUAAAUGUUGAUAGUCAUAGUAGCAUUUAAUGACGGCUAUUCAUCUAUCACUGAAUUUUUAAAAACCAAUAGUUCAAGAUUUGUGCCAAAAUUUCAUCUCACAAAUUUAAAUUUAAAUAGCCUAACUCAUAUAAUCAUCCAAUCAAGUAUAUCUUAUUGUAAUAAAGUUAAGACCACAAUAAAAGAACCAAAAACACAUAUUUUAAUACAUUAUAUGAUAAAAUAUAUUGAUUUUUAUGUUUUUAGUUUGGUCUUGGCUUUAAUAUAAGCAAGUGCUUUUUAAUUUCUUUAAUUAAAUAUAUGAAUUUUUGUUAGGGACUAAAAAUAUCAUCAUUGAUUUUACAAAAAUUAUAAAGAAUUGUGUUAAUUAAGGACCAACAUGACACUACUACUUUUAUUAUAUGUUAUUUUUCAAAAUGUACCGUACCUCAAAAAAUUUUGGCUACCCAUUAUAACAAGUGGGUACUCUCCCCUUCUCCCUCGUCUUCUUUAUACCCAGUUCCCACCACAUUCCUAGGAGAAUGCAGAGUAAUUUUCAUCACCAAAAGCGGUCGCCUCCACCUUUAAGCUAUAGUUUUAAAUUUUCAAAGAUUUUUACUUUAAAUUCUUAACUCGUUGUUAAUUGCCUCAUGCAAGGAAAUAGAUUGAGAGCUAAAUAAAGUAACAUCAUAUCUCCUGCACAUUGACAUAGGGAGUUAAAAUUAUCCACUGGUUUCACUUCAAAACUAGCUUUCCCUACACUUAAGUGUAAGAGAGAUUGUAACAUCUUUCAAGUUUUUUUGUUUGAUAUUCUGGACGAAAACGGUUUUCCGUUUAUUGAGAAAACGGCUAACCGUUUUACUCCAGAGAGCAUGUUUUAUGUUCUAGAGAAAACGGUUCACCGGUUAUUGAGAAAUCGGUUACCCGUUUAUGUACAGUGAGCAACGUAUUUUACAUUCUGGAAUAAAACGGCUCACCGUUUAUUGAGAAAACGGUUAACCGUUUAUUUCCAGAAAGGCGUCAACUAGAAAACGGUUGACAAGCUUGAAAAUUUCAAGUGUUGAUCGUUGCAAAUUCAAACCAAAAGAGUUUUUUGAAGAAGUACCAUUUCGAAUGGUUGCAUUCUUUUGAAUUAACAUCUUCUUCAUAAAGGGAAAGAUAUACAAUUAGAAAAUACAUCAGGUUUUGUAGGUUUUCAUAUAUGUUCUGGAAAUACAAUCUUAUUUGCUAGAGAUUGUACUCAGGAUUUGAUAUAUCUUGGGGGUAAUUUGCCAUUAAUACUCUAUAGCAAACCAAGAUUGGAGAGGGCAAAUAAAACCUUAAAGGAAAGUGUGCAAACACGUCUCAAAUCCUAAGAAAUAUUCUUUGUUCUUUGCCUCCAUAUUCUUAUAAUUCACCAACAAUCUUUAAGGUUUUAUUUUUGUGCAAAUGGAGGUUGAGAAGAGUUUGACAUCAUUUCUGAAUCCUAGUGUCCAUCUCGAUCGUUUUGAUGGAACUAAUUUCACUCGUUGGAAGGGAAAAUUGUUAUUUCUCCUUACUGUUCUUAAAGUGGCAUAUGUUCUUGAUCCGAAAUUGGAACCAUUUCCAGAACCAAGAGAAGAUGAUACCGAAGUUGUUAAGGCUGCAAGGAAACGUCGUGAAGAUGAUGAAUUGAUAUGCCGGGGUCACAUACUCAAUACGCUUUCUGAUAGAUUAUAUGAUCUUUACAAUUCUAUGACUUCUCCGGUGGAAAUUUGGAAUGCUCUUGAAUACAAAUACAAAACGGAGAAAGAAGGUACUGACAAAUUCCUUGUAUCUAAAUAUUUUGAAUUUAUUAUGGUAGACACAAAAUCCAUUCUUGAUCAAAUACAUGAGUUACAAAUUAUUGUUGCUAAGCUUCGAGAGUUAAAAGUUGAAAUUUCUGAAUCAUUUCAAGUUGGGGCUAUUAUUGCUAAAUUGCCUCAAAGUUGGAAUGAUUAUAGAAAGAAACUCCUUCAUAGUAAAGAGAACAUAACUUUAGAAGAAUUGCAAAAACACUUGGUAAUUGAAGAAGAGACUAGGUCUCGUGAAUCCAAGGAUAAGCAUGAUUCUACUAAAGUUAAUGUUGUUGAAGCUAGUAAAUUCUCAAAGAAUUUUAAAGUCAAGAAUGACAAGAAAUUCAAGAAGUCCAGCACACAAAAGUUUUCUGGAAAUUGUUUCUUUUGUGGUAAGAAAGGCCAUCGCCAAAGUGAUUGCAGAUUCAAGAAGAAAAAGGAAGAAGUGAAUUCCCAUAAAGCUAAUGUUAUUGAAAACAAAUCUGAAGAGAUUUGUGCUAUGGUUUCUGAAAUGCAAAUUGGCAUGAUUACUGAAACCAAUAUGGCUGAAACUAAGUCCUAUGAUUGGUGGCUCGAUUCGGGUGCAACAAUUCAUGUUUGUAAUGAUAAGAAAUUUUUCUUAUCAUACAAAGAAGAAAUGGAAGGACAAAUGGUUCUCAUGGGGAACAAUAAUGCAGCCAUAGUAGCAGGGAAAGGAGUAGUUGAGAUCAACUUCACUUCUGGAAAGAAAGUCACAUUGUAUAAUGUCUUUCAUGUACCUUCCGUUAGGAAGAAUCUUAUUUCUGCUAGUUGUAUGUGUAAGCAUGGGCUUAAGAUUGUGCUUGAGGGUAAUACUUGUAUUGUGUCAAAGAAUGGAUUAUUUGUUGGGAAAGGGUAUUCUUGUGAUGGAAUGUACAAACUCAGCAUUAAUAAUAAUAAUAUCAACUUAACUUAUAUUGUUGAGUCUUGUGAUGUUUGGCAUGCUAGAUUAGCACAUUUGAACUUUAGAUCUUUGAAAUACAUGUCUAAGCAUGGUUUGAUUAAUUGCAAUGAUGUUAAAGGCCAUAAGUGUGAAAUCUGCAUCCAAGCUAAAAUAACUAAGAAACCUUUUCCUAAAGCUGAACGAAAUACUCAAAUAUUGGAUUUGAUACAUACUGAUAUUUGUGAGUAUAAUGGCAUUUUAACAAGAGGAGGUAAGAGAUACUUCAUCACUUUUAUUGAUGAUUGUUCUAGAUACACUUAUGUGUAUUUACUUAGAACAAAAAGUGAAGCUUUUGAUAAAUUUAAAAUUUUCAAAGCUGAAGUUGAGAACCAAAAAGAUAAGAAAAUCAUAAUGGUUCGUAGUGAUAGAGGUGGUGAAUAUUUCUCAAUUGAAUUUAAUAAUUAUUGUGAAGAAGUUGGAAUUAUUCACCAAAGAUCAGCUCCAUUUACUCCUCAACAAAAUGGUUUGGCUGAAAGGAAGAAUAGGAUCUUCACGGAUAUGAUAAAUUCCAUGAUCCUUAAUGCAAAACUACCAAAUAAUUUGUGGGGGGAAGCAUUACUCACUGCAUGUCAUAUUCAUAACAGAAUUACAUCUUUGAAAACACAUAUAUCUCCUUAUGAAAUUUGGAAAGGAAGAAAACCAAACUUGAUGUAUUUAAGGGUCUGGGGUUGUUUAGCUUUUUAUAAAAUACAUGACCCUAAGUCAUCAAAGUUGAGUGCUAGAGGUAUAAAAAGUGUUUUCGUAGGAUAUGCUGAAAAUUCCAAGGCUUAUAGGUUGUUAGAUUUAGAUUCUAAUGUGAUUGUGGAAUCUAGAGAUGUUGAAUUUAUUGAGAAUAAAUUUCAACAUGAUUCUAAUAUUGAAUCAGAAUCAAUUAUUGAUCAACCAUGUGUUAAUACUCCUGUUACCUCCACUAACAAUAAUAAAAGGAAAGAGUCUACGACAUCUUUCGAACUAAGGAGGAGUCAACAUAAAAAGAAAGAAAAGAGUUUAGCUCCGGAUUUUAUUUCAUCACAAGCACUACUCUUCUUGGUUGAAGGGGAUAGAAAGAAUGUACUUAACAAAGUACCAUUGUUGUUAAAUAUUGAAAAAGAUCCAAAGACAUUUAGCGAGGCUAUGUCUUCUAGAGACGCUUUUUUUUGGAGAGAGGCGGUAAAUGAUGAAAUGGAUUCGAUUAUGUCGAAUCAAACAUGGGUCUUGGUUGAUCUUCCUCCUAGAUCUCAACCAAUUAGCAGCAAAUGGGUAUUUAGAAGAAAGUACAAUAAUGAUGGUUCUUUGCAAACUUUUAAGGCUAGAUUAGUAGCCAAAGGGUUUAAGCAAAGAAAUGGUAUUGACUAUUUCGAUACAUAUGCUCCGGUAGCUAGGUUAACUUCUAUAAGAGUGCUAUUUGCAAUUGCUUCAUUGAACAAUUUAUAUGUGCAUCAAAUGGAUGUUAAAACAGCUUUUCUUAAUGGUGAUCUUGAUGAAGAAAUCUAUAUGGAACAACCUGAGGGAUUUGUUUUGCCUGGAAAUGAGAAAAAGGUAUGCAAGUUAAUCAAAUCUCUUUAUGGCUUAAAGCAAGCACCAAAACAAUGGCAUGAGAAGUUUGAUUCGGUAAUUUUAUCACAUGGUUUUAAGCAUAAUAAUGCUGAUAAAUGUGUAUAUUUUAAAUAUACGAAUGAUUUUGGUGUGAUUAUAUGCUUGUAUGUUGAUGACUUGCUUAUCUUUGGAACAAAUAUGCAAGGAGUAGAUGAUACAAAGAAGUAUUUAACUUCACAAUUUAAGAUGAAAGAUCUUGGUGAAGUAGAUACUAUCUUAGGUAUCAAAGUGAAUAAACAUAGUGGGGGUUACUCGUUGUGUCAAUCUCAUUAUAUAGAGAAAGUGCUUCUUAAAUUCAAUUAUUUGAAAUUUAAAUAAGCUAAUACCCCAUAUGAUUCUAGUAUUAAAUUACUAGAGAAUUCAGGCUGAAUAGUAGCUCAACUAGAAUAUGCUAGUGCUAUUGGUAGCUUAAUGUAUGCUAUGCAUUGUACGAGGCCUGAUAUAGCAUUUGCAGUUUGCAAAAUGUCAAAAUUCACGAGUAACCCUAGUGUUGAACACUGGAAAGCAAUUGGUAGGAUACUUGGUUAUCUUAAAAGGACCGUUAAUUUGGGUUUGUUUUAUAAUGAUUAUCCUGAAGUACUGGAAGGAUAUUCAGAUGCUAGUUGGGUAACCAAUACAAGAGACAAUAAAUCCACUUCUGGUUGGAUUUUUACAAUUGCUGGAGGAGCGGUUUCUUGGGCUUCAAAGAAACAAACGUGCAUAACUCAUUCAACAAUGGAAAGUGAGUUUAUAGCACUUGCAUCUGCAGGCAAAGAACCAGAAUGACUGAGAAAUUUGUUGUUUGAUAUAAUGUUGUGGCUACAACCGAUGCCAUCUAUUUCUUUGUACUGCGACAGUGAAGCUACAUUGUCUAGAGCUUAUAAUAAAGUGUAUAAUGGAAAGUCUAGACAUAUUAGCUUAAGACAUGAAUAUGUGAAACAAUUAAUAGCAAAUGGUGUUAUUAAUAUUGUUUAUGUUAGGACUAAUAAGAACCUAGCAGAUCCUUUAACAAAAGGUCUUUCAAGAGACUUAGUUAAGGAUACAUCUUAUGGAAUGUGAUUGAAACCUUUAUAUAAUAAAGUCACCAACGACGGUAACCCAACUAUGUAGUAGUUAUACCGCUACUCCAUAGUUAAAUGGGUAAUAACAAGUUGUUGUUAUGUGACUGGUUUGACACCGAGUAAUAAAUAAUCACAUUCGAGAUAUUCGGUGCAAAUAGCUACGAGGUUGAGGUUGAGUAUUUACUCUUAAUGAAGUUCAAGUCUUUUAGUAGCUAAAGACAUGAUUUGAAACUUCACCUAAGUGAACAUAAGAAAUGGUGCCGUUUCUAACAAGGUCAUGGUUUAAUCUUGUAAAUGUUCAUGAAUCUAAGAUAGAGCACAAGGCCGGAAUAGUGCUAACUAUUGGAACACAACUUUGAAAUCUGGGAUAGCUUAUAUGAGAUGUAUCUCCGGUAUUUACUUAAGAGACAAAGUUUAAUGCUUAGCACACUAUUGUCUUGUAAAUGCUUUGAAAUACACUCACUAAUUAAAGGUUAAAAUCGAAAGAUACCUUUUUGUAUGUAUAAGUUUAUCAUUAAUAAAUCUGAAAAAUAUUACAAUCUAGUGGGGAUUGUAAAAGAGAUUGUAACAUCUUUCAAGUUUUUUGGUUUGAUAUUCUGGACGAAAACGGUUUGCCGUUUAUUGAGAAAACGGCUAACCGUUUUACUCCAAAGAGCAUGUUUUAUGUCCUAGAGAAAACGGUUCACCGGUUAUUGAAAAAUCGGUUACCCGUUUAUGUACAGUGAGCAACGUAUUUUACAUUCUGGAAUAAAACGGCUCACCGUUUAUUGAGAAAACGGUUCACCGUUUAUUUCCAGAAAGGCGUCAACUAGAAAACGGUUGACAAGCUUGAAAAUUUCAAGUGUUGAUCGUUGCAAAUUCAAACCAAAAGAGUUUUUUGAAGAAGUACCAUUUCGAAUGGUUGCAUUCUUUUGAAUUAACAUCUUCUUCAUAAAGGGAAAGAUAUACAAUUAGAAAAUACAUCAGGUUUUGUAGGUUUUCAUAUAUGUUCUGGAAAUACAAUCUUAUUUGCUAGAGAUUGUAUUCAGGAUUUGAUAUAUCUUGGGGGUAAUUUGCCAUUAAUACUCUAUAGCAAACCAAGAUUGGAGAGGGCAAAUAAAACCUUAAAGGAAAGUGUGCAAACACGUCUCAAAUCCUAAGAAAUAUUCUUUGUUCUUUGCCUCCAUAUUCUUAUAAUUCACCAACAUUAAGCUGUUAGCGUUUCGCUUUCCGAUACCAGAACCGAAAUAUUGGUUUAUGGAAGAAACUCAGUCCACUUCCGGUCCUGGUCCAAGAAAGGCCGGGUAUUCGUUUCGGGCUCCGUAGCCGAAAUAUCGGGUAACUAGUUUGUCAUCUAGUCAGCACCGGUAGACUCAAUAAGAAGCCUACUCUAAAGAUAUAAGUAAAACACAAAAUUUUCCCUGGCUACCGGAUAUGUGACUGUAAUAUCUACUUUUGUAAUCCAAAUCGUCAGACAAUCAUGAAUCAUGAAAAAUAUAUCCUGUAGCUACGAAAUAGUUAAUUUGAAACAGCCCGUUCAAUAUCUGUGAUUAUUGUACUUCUACUGAUAAAUUUAAACAAAUAAUAUUUAUCCCCUGUAGUUAAAAGCGAAAUAGUUAAUUUGUGAUUAUCGUACUUCAACUUAUUCUUAAUUUGUAAAUCAAGAUAUUUAUAUAUUUAUAUACUAAAAAUUGAUAUUAGACUUUCGAAGGUUGAUUACAGGUGGAGACACAUGCAAGCGCUGACCAACAGAAUAUUUGAAAAGGAUAUGACUUGGUAAAAAAAGAUAGUGAAAGCAUUGAAGUUGAAAACGAAUAGUUUUGGCCCCGAGAUUAAUUAAUCAGUAUAGUAUUUGGUUCAUUUUCAGUUGCUUUAGAUAACAAUUAACUAAUUAAUUUUUUUCUGUGGUUCUUUUAUUUUGAUAAGCCUUCACCAUGAACUUGUAUCUGUUUCUUUCUCUAUUGUAGCUGAAUAAAAAUAGUAAUCUUAGACUUUUAUUGAUCUUAUAUAUACGAUUUUUAAUCCUACUAAUUUACAACUGCCAAAGUUUAAAACUCUUCUAUGAAAGCUGGUAUAAACUUAUGGGUGAUAAUUAAAACAGCCCGAAUGAAUCGAGCCCCACAGAUACGGGCCGCAGAGAUUUUUACAUCCUUAGAAAUAUUUCAUCGGUUAAAGGUCUAGGGGACCAUUGCCACCCAAAUUUUUAUGGUGGGUUGGAAAAUUUUCCACAUAAAAUAAGGGUUGAACUGAAAUUUACAAACUCCUAGGCAUGAGUUACAGUCGGCCCCCUUUUGUUUAUUUUUAUGUUUAAAGUCCGCCCAGUUAUAUGAUUUCUUCAUUUUAGUACUCAUCUUUGGUCCUCUCAAUAUUAGAGAUUUUAUGUUUUAGCCCACUCAAAUUUAUGAUUUCUAUAUUAUGACUUCCCUUUGAGCUAAAAUCUUGAUUCCGCCGCUGCUAGCCAUUGCCAAUUUCUGGCAAUCACAACAGCCCAGAAAUUUUUAUCAAAUAUAAAAAUUUUGUUGGAUUGCUGGACAUGGAAGGUAUGUUCCUCAUUUCUGACAUUAUAUAAGACAUUUCAUCAUUAUAUUUUUAUCAAAUAUAAAUUUUUUUUAUCAAAACCCCAGAAAAUCACAACAUUCCCUACGAAAUAUUUCCUGUAGCUACGAAAUAGUUAAUUUGAAACAACCCGUUCUUUUCUUUUUCGAAAAGGGUUCAUGAAAAGAACUUGAAUGUUCAUUCAGAAAGCUCUUUUGUCUCAAAUAUUCUCUAAAUAUUUAUUUCAAUAAUAUUUCCUGAAUAUAUACCAAGUCAUAUGCCACUGAUCGUACAUAUAUACAUUUGCCUGUUAGACACUCCAAGAUAAAUAAAUGGAGGAUUUAAUGUCCUGGGACAAAUUCAAAAUCGAAAUAGUUAAUUAUUUCCUCAAAUAUGCCCCAUAAAAUAUUUGUCAUCUUGUCCAUGAUCAAUAAAAAGUUUUCCCAUUAAUUAAUCAAAGGCCGAGAGAGAGGAAGCCUGUCAUUGGGGAAAUGAAGAAUGCUGAGCAUGUAAUCACACUCAAUCCAAACCCAAAAUUUUGAAACCGUCAAUGGUACUCAAGAUAUCGUACAAUGGGGAAGCCGAAACAAGCUUUCAUAUCCCGAGCCCUAACUAAAAAGAAGCUUCCAAGCCAACAGAGAAAAUUUGGGAGUAAUAUAUAUAUGCCUCCUCGUAUAGUUAUUUUGCCUUAACUGAAACAAGAAAGAAUACCUUUGAUCGCCUUUUAACAAGCUGAAAAUAAGCAAGCUUUCAGUAAAUAACAAAAUUAUAUGACAGGAAAAUACAAUAAUAACAAAGAGUAUUCUCUUUUUCAGAGAAAGAUGGGUUUGUGCUAUUUGCACCCUUUUGUUAUUCUCUAAAAACCCCUCUUUUAAACAGUCCUAAUUCGACAAUUAAAAUGUCACAUAAUUUCGAUUGACACCUUUUUUAAUUACAUAUAAAUAACCCUUAUUCGCUCGUCCUGAACAAACCCCUUCUUAAAACAAACAAGAUUUUCUUGAAUUCUUCGUUUUUUUUUCCAAAUAAUUAAUGCAUGGGGCCUCUUAAGAUAGGUUUAUUCUUUUCUAAGAUUAGUUUCAUUCAAAAUAUUUUACCAAGUAACUAUAAUAUGAAUUCACGGAAAAAUAAAUAGUUUUAAUAAAUAUAAUUUUAUUAAAAUUCCAAAAAGAAUAUCAAAAUAAUUCACCUUAAAAAGUAAACAUGAGGUAAGAAAAGGUUAAAAGUAUUUUAACUUUCCAGCUAAUAAUGUCUUUUAAUUUCAAGCCACAGACUCACGCAAGACUUACAAAAAUAUUUCAGCGUUGAUGUUUGCCACGGGUUAAAUCCCGGGUCAAACCCCGAAACGACUCAAAACAGCGUCGUUUCAUUAUAAUUUUUUUUCUUUCCUCCGCUUUGAAACGACACCAUUUAGAGAAUAAUAAAACGCAAAACAAAAGCCCUUUCUUUGAACCCAUUGCCCUUCGAAACAACACCCAUUGCCCUUCGAACGGUCCAGAUUCAGAACUCACAGAAACAAACGUCUCGCUUCACUAUCUUAUAUAAACAACUAUCCCCUAAACCUGUCUUCCGUCGCCACGUUGCCAUCACUUUAAAGUUUUCCCACUGGUUCCGGAGAAACACACUUUCACAAAAUGGCUCGCAUGAAGCAGACAGCAAGGAAGUCCAUCGGAGGAAAGGCACCACGUAAGCAGCUGGCCACUAAGGCAGCUCGAAAAGUUCGCUCCAGCGACGGGAGGAGUGAAGAAACCACACCGUUUCAGGCGGGGAAUAGUGGCCUUGAGAGAGAUCUGAAAGUACCAAAAGAGCACUGAGCUUCUGAUAAGGAAGCUUCCGUUCUAGAGGCUCGUUAGGGAAAUCGCUGAGGACUUUAAGACCGAUAUGAGGUUCCAAAGUAGCGCCGUCGCGGCUCUUCAAGAAGCUACCGAGGCUUAUCUGGUGGGUCUCUUUGAAGACACCAAUCUCUGUGCUAUUCACGCUAAGAGGGUCACUAUCAUGCCCAAAGAUAUCCAGCUUGCAAGGAGAAUCAGAGGCGAGAGGGCUUGAAUAAAAUGACGGAUGUAAACAUUUUAAUGAGUUGUUUUUGUUGUUAGGGUUUGCUUUUGAGAUGUUGAUAUGUAAUAAACUGAAUUUUUCUUUAUUUGUUUAGAUUGUGCCUUCCAAAUGCUUGUGAAAAUGUCUGUUGAAUGUUAGAAGUCUUGUUUUUGAAAAAUUGAAUUAUUGGGCACUUUCAUUUGCUUAAGCAAGUAGUUUAUGAGCUCUCUCAUCGUUGAAACAAAUUUUGCAUAUAAAUAACGCGGAAAAAAAGAAAAAAAUUCCAAUACAAUGAAAACAGUAGAGCUCUGAAUUGGGAGCUCUAAAUUGAGGGCUUUUUUUCUUAGUGAUCCCACACGCCAAGCGCAGGUCCUUAAAAUGGAUUGAGCUAAUGAAGCGUUGUCUUCAUUUUCUUGAUGCUCCAGGAGUAACUGCAAGAAGUCAUUAUUACUUCCUUCAGUAAUAUUGUUCCCUGCUGCUGCUUCUUCACCAUUAACAACAGACUUUGUUUCUACACUUUCAACAGUAGAGCUUAUAAUAUAUUAAAAUCAUAGAGAAAUCUUCUUUGUUCUCCUUUCUUCACCUUGAAUUAAACUAUGAAAGUACCGGAAAGAUGUCUGAAAUAUUUGGUAUUCCCAUUACCUCCAUGAGCUCUGCAAGCUUAAACUUUAGCUCAUACCCAAGUUUAGUUCCCUUGACUCUUAAUGCAAGCGUGCCAGUGCCGAAACGUCGUUGUUUCAAAGCGUAUAAAAGAAAAAAAAAGAACGAAACGACACCGUUUUGAGUUAUUUCGGGAUUUGACACGGGACAAACAUCAUUUUCUAAAAUAUUUUAAGUUCAAAACUUUCUAUCUACAAUUUUUAGUCAAUGUAUAAAGCUAGUCAACUCAAAAGUAAAUUAAUAAUUUAAAAAAAGAAAUAUACGUUUUUUUAAGAAAAAGAAAUAUACUUUUUUUUAAGAAAAAGAAAUAUACUUUUUUUUAAGAAAAAGAAAUAUACUUUUUUUUAAGAAAAAGAAAUAUACUUAAAUAAUUUAUUAUUAUUUUUUCCUCUCAUAGUAAAGGUACGCAUAAGGUUGAUGUUCCAAAAUAAGAAGAGGGUCCUAACUAACUUAUAAUUACAUCAUAAACACCAACAAAGAAUAAUAAAUAAACACAUACUCUCUUAAAGGAGUUUCUUUUCUUGUUAAUUAUUCUAUAUAUAUAAACAAACCUCUGGCAGUCAGAGAGACAUAGACUGCAUAAUUCUCCAUUUGUAACGAGUGGGAAGAGGAAUGGUUGUGGUGGCGGUGAUGGCUUCAAUGUUUAUUGUCUUGCGUAAUUAUAAUGAUUGGUCUUCUUAGAUUGUGGGGUUUUCUCUUUGAGGUGACAAUUUAGUUGGCGUGUCACUCCCUUACUGGUAAAUAUAUAAAUUGCAGCUGCAGACAAAUUUUGAUAAAUUAAUAGUUUGGAAAUCUUUUAAUUGAUAUAAUUAUGGUUUCCUGUUAAAUCAAAAUCUUGGUUUCACUUCUAUGGUUGAUAAACUCUGAUAAUAUGAGUUUCUAGAACUUGAGUAAAUAUAAAAUUAAUCAAUGAAGUAUUAUUUAAUUCAUUAUAUAAUAAACAAGAUAGACUGUUGAUUUAAUAUAUAUAUAUAUAUAUACGAAUUUUGAUGGUAAUUAAUGCACAUGUAAAUGAGAGUUUUCCACACAAAAAGAUAAAAAGUGUAGCAUCAAAAUUCAAAAGGGUCCAGCGACUUUAUCAAGUCUACUGUCAUGGGGCCAUGCUUACGGACUUGCUCAUUCUUGAAUCUCCUCCCCCUUCUCUUGCUCAUUAUCAUAUGAGAAUUUUGAUUGUAAUGUAGAAAGAGAGAGACAAGGCAAAUUUAUUAUAAAGACAAUAAGCAUGAUCGUCGCUGCUUAGUGUUGGGCUUAAACUACUUCAAAAAUCUGAACUAUCACAUAAGUAUGAGCUAAGCCCAUUAGCCCUUUUGUUUCAUAUUAUCAAGCCCCCCAAAAAAAAUGAAAUCACAUCCUCACAUCCAUUUUUUUAGAAGAGGAGUGACGGGAAAGAGGAAGAAAAUGGGGGAAAAAAAAUCAAGCUUGGGCAUUAAGCUAAAAUUUGAGUUUGGGCCUUGGCAAGCAUGAUUUAGGAGCUAUUCUAGAAUCCUUCUAUCUCUAAAUUCAUUUAGGAGCAUCCAUUAGAGAAGAAUUCAAGUGUAGGAAGUAUAAAGAGAUGAUUUGAAUGAAAGGGAAGUGAUUCAAGUUUUCAAGUUAGUUUUCUCACUAAAGGGGGUCAUUUUAUCUUAUUUGAAGUUUGAUUACAUGGGAGUGAAGUAAACUUAAAGAUUAGUAUACUUUAUUAAUAAUUGGAUUUGUUUCCAACAAAUAGGCAAAGUUGGUCCCAAGCUAAUUUUUGUAAUUGGUGGAUUACUUUAUGUGCACAGGGCCCCCAACAACGCAUUGUAGAAUUACAGACAGAUGGCCCCUACCUUUUUCCCAAUUCGAUAUGUAAUUAGUUUAUAAUUUUACAUUAUGUUUAAGUAGUUUAUGGUUACUAAUGAGAUUCUUGAUAAUGUGGAUGAUUUAUUAGUAUUAUAAGAUAUGAAAAUUUAAUUAUUGAGGUGAAGUAUGGAAUUUUUUAGUAUAACUGUAAUUUACAGCUUUAAGGGUAUUGUGGCAAUUUUCAACUUACAAGUAUGGAUUUGAGAGUUUUCUAUUUGUGGUAAAUAUUUAUUGCGAGUUAUAUCGCAUAAAGUUAGUUGAAUUUCACAUGUUCAAGAAAGUAAUUAUCUUACAUUACACUUUGAGUCGUGUGCUUAGACUCUUUUUCCUUUUGAGGGAUAUUUCAUGCAUGCAAUAUGAUGAGAUAUAAGAUAUAUGAAAUGACACAUCAUUGGUCUAUCAAUGGUUAUUGGAGGAGCUCGGGAACAAACAAGAGAAACUUUCUGUGUUUUGUGACAGUCAGAGUGCCUUGCACAUUACAAGGAAUCUAGCCUUUUAUUCCAGGACAAAGCACAUAGGAGUUCAGUAUCACUUCGUUCGAGAAGUAGUGGAAGACAGAAAUGUGAAUUUACAGAAAAUCCAUACGAAGAAGAACCUAGCAUAUGUUUUGACCAAGCCAAUCAAUACUCACAAGUUUGCCUGGAGUAGAUCCUCUUGUGGCCUAAUAGAAACGUAGGCAACAUGAUUAUGGCGAAGUAGAAAGGAUGAUGUGGAGAUUGAUUGAUUCUCAAUCUAAUAUCCAAGUGGGAGAUUAGAUUUUAUUUUAAGUAAAAAUUAUUAUAAUACACAAUUAAAAAUAUUAUAUGUACGUGUUUUUAUAUGUAUAAGUAAAUUUUAUCUUAUAUUAUGAAUAUUUUAGUUAUUUAUUUUCUCUCAGUAGUUUAACAGUAAAAUUUACCAAACAUCAAUAAUUACUUUCAAAAUUCACAGUACUUCUGAAAAUAAAAUUUAUUAAAACUUAAUUGAUUUUCUUCACAGCUGAUUAUUUGUACAGUAUAACUAACAUCAAUUAUUUUAAAAGGUACAGCAUUCCCAAGCUGGCCCUAAAGGGUGUUGAUUGAUCAUUUGUCACUCGUCAUGUGGUGUAUUUGAAUAUGAUAUUGCUUCAUAUUAUUACUAUUAUAAUAACUAAAUUACAGUAUUCAUCAUGCUCUGCAAAAACAGAGCGGGAACGACAACAAUGGCAAUUGUCAAAGUCUUGGGCGGUGCCAAAUCAUGGGGAGAAUGUCAAAGCAAUCACCUAAAUGUCAGCACCAAAUUUGGUACUUGACUUUGGUGCCAGCAAAUCAAAGAAAAUAGAGGACAUAGCCCGCAAAAUUUGAAAGCUAGAUUGACAAAUUGAAGCCAUGUGUAUUGACGAAAUUGAAGCCAUAAUUGGUGAGCUAAAAUCGUUGAUUUUAUUGACCACUAUUUUGCUAUAAAUAGAAGUGCAAAUGAAGAGCUGAAGUAUUCCAUUAAGAGAAAGAGCAAUUUAGCAUUUUUGAGAGAGAGUUUGGAGAGCUUGAAAUUAUAAGCUUUUGUUAUAGUAAUUUGAGAGUUUGAGUAUAUUGGGGUUUUGGAAAGUGAGUUAAAAUACUAUAAUACUUGUAACUCCUUUUUACUAGUAAAAUAUUUUCUUAUAUUUUCGCCCGUGAAUAUAGGCUAAAAGUCGAACCAUGUAAUUUUCUAGUGUUCUCUUUUGUGCUUAUUCUUUAUUUUUCUAUCAAUUUUUAUUUUAGCUGCGUGUCUGCUUCACCCAUCAAUUUCCUAACAGUGGUAUCAGAGCUAUUAGUUGUAUUUUUUUGGAGUUGGGUACUAUUCAAGUAACGAUACUAUUCACAUAUACGGUAUUGUUCGCGUAUUCAAUACUAUUAACGUAUACGAUACUGUUUACAAGAAACGAUGGAAGCGAUCCAAGAACUUUACGGUGCAAAGCAGGGAAUAGUGGUGUGAGUAAAGCAACUGUGUGGUUUUGUACAUGUUUAAGAAAGUUCUGUCACAAAUGCGAUAAGAGAUUAAGGAGUCUGGGUUUUAAGUGGGACCAUUGUGACCCCUCCAGUCUUUCCUAGGAACUUUCCUAGUGUACAUUUUCACACAUACUCACAACUAUUCAAGGUGGUACAUUAACUUGUGUGCGGUAUUUAUCAACAAAAUGGCGGUGAAGUAUGAAAUUGAGAAGUUUAACUGAAAUAAUUUUUCGUUGUGGAAAAUAAAGAUGAAAGCUGUAUUAAGGAAAUAUAAUUGCUUGGCAGCAAUUGGAAAAAAGGCUCAUAGAGAUAACUGAUGACAAGUGGAACGAGAUAGAUGGCAAUGUAAUUUCUGAUCUACACUUGACACUUACAGAUGAAGUAUUAUCCAGUGUGGCAGAGAAAAAUACAGUGAAGGAAAUAUGAGAUACUCUUACAAAAUUGUACGAGGCCAAGUCACUACACAACAAAAUUUUCUUGAAGAAACUCUAUACUCUUCGAAUGGCGGAAUCUAUAAUGGUGACUGACCACAUCAAUACCUUGAAGACUCUAUUUUCACAACUCACAACGUUGGGUCAUAAUAUAGAGGAGAAUAAACGUGCAGAGCUUCUACUUCAAAGUCUACCAAAUUCGUAUGAUCAACUCAUCAUCAACCUAACGAACAAAAAUCUAAUGGAUAGUCUAGUUUUCGACGAUAUUACAGCCUCCGUAUUAAAUGAGGAGAGCAGGUGGAAAAACAAGAAAAACAGACAAGUAAGUUCGCAACAAGCGAAGGUGCUAUCGAUGACGAGAGGAAGAUCAACAGAACGCGGCCCUAGUGGGAGUCAAAAUCAUGGUAGAUCAAAAUCCAGAAGUAAGAAGAAUGUUAAAUGCUACAACUGCGGCAAGAAAGAGCACAUCAAGAAAGAGUACACCAAGAAAGAGUGUUGGAGUAACCAGAAGAGAAAAGAGGGUAAAGACCUUGAGUCGUCAAAUGCUCAGGGGUGUGUAGCAAGUAUCUCGGAUGAUGGCGAAAUUCUCUACAGCGAGGCAACAACUAUUUCAGAAGGCAGAAAACGACUAUCUGAUGUCUGGCUUAUAAAUUCAAGAGCUACCUGGUACAUGACCUCUCGGAGAGAAUGGUUCCACACAUAUGAACCUAUCUUAGGAGGAUCUAUAUAUAUGGGUAAUGAUCAUGCCUUGUAGAUCGCUAGUAUUGGUACUAUCAAAAUAAAAAUAUUUGAUGGUACAAUUCGCACAAUUGGGGAGGUACGACAUGUCAACGGCCUGAAGAAAAAUCUAUUGUUUUUGCGACAAAUUGAUAGUCAUGGGUGUUAACAUGAAUAUGUUAAUAAUAUUGAUUUUGAUGAUAACAAAUUUUAAAUGGUUUUUGAUAAAAAUAUUGGAGCUAUUUCUUAAUAAACGAAAACCUUAAUAAUCAUUCCAUUCAUUUUUUCAUAAAAGAUGGACUUUCAAAUUAAAAAAAGAUUCUCUAUAAAAUCUGGUUUAAAAUGUAAUUCUGGAAAUAAACGGUAAACCGUUUUCCUUUAAACGGUUAACCGGUUAGUACCAGAGAGCAAAAUAUUACCUAAAGCUCUAACCGUUUAUGAUAAACGGGAAAACACAAAAGAUGGAAAGGCUACUGGAACUUAACGGUGAACCGUUUAUUUUAAACGGUUAACCGAUAACUUCCAUAAUUGAAGGUUGUCCUCCUCUGGCACUAUUUAACAAAACCAGAUAAGGCUGAAUUGUUUUGCAGGUUACUGGAGACAAACGGCAAACCGUUUAUUACAAACGGUUAACCGAUAAUAUCCAGAGAAGUCACUUCAUACAAAUCCUUAACCGUUUAAUGUAAACGGAUAACUGAUGUUCAUUUUGUAGGUUACUGGAGACAAACGGCGAACCGUUUAUUACAAACGGUUAACCGAUAAUAUCUAGAGAAGUCACUUCGUACAAAUCAUUAACCGUUUAAUAUAAACGGAUAACUGAUGUUCAUCUUGCAGGUCUCUGGAACUUAACGGCGAAAGGUUAAUUCUAAACGGCAACCCGUUUAUUUGAAAUUUGGCCCAACGGUAACUUUUGACCAGCCAAACGGUUAACCGUUUAGGGUUAACGGUGAACCGUUUUCUGACCGAUAGUUUGUAACGGCUAGAUUUUCAGCUCCAGAUAUAAAUAAGCUCAUUCAAAUUCAAAGAGGGUUGAUCACAACACGACCAUUGAGCAAAUAUUCGAGAAUACAAUCUUCAUAGAGCUUAGAACACAUUCUUGCUUUAUCUAUUCACAUAUUAAGCAUCAUUGUGUAAUCUUAUAUAUUGUGAGAGGCAAAACAAUUUGUAAUCUUUUACUUUGAGUGAUUGUAAGUGUUGGGAUACACUUGGGUUAAGAGAUUGGGGAUAAUCUCUUGUUGUAAAGGUUUAUUGACACCUUAGAAGUCAAGUGUAAGCAUUUGAAGCCUUGGAGGCUUGCUUAGUGGAAUCCUCAAGCCCGGAAAGCUUGGAGGAGUGGACGUAGGCGAAGUUGGCCGAACCAUGUAAAAAUCUCUGUGUUUGAAUACCUCUUCCCUUAUCUUUUUAUAUUGUGAUCAACUUAAUUGUUAUUGCUUUGAAUUUGGAUUAUAUUUGCAUUAAGUUUUUCUUUAUAAAUUGAAUAAUUUUUUAGAAUUUCAAUUCACCCCCCUCUUGGGUUGCAUACUUAUAUUUCAAUGGGUACAAAACUCAUGUGGAUAAUGAAAUUAUAAAGAUCAUUAAAGGCGCGCUUGUAUUGAUGAAGGCAAAAAAGAUCGGUGCUAAUUUAUUCAUGCUUAAAGGAGAAAUACUACAGGAGGUUGAUGCGUGUGUCACGUCAAAUGGGGAAGAAUCAACAAUGAUGUGGCAUUUCAAACUUGGCCACAUGUCAUAACAAAGUUUGAAGAUUCUCUCUGAGCGAAAAUUACUUUCGGGGCUCAAAUCGGUAAGUUUACCAUUUUGCGAACAUUGUGUUACAAGUAAGCAGCAUAAAUUAAAGUUCAGUAGAUCCAUUACUAGAAGUAAAUGCAUUCUAGACUUGAUUCAUUCUGAUAUUUGGAAAUCACCGGAUAUAUCCAUGGGAGGUGCAAAGUACAUGGUGACUUUCAUUGAUAAUUAUUCUAGAAGAUGUUGGGUGUAUCCAAUUAAGAAAAAGUCAGAUGUAUUUUCAGUGUUUAAAGAAUACAAAGCAUGGGUGGAACUUGAAUCUGGUAAAAAGAUCAAGUGCUUAAGGAGAGAUAAUGGUGGAGAGUAUACGGACGGCGAGUUUCUUGCUUUCUAUAAGCAAGAAUGUAUUUAGAAGCAAUUCACGGUGGCAUACACUCCUCAACAAAUUUGAGUGGCAGAGCGGAUGAAUAGAACUCUUACAGAACGGAUAAGAGCUAUGUUGAGGACUGCUGGUCUACCCAAUUCAUUAUGGGAAGAAGCAGCCAAAACUACCUGUUAUAUAAUAAAUCGAUCGUCAUCUACAGCUAUUGGGCUGAAGAUAGCGAUGGAGAUGUGGACUGGAAAGCCAGCUGAUUAUUUCUACCUACAUGCGUUUGGAUGUCCUGUAUACGUAAUGUACAAUGCCCAAGAAAGAACAAAGCUGGAUCCAAAAUCUAAAAGAUGUAUCUUCUUGGGGUAUGUUAAUGGAGUAAAGGGGUAUCGUCUGUGAGACCCCACUGCCCAUAAGAUUGUCAUUCGUAGAGAUGUUAUCUUUAUACAAGAUCAACUGCAAAGGAGAGAUGAGGAUGAUAGCAGGGUAAAAGAAAAGUCAGAGACUAUACCGGUAUAUGUGGAAAAUAAUCCAGAAGAUUCAAAUUCUUUUGAAGUAGCACCAUAACACGAAGAAUAAGAACCAGUCGAGUUUGAGGCUCCAGAAAUUUGUCGGUCAACUCGUGAGAAAUGACCGCCAACGUGGCACUCGGAGUAUGUCACAGAGAUCCUGUCUUCAAACAGAAAAUAGAGAGCCUUCAACUUUCCAUGAAGCUUUAAACAACAUAGAUGUUGCUUUGUGGAUGACAGCAAUGUAGGAAGAAAUUGAAACUCUACACAAGAACAAGACAUGAGAACUUGUACCAUUACCAAACGGAAGAAAAGCCAUUGGUAAUAAAUGGGUCUAUAAGAUCAAACGUGAUGGCAAUGACCAAGCGCAGCAGUAUUGUGCAAGACUGGUGGUGAAAGGAUAUGGUCAGAAAGAAGGUAUUGACUUUAACGAAAUAUUUUCUCCGGUAGUUCGACUCACAACAGUCAGAGUAGUCUUGGCAAUGUGUGCUACAUUUGACUUAUAUCUUGAGCAGUUAGAUCUGAAAACUGCAUUUCUUCAUGAAGAACUUGAAUAAGAAAUAUCUAUGCUCCAACCAGAAGGUUUUGCAGAAACAGGAAAGGAGAACUUGGUUUGCAGGUUGAAUAAAUCUCUAUACGGUCUCAAACAGGCGUCGAUGUGUUAGUAUAAGAGAUUUGAUUCCUUCAUCAUGAGCCUUGGAUACAACAGACUCAGUUUAGACCAUUGUGCAUAUUACAAAAGGUUUGAAGAUAAUGAUUUAAUUAUUUUACUGUUGUAUGUGGAUGACAUGUUGGUAGCAGACCCCAACAAAGAUCGAAUCCAAGAAUUGCAGGCACAGUUAGCUAGGGAGUUUAAAAUGAAGGACUUGGGACCAACAAACAAGAUUCUAGGAAUGCAAAUUCAUCGAGACAAAAAUAACAAGAAGAUUUGGCUUUCACAGAAGAAUUACUUGAAAAAAAUCUUACGGCGCUUCAACAUACAAGAUUGUAAGUCAAUCUCUACUCCACUUCCUGUUAAUUUCAAAUUAUCCUCAAGUAUAUGUCCUAGCAAUGACACAGAGAGGAAGAAGAUGUCUCGAGUACCGUAUGCAUCAGCAGUGGGAAGUUUGAUGUUCGCUAUGAUAUGUACUAGACAAGACAUUAUACAAACAGUAGGAGCAGUUAGUCGAUACAUGACGAAUUCUGGUGGAGAGGAUUGGAUAGUUGUGAAAAGGAUUCUGAGAUGCAUCAAAGGAACCUCAUAUGUUGCAUUAUGUUAUGGAGGAUCAAAGUUUACUGUCAGGGGCUAUAUGGAUUCAGAUUUUGCAGGAGACCUUGAUAAAAGAAAAUCCACUACUGGUUAUGUGUUUACACUUGUGGGAACAGUUGUAAGCUGGGUUUCAAAACUGUAGACCAUUAUGGCCUUAUCUACAACAGAAGCAGAGUACAUGGCCGCUACACAAGCUUGCAAGGAAGCUAUUUGGAUACAAUGGUUAUUAGAGGAGCUCGAGCACAAACAAGAGAAAAUUUAUGUGUUUUGUGACUGUCAGAGUGCCUUGCACAUUGCAAGGAAUCCAGCAUUUCAUUCCAGGACAAAGCACAUAGGAGUUCAGUAUCACUUCGUUCGAGAAGUAGUGGAAGACAGAAGUGUGAAUUUAUAGAAAAUCCAUACGAAGGAGAACCUAGUAGAUGUUUUGACCAAGUCAAUCAAUACUGACAAGUUUGCCUGGAGUAGAUCCUCUUGUGGCCUAAUAGAAACGUAGACAACAUGAUUAUGGCGAAACAGAAAGGAUAAUGUGGAGAUUGAUUGAUUCUCAAUCUAAUAUCCAAGUGGGAGAUUAGAUUUUAUUUUAAGUAAAAAUUAUUAUAAUACACAAUUAAAAAUAUUAUAUGUACGUGUUUUUAUAUAUAUAAGUAAAUUUUAUCUUAUAUUAUGAAUAUUUUAGUUAUUUAUUUUCUCUCAAUAGUUUAACAGUAAAAUUUACCAAACAUCCAUAAUUACUUUCAAAAUUCAUAGUACUUUUAAAAAUAAAAUUUACUAAAACUUAAUUGAUUUUAUUAACAGCUGAUUAUUUGUACAGUACAACUAACAUCAAUUAUUUUAAAAGGUACAGCAUUCCCAAGCUGGCCCUAAAGGGUGUUGAUUGAUCAUUUGUCACUCGUCAUGUGGUGUAUUUGAAUAUGAUAUUGCUUCAUAUUAUUACUAUUAUAAUAACUAAAUUACAGUAUUCAUCAUGCUCUGCAAAAACAGAGCGGGAACGACAACAGUGGCAACUGUCAAAGUCUUGGGCGGUGCCAAAUCAUGGGGAGAAUGUCAAAGCAAUCACCUAAAUGUCAGCACCAAAUUUGGUACUUGACUUUGGUGCCAGCAAAUCAAAGAAAAUAGAGGACAUAGCCCGCAAAAUUUGAAAGCUAGAUUGACAAAUUGAAGCCAUGUGUAUUGACGAAAUUGAAGCCAUAAUUGGUGAGCUAAAAUCGUUGAUUUUAUUGACCACUAUUUUGCUAUAAAUAGAAGUGCAAAUGAAGAGCUGAAGUAUUCCAUUAAGAGAAAGAGCAAUUUAGCAUUUUUGAGAGAGAGUUUGGAGAGCUUGAAAUUAUAAGCUUUUGUUAUAGUAAUUUGAGAGUUUGAGUAUAUUGGGGUUUUGGAAAGUGAGUUAAAAUACUAUAAUACUUGUAACUCCUUUUUACUAGUAAAAUAUUUUCUUCUGUUUUCGCCCGUGGACGUAGGCUAAAAGCCGAACCACGUAAUUUUCUUGUGUUCUCUUUUGUGCUUGUUCUUUAUUUUUCUUCUAAUUUUAUUUUAGCUGCGUGUCUGCUUCACCCAUCAAUUUUCUAACAGCAACAACAACAGCAACAGCAGCAAACAAGCCAAAACAAAUCUCAUAUAUACUACUGGGCUUAAAUUAGCUCAUAUGUAUUCAACACGCUCUUCCAAAACAGAGAGAACAAAAUAAAAGGAAAGGAGAAAAUGGUUAAUUGUACAAACCCCAAAAGAAGAGAAAAUAAGGUUGCUGGGCUUAAAAAAAGCCACGAUUUCUGAAAUUUAACUUUCUUCAAUUGAUAUAUAAAAAAGGGGGUUUUAGUUAAAGUAAAUUAUGAUAAAUGCAAGAACAAAUCUCAUACAUUAGUCUAACAAGGGACCAUCAAGUUCAAGCCUUUACUCUGAAGGUCACAAGAUAUUGGUAACUAAGCUUAUGCUCUUUAUUAUGGAAAACAGAAAUUAAAAAUAUAAUUUAGUUGUUUUGUUCCUUAUUAGAGGACUAAAAGAAAGAACUAUAACGAAAAGUUUAGUUCAUAAUAACCAAAAAAAGAAAAGGACUAGCUCUAAAAUGUAAUUGAAAACAGACAAACUAAACAAAACCAAACUUUAAAAUGCAAUGAAAGUGUUCUUAAGUACCUUGAAGGAUUAAAGUGCUGUUGUUGAAGAUGAAGAUGGCAGUGGUUGCUUGUUUGAGUCAUAUUGAAUGCAACUCUUCUUCUUCUUCUUCCUUUCUGGUGAGUAUGCUUCUGGCGAACCCCUGUAGCAUUUUUUUUGACAAUAGAGUUUAACUCAAUUGUUUUUUGAUGGAGGCCGACCCCACUGAACUAGAUCCAUGACAAUAUCUUUUUACUCCCCUACUUUCACGUGCACCAACCCGUAUCUGACGUGUGUCGUUGCAAGCUGACCCCACGCAACAAAGAUCCGUUACAAUAUCUUUUUAGUCCACCUCUACUGUCGCGUACACCAACCCGUAUCUGACAGGUGUCGUUGCAGGUUGACCCCACUCAACAAAGAUCCAUGACAAUAUCUUUUUAGCCCCCCACUUUUUUCUUAAAAUAAACGGAGUCACUUUUUAAGUACACGGAUAGGGGUGGGCACGGUUCGGUUCAAUUCGGUUCGGUUUGAAAUUAAGUAGAACCGAUUUAAAUCGGUUAUUUUAUAAAAAGAACCGAAUAAGAACCAAACUCAAACGGUUCUUUUCGGAUCGGUUCGGUUUUUUCGGUUCUCGGCAUAUUGGGCCUAUUUUGAAUUUUUAAAUUUUUAGCCCAUUGGGCCUCAUGAAUGUAAUAAUUUUUUUCAACAAUUAAUUUAUCCUAAUUUUAUUACAAAUAUUAACAAUAAAUACAAAGUAUUCAAAACAAAUUUUAUCACUAAUAUCUUACUAACUAUUAAUAAGAUACUCCCAAAAUAUGAAAUAUUAAAAUUUCAAAAUACAUAACCAAACUCCAAUACUCCAUCUAUAUAAACAUAAUCAUAAUGUUAUAAAGAGAAAUAACACAUGUUUGAUUUGAAUAAAAUCAAAAAAUAAUUCGAUUUUUCGGUUCAGCUAAGUGAACCGAAUACCGAACCGACAUUUCGAUUUUUUUUACAAACGGUAUAUUCGGUUUUUUUAAAAAAUAAAAACCGAACCGAAUUAGAAAAAACCGUCGGUUCGGUUCGGUUUUUUUAACACUACGGUUUUUUUGCCCACCCCUAUACACAGAGGCUUGACUUGGGAUUAUUGCGUGUAGUGGUGGAAAUAAACCCACAACGUUUACCCGAAUCCAAACUAAAUAAAUUUGGUUUGGCGUUGGAUAAAAUAUGAAAUGGGUUAAAUUUGAAUUUUUAUGUAAAAAGUUAUUGGGUUUUUACGUAAAAAAUUAUUUCAUAAUGGUUUGGUUAUAGUUUACCCAUAUGUCAUAGAUAAAUUUAAGGUGGCAUAUCAAUAAAAAAUAAAUUAAACAAAUCAAAAGUUAAAUUAAUAUUUUAAUAAUAAUUUUUUUAUUAAAAUUAUUAUUAUAUAAUAACAAUUAUACUAAUAAUUAUUAUCAUUAUAUAAUAAUAAUAGAAGUGUUGCGUAGGGCAUAUACAUAUGUAAUUGGUUGUACAGUACACUAUUAUACAAUAAUUUUUUAAAGUCUCAACUUGAUUUAAAAAGCUAAAUUAAUAUUUUAAUAAAUAACUAAGACAAUAACUUUAUGAAAUCCUCUAAUAUAAAUCCUAUUUGUAUUGUAACUUACUAAAAUUUAAAAUGUAAUUGAUUAUAACAUUUUAUUAAAUAAAAUAUGAUUCUAUUGUUAUUUUUUAAUUAAAUUUAAAUCUAAUUAGAUUUCAUGUCUAAUUUUUCUUACUACAUUUAAAAUUUUGGAGCUUUUUCUAAUUAUAAUAAAUCUUAUAUUUAUUUCUUGAAAGAUUUAAAUUUAUAAAUUUGAAUGAUUUAAUUUAAUUUUGAUGAAUUGUUUGAUACUUGAGUUGAGAUGUCUUAUCUUAUUUUAAUUUGUAUUGGCGUUGUUAGAAUUUAUGUUGUAAUAUGGUUAAUAUGUAAGGACAAAGUUAUUAUAAAAUCUAUUAUAUAUAAGUUUUAUCCGAUAUAUUUUUUCAUAUUUUAAUAUUAAUUUAAUAAUUAAUAAUAAUUAUUUUGAUAUAAUUAAAUUUAUCAAAAUAAAAACUAUUUUGAUUAUAAAAUUCAAACCAAAUCCAAAUGGAUUGGGUUAAAAAUAUUUGGAUUGGACUUAAAUUUUUAUGAUUUAGUUUGAAUUGACUUAACCCAACCCAAACCAACCCAUGUCCACCCCUAAAUUUUGCGUGUUUAAUGUCACUUAACAGGGAAGUUGUGUUUGGCUACCACCAGCGCUAGCUAUUUAGUCCACGUAUUAUUCCAGAAUUAAUCAUCCUCUUUUCAAGAUGUGUUUAGGAUAGCUCUUUACUUGCCUUUCCCUUUUUAUUUAAUCUAACAUUUGUUUCUUAAAUUUAAAAAAUAAAUUGCCUAAUUUAUUUAAAGUAGAAUUUUAUAUUAUAUUAAGUAUCUAAAUUUAUUCAUUAACUUAUUUUAACAUGUACUUUAUUUAAGAUUAAUAUCAAAAUUUUAAUUAGAUAAUUUAUUUACACCAGUAUUUUGUAUAAAGAUCAUAUAUACAAAUUUUUAUUCAAUAAAAUAUUUAAAUCAGUAUUGAAUAGUAAACAUAAAAAUUAUUCAAUUAUUAAUGUACAAUAAUAUUGAAGAUUAAAUAUUAAAAAUUUAACAAUUAGUAGCAUAAUUUAAAGAUAAUUAUACUAUUAGCUUUAUUAAUUUAAGUUUAACAUACUCAUAUCUGACAUUUAUAACAAACAAAAGACAAUAUUAUCUAUUAUUCAAUCUAAUAUAAUCUAAUCCUAAAAACCAAAUAUAGUCCAUUCAUAUUUUUCAUUUAUGUUAUUGAUCCAAUAGUUAUAGAUAUAACAAGAAGAGAAGAGUUUUUUUUUAAAAUAAUUCUUUAAAAUACAAGAAUUAGCUGAAAAACUAACUCAAAACUAAAUGAGAAUUUACCCUUUCUUGUUUUGUGCCAUCUUAUCCAGUUGCACAAAUAAGUAAAUGUUGUAAAAUUUUCCGCUGGGGAAGUUCGUGGAACAUGCAUCGGACCCAAAAGAAAGAGAGGGAGGCUAUAAUUAAAUUAAACAAUUUUUCACAUAAUAACCCUUUAUCACCAAUAAAAUGUGAAAUGAAAGCUAAUUGAUUUGGGCCAACAGAUUUGGGCUCUACUCCACCCGUACUAUUUGGGCCAAAUACUACUGUCUUUAGGGGAUGCUUCUCAUGUGCAUAACUUUUAUUAGGAAAUUUCAGAUUUUGGGUGGAUGUUAUAGUUUGUAUGGUUAAAUGAAAAUUGAAGUUUGAAUAUAUAUUAUAUUUCAUUCUUUUAUAUUUAUUGGAUUUUUUAUUACUAAUAUCAUAUUUUACAUUAAUUUUAGAUUUAAAAUUUUAAUUUCUCAAAGCAAAUUUGCGUAGUUGGGGAUUCAUGAAACAACAACAACAAUAAUAAAAAAAAUGCAAAUUAUAAUAAAUAAAAAUAAAAAUAAUAAAUAUUUUAAAAUAAUAUUAAUUGAAACAAUACCUUUUUUUCCCCCAAAAAAUUUAAAAGAAAUGAAAAAAAUUCAAAUAAUUUUGAGUUUCCCUCUCAAAUGUGAUGUGAUAUACAUGUGACUACUAAAAACUAUCAUAAAAUUAUGAUGGAAAAAACUAUGUCAUAAACAAUGGCAUAGAUGACGGAUAAGUUGUUUGUCAUGCGCCUUCUUUUAUGAUAGUUGUUUCCGGUCAUCUAUUAUCAGUUUUUUUAUAGUAAUUGAUCUUGACGUAUGUAUCAUUAAACAUGAAACUAAUAUAACUUGAAACUUACUACAAAAGACAUGAAACACAAGAUUAUAAUCUUGCAAUCAUAAAAAUCAUGCAAAUCACAGUGCAAUAGAUAUGAAACACAUGCCAUUAAUCUUGAUGUUGGGACUAUUAAACAUGAAAUCAAUAUAAAUUGAAACUUACAGUAAUAAAAAUGAAACAUAGGAUCAUAAACCUACAAUCAUUUAAUUAAGUCAAUCAAGUAUAAUGAACAUGAAAACAAUACCAUCAAACUUGAAAUUACUGUCAUUUAAUAUAAAACUAAUUUUUUUAUUAUUAUAUUAUUUUUUAUUUUUUAUUUGAUUACAUUUAAUUAUUAUUUUAUUCAUUUAAGAGACAUAAAUACCAUUUAAACUUAAAACUUACUGCAAUAAACAUAAAAUACAUGAUCAUAAAUCGGUUGGUCACGGUUUUUUUCUUUUAAAUUUUUAUAAUGUCUUUAAAAAACUUUUUUAAUAUAGUAGCAAAGGCCUAGUCAGAUAGCUCAUGACCUUUUCAUUUUAUUGCCUUUUACAUCUCGUGCGGCCUAUUUGCACCAGCACCACGAAAAAAUUGUUUAUUUAUGGAAAAGACCAAUCUUGAGGAAACAUAAAUAAUAGUGUAUGAUUGUGACCAUCAUUUUUUUAAAUGAAGAAUGCAUUGAAUAAACAACAACAUCAAUACAUUUAUUCAAAGCAAGAAUGUAUUAUUUUUUGUUAUUUGUAUGUUAGAUUGCGAUAUUUAUAAUAAAAGAUCUACUGAGACAACUUUAGAUUAGAUAGAUUUCUCUAUCCUUAAAAAUUCUAAAAAAAGAAAAUUUAUUCUAUCUGUAUUGGCAGAAAAGAAAUCUACCUUUGACAAAAGAAAUCUACCUUUGACUUUUAAAAAAAAAAAAUUACGACUUGAAUUUUGAAGGCAUGAGUUGCCAAUAGGAUACAAGCCCAUUGGCCAAACAUGUAUAAAUUGAAUAAACAAUGAUGUCUUCAGUUGUUUCGGCUAUGAAAUUUAUAAAAAGAUAAUUUGGUACAUUUUUAGUAUGUUCCCAUUAACCCAGUAGCUUAUCCAUCUUUUUCCUAGUUAAAAUUCAUUCUACUUUCAACGCUGUCUCUUAUCUCUUUUUUUAAAAUCAAAUUUCCUCUUUUAUUAAUCAACUUAAAUUAUCCAAUCCCAUCUUUUUUCUCAUUUGGCUUGUUCUCGUGGAUUUGCUUUGAUUUAACUUUUUCCCUUAUUCGUCAAGAAUUUAUGUGCACAUUAAUAAUUUAAUAUAUUGAUCUGUUAAUGUUGAAGGCUCUACGAACUUAGUAGUAUAUCUUACUUUCAAAAUUAGCUCUAAUAACUAAUUAUAUAUCUUUGCAUUCUCCAUGCAAACUUUCUCGAAUUUCUUAAUUAAAUUUCUCAAAUUAUCACCUAACGUGUUCAAAGAGAGCACGUUACGUGACAAUUUUGGGAGAUUGUGGAAUUUUUUUUGUGAUUUUAAGGGUUUGAUAAAGAUUUGCAAUUUGUGCUUUUGUGAGAUGAAGAAUGUCUUUUUACUUUCCAAAGUGGAUUCCAAUACAAUUAACUCAUAACCGUUAACGGGGGACCUCACAAAGGCAAAGUGUUGGCCGGUGAGUUGAAGCCGCCAUUACUUGCUGCACUUUUGCGUUUUUUUUUUUUUUUUCCCUUCUAAACACAAAGUCAAAGUCCUUGUUUAUUUAAUAUGUUUGUGUAUGGAGUGGAUUCGCUAAAGUUGUUUAUACUAAACCACUUGUAAUUAAUCAUUCAAUAAGGGGCACAUUUGUUGACCCUGAAUGUCCCGAUAGUUAUCUUUGUUUUAAUUAACUAAAUUAAAAAAAUGAUGGACCCAACUCCAAACUCAACAAGUUCACUACUUACGCGUAAAAAGAAAGAAGGGAACAAAAAUUUACAUCAGGUUUGUUUUUGUAUUCUUGUAAUAAUUUAAGACAGCCGAUCUGGUGAUGAAUACUCUGAUGCUACAAGUUUCUCUCCACUUUCGUUGGCUGCAAGCAUCGCAUCUUCAAACGUUACUCCCUCCUCCAUCCAUUGUCUUUCGUUGGCUGAAAGCAUCGAAUCUUCAAACGUUAAUUCCUCCUCCAUCCAUUGUGAAUCUUAUGUAAAUUACAACUCAGUUUCAACUAUUAAAAUAUAUAUAUAUAUAUGAACAAGAAUCUGGGGGUUGACAACUCUGUUUCUGCUCAUGGCACAAUGGCACCUUCGUACUAUAAAUAGGAGUGAUUGAGUUGAACCCAAAAAAAGGAAAAAAAUUACAAACAGAAACUCCCUAUUUGUCAGUUGGAAAAAAAAAAACACACGUGAUGCCGAUUCCGAACAGCGAGGACUGCCGUGGUCAUACUAAUAAUGGGUAUGGUUCUUUUCUAACUCAGUCAACUUAAUUAUGAUCAUUUUCCUUUCAGUUUUCUGUAAAUGCGGAGGCAUGAUCUUUUCGUGAAGUAGAGUGAUUAUGAACUCGGCUACGACUCAUCACCAGCACCUUAUGUUACGGCGACCGAUGAGGAAUUUGGUGCCGUCGGGUGUCACGCCGUUGGGUUCGGCUCGUCGAGCUCGGGGCUUCGGGCAUCGGCAAAUCGAAGGCCGGAUUCUUUGGUGAGUCGCCGCCUCCGCGGGGGAUCAGAGGUCAUGAUGAUGAUGGCUUUCACAUUGACCAUGAAUGCCAGGCCAGGAGGUGACCUAGAGUUGGAUAGUACGGGUGGAGUUGACUCUUGGUUCUUAGAUAAGAGCGGCUCAAGGCUAAAUAUUCUUAUGUCAGCCGUCGAGUCAAAGCUCAUCCUAGCUUGACGCUGUCGGAUACGGAUAAUAUCGGUGCAGUUUUUUUAAUGAAAUUUUCAGAUGCACGGAUCCGCAUAGAAAAGCAUUUGAUUAUGAAAAAAAUCUAACCCCCAUUAGAAAAAUGUUGUUAGCUUCGCCCCUGGGUGGACGAAGGCGAGGGUGACUGAAAGGGCUAACAAGAGUUAACUUAUAUAAUUAAUUGCUCUACUCUCUCACUACUACGAAAAUGUUUUCUUUUAAUUAAUUACAUUGAAGUGAAUAAUCUAAGAUUCUGGGAAGCAAAAUAUAACUCUCUGCGGUAUUUUUGUGAUUUGCAGGGACCGAAUUUUCCUUUCCUACGCUGCUGUUUUCGGGUUUGUCAUUCCAGUUCUUGUCAAUCUCGUGGCUGCUAACGUUGAAGGCACAAACAAGCCCUUGUUCGAAGAGUAUGCCAUAAACAUGUCGGCUUUUCUUGUGGGGAUGGGAGUGUACUGCGUUGCACUUGUUGCUGAUUUCAACUCCCGAAUCUGUCAAUCAAAUUCUAAUUCAGCUGCUGCUGAUACCGAUAUUUCUUCCAACGUCUAUAGCCUUAUUGCUGUCGUCUUCGGAUUGCUUUCUACACUCUCACUGGUGUCGAUCCUUGUUCCACGCGUGAUCGGUUAUGUCAUCUUGGGCAUUGGUUGGCUCUGCGCAGCUAUUUUCCUUGCUGUCUUUCAAGGUGGCAGAUUGAUCAUGGAUCCUGUUCGUUGGAUUUACAACAAAUUCAUCAAGCCGGUUUUCACCAAGACUAGGAAUUGGUUCAACGUAAAUGCGCCAUGUUUCAAUUACUUACGUAAUCAAACUAGUUAAUUCUCUUCCGUCUUCCUCACUCGAUCGGCAGACCACGAGGUUAAGUUGACUUAUGUGUCAAAUUUUCGUUGGUUAUAUUUGGUCAGUUGUGUAUUGUCACAUAUGGGGAUAUCUGUUGAGGCAUGUAAUCGAUGCAUGUUUAAGAUGUCUGUCUUUGAUGAACGCUAAGGCAGCUCAUUAUUCAGAGUACAAGAAGACUGAACUCAAAGCUACACGUGUCAGAAAUGCCAUGUCAUUAAAGGUGACUGAGCAAUGGAACAGCUCUAUUGACAGCUCAUCAUAGGUGGUUAAGUUUGUUGUAAUACACACCGUGUGCAUGUUUAUGAAGUUUAGAUAGAUCUUAUAAUCUGUUUAGUGUAAUUAGUUACAAGUUGUUUUUACUGAUAAGUGUAUAUAAGCGUGAGAUGUAACUGAUGCAAGUGAUUAAGAAAGUUCCAGAUUAAGAAAAAUUUUCUAUGAGAUUUUCUUUCAAACCAAACAUCAUUUUUCUCAUUCUGUUUCAAUGAAAAAUUAAGCCUAAUAGAAAAGUGAAUCUAUAUGCUGCUAUUUCUUCGAAUAAAUUUCUUGUAUUUUCUCCUUCAGCUAUUUUGGAAUGCUUUCCGGACCUGUUUUAAUUUGAAAAUAUGAAUAUCUUUAAUUAUUUAAUUAAUUAAAUCAUUUUUUAAAGAAUUUAUAAUAGAAAGUGAAUAGAAGUAUACAACUAAUAAAAAAACUUUUUCUCCCAUUCAGUGCGAACCUUUGUCUUUGGCUGUUAAAAUUCCUUCAAGAUUGUGAUCACAGUACAAAGAAUUCAGGAAAAGGAAGUUACUAAAAGCGAGAGAGGACACGUGGCUAUUAAAAUAUUGAUUUUAAUAAGGAAAAAUGGGGUUGGCUGAAAAAGGAGAAAGGGGAGCUUCGCGGUAGGCUCACUUCUGCUUUUGAGUAAGCACGAAUCAUCAUCAUUGGGCUUUCAACCGUCCUUCUCUUUGAGUCGCUCGUUGAACUGUCACUCAGAGACGUGGCGAAUGGACGCGGAGAAAAAUAUUGGAAUGGACCGGACCUGAUUAAUUUUUUUAAUACAUUAAUUACUUAGUGAUUGUGCUUUGUCUUUUUGACCUAAUAUUCUCUAUACCAAGAAUUACAUUGAUUUACGUCUCCAAUGCUUGAGGCCAUAGUCACGAGCUAUGGGAGUAGAGAACCAUUGAUUUACAAGCAAUUGAAGCAAGCAACCGUUGAUUUAAAUCACUUAAAAAGAAUUUUGAACCGAGAAUGUCGUCAUUACAAUGAAUAAAAGUCCAAAUUUUCCAAGUUGUUGUAGGAGAAGAACUAGCCCGACAAAAGAGCGUCGAUAUUCCAUCUUUUGGCCUUACACCUUUCAUCUGGUUUGUUUCCUUUCAUAGACCAAAGUUGGUGGCUACGUACCUUUCUUUCUAACCGGCCUUUUUCCUUCAGACCAAAGUAAGUUGCUUGGCAAUCCCAAUUUCCUUUCACACAUCUGUAAAGUGAAGGAAUGUAACUUAUAUUGUGCUUGCUAACUAUAAUAGUAUUUUAGGCCAUUUGAAAAGCAUUAGGAAAAAUUAUCGUGUCACUUUCGUGGAAAAGUAUAAAGGAGAUCCUGAAUCAACAUAUUGAGGCUUUAAUUCAAUUUUAUUUGGUAAUAAUUUCCAGUUCAAGCAAGCUAUAAACAACGAUGAAGAUUUAUUCAAAUAUGUCUAAUUUAAUGAAGAAAGGACUCUCAGAUGUUAGCCCUUGUUUACUUUGUUUUCUUCCAUAAUAAGAUAAGACCGCUCAAUCCUUUUAUUUAUUUUUUUUAAAAAAGGGAAAGUAAAUCUCUUAUUAAUUCAACUGAGUGAAUAUAUUACAGUACAAUAGAUAUGUCGUAACAUCAAUGCCAUUCAUACACGUAUCAGAUAAAUAAUAUCUUAACACUCACGACAUUAGGCUUUAAAUAAUAUAAGGCUUUAAAUACAACUUAUCUUAGAAUUAAAAACCUCAAAAAUAGCAAGCACUAGGCAUGUUCUAAUAUUAUGCUUCAUAACUCCACGAAGUAAGGUGCCACUAUGUUAACGCUUGACUAAUUAAACAAAAAUCAAUGCAGAAUAAAUAAAUAAAUGAUAAAAUAUAAAUAAAUUAUUAUAAAAGAUCAUAUCACGCCUUCUCUCUUAAAAAUACCCUUGCCCUCAAGGGUAGAUUUAAGAUGUCUUCUUCUUCUCUUCCAAUUUAUAAUUAGAUACAACAAUGCCUUCAACCUCUCAUGAAAAUUCUUCCAAUUCAUGAUUCUGUGAUGCAGGAUCUUCUAUUUAUUCUUUUUAAAUAAUUAUUCAAUUGAAUAAUAUGUCAUAAAUUUAUAAGUUAUGUGUAUAUUCAUAUUUCUCUUUAUUAUUAAAUAUCAGUUUUCAAUAAAGAACCAGAUUUUUAUUUCAUUUUUAGCAUUAAUUAAUAGAAACUACACAGUUGUUUCCAUUGUUAACAGAAACUAUUAUGGGCUUGGCUUUGGCCCGGAAUGCAUGGGAAUUGAAUUAAUAAAAUCUGAAGUAUUUUAAUAUAAAAAAAUUAAUUUGUUAACAUGAAAUAAAUGGCUUUAAUUAUAUCACGGUGUUGUAUACAUACUGAUAGUUCGAUAAAAUAUUUUUUUUGCCCUGCCUUUUGUUGAUGCAUCCAAUGAAAUUUAAAUAACAAUAGAAUAAUUACUUCUCUCAAAACUUAUGACAAGAACUCCUACGUUAUCGACUCAAGCAACAGAUUUCAAAUAGAGUGAGUACUAUACUGCAAUACAAUAAUUAACCUCAUUCCCAUGCAUGCAUGCCUCUCCCACACAAUCUCCUUUGCCACGUAUUUACGAUUUCGCACAGGAAUAUUUUGAGAUCUUCUAGGCUUAUCGAUACCUUCCCUUGGAAGUGGACUCUUGUCUUUAAGGCUCACAUUUUAAAACUGAUUCAAUAACUCCUCUACGAUCUCCCAUGUAGCCUCUUCCUUUAGAAGACGAUGCCACUUCACUAAGCUUUCCACAAACUUUUGUUCCCAUCGGUUUGGAAUGCUUUCUUGGGAUAACCACCACUGGAAUUAAAAAUGUCCAUUCGUCAACUAUGUUCUGGGUUUGUUGAAACAAACCUAUAAUUUUUCUACGGGUGGGCACGGGUAUCAACCCGACCCAACCCGUAUAUAGAACGGGUUGAAAAAAUUCAACCUAACCCAAUCCAUUAUAUUUUUCAACCCAACCCGACUCAACUUGUAAAGUUACGGGUUGGGUUGAUUGGGUUGGGCUUUUGAAAAGCUCAUUUUUAUGGUCUAAACAAAAAUUAAUUAAUUAAUUAAAAAACACAAAUACUAAAAUCCUUACAACAAAUCCAAUAUUUCAAAAUUUAACAAUCAAAUUUAUUAGUACAUAACUAAUGAAAAAAAAGUACAUUAAUUUAAAAUCUUAUUUAAUACAAAACAUUAAAGUCCAAAGAGUGAAAAAUUUUAUAAGUCUUCCAUACAUAGGAAGAGAGUUUCCCGAAACCAUUGCUCAACACCAACCAACAGGAGUGUAAUGAAGAUCAAUCUAAUGACAUCAAAAUCCAGAUCAAUCCAAAUUAAUGACAUUAAAAUCUGAUGCCAAUCUUGAAUCUAUAUAACAAUAAAAAUAAAAAUAUUAGGCAUAUAUGUUAUAACAAAUAAAUACAAGGAAAAUAUAAAUAGAAUAAAAAUAAAAAUCAUAAUAUAAAUAUUUACCUAAUGUAAUUGAUUCAUAAAAUGCCAUAUCUUCAACCGAAGAUGUAUCCUCUUCUACAGCAAUACGAGAAGAACAAAGCCAAUUUUGCCCACAUAUCAAGCUCUCUACCAUUUUAGGACUCAAAGAAGCUCGAAAUGGAUCAAGAAUGCGUCCUCCUGUACUGAAUGCAAACUCAGAAGCAACUGUAGAUAUUGGGAUUGUAAGAAUGUCUUUGGCUACAUUAGACAAAACUUUAUACUUCCCACCAUUUACCUUCCACCAGUUCAACAAAUCAAAUGAAUCGUCAAAGCAAUUUUCACAAUCAUCUAAUAAAUAUUUGUCCACUUCAUUUUUCAACUCUACACCAUCCUCUUCCAGCUGCUUCUUUUUCCAUUUUGAAAGUUUUGCUACCUUGGCUAAUCUAUAAUCAAUAAUAUCACUUUUUUUCUCUAACUCGGAUGAAAAAAUGACAGCAUUAACAGAUUGGUUUUGGCUACCACCAUCACAUCUAGGGUUAUUAUUUGUGUAAAAGUCAUACAAAGAAGACAAUAAGCCCUUAAUCACUUUUAUGAGCUCACACACAACAUUUUCAUCAUACAACUCCUCAAAACAAAAUUUCACAAAACUCAAUUUAUAACGCGGAUCAAGCACAACAGCAACAAUUAACAACUUAUUUAGAGUGUUGAGGGAACCCCAAUAUUUGUCAUACUUCUCUUUCAUCUUCUUUGCCAUUGCACUCAAAUAAGAAUCAUCACUUAGUAUCAAUCCUUUUAAAUUUGACUCUAUAGAAUGCAUCUCAUGAAAAUACAAAUGUGAUGUAAGAGACAAAGAAGCACUAAAUUUUUUAGUAAUUUCAUAGAAAUUCUCCAAAAAAUUAUUCAACACACUUGCAUUCACCCAAUCUAUAAGUUCCGGUGGCCCAAUCCUUUUUUUUCCACCCUUUUUCUCUUCAAAAUAGGAUCUAUAAAAUCCAUCAUCAUCCUCCAAUCGUUCAAAAGCUUUUUGAUAUACAAGAGCACUCUCUAACAUUAAAUAGGUGGAAUUCCACAUAGUAGGAACAUCCAUCACAACAAUACGUUUGGAAUCAAGUUUUUCAAGCUCAACACAUUUUCUAAACCUUAUUAAUCUAGCUGGUGAUGAUCUUACAUAUUUCACUGCAUUGCGAAUGCUAGAAACAGAAUUAUUCAUCUCUUUCAAUCCCUCAGUCACAAUCAAAUUUAUAAUAUGUGCACAACAUCUAACAUGAAGAUAAUCACCAUUCAACACAAGCCCACCCCAGUUAUUCAGCUUCUUUUUUAAAUAAGAAAUGACCAAAUCAUUCGAACUUGCAUUAUCAACAGUAAUUGUAAACACUUUAUCAAUACCCCAUUCAAGCAAGCAAGACUCAAUCAAUUUUCCAAUUGUAUCUCCUUUAUGAUCAUCAAUCUGGCAAAAGUUUAAUAUCCUUUUAUGAAGUUGCCACUCAUCAUCAAUAAAAUGGGCUAUAAUAACCAUGUAAUUAAAAUUUUGUAUUGAAGUCCAACAAUCAGUUGUUAUACAAACCCUAUACUUAUUACUAGCAAACACUUUUUUCAAAUUAUUCUUCUCAUUUAAGUACAACUGAUACACAUCUCUAGCAACAGUUCUCCUAGAAAAACGAUCAAGUUUUGGACAAGCUUUGCUCAUAAAUUUCCGAAACCCUUCUUUUUCAACAAAACUAAAGGGCAAUUCAUCAAUAAUUAUCAUCUCAAUGCAUGCUUUUCUAAGGUCCUCUUUGCUACAAGAUAUUGCCACAAGAUUACUGCCACCACCAGUUGUGUUAUCCUCAAACACCAAGGUUUUUUUUUUUUUUUAAAUCAACUUUCCUAUCAGUAUAGGCUGUGCAUGCUGACAAGUGAUUCCAUAAAGUACGGGUCCCAAUAAAUCUAAAAUGACACGCACACACUUUAGAACAGUAGUUACACUUACAUUUUGUAUCAUUCUCAAAUUUUGUGUAAUGUUCCCAUACUUGUGACACUUUUCCACCUUUUCCAUUGCCUGCAUGUGUAUUAAUAGCAUAUCAGUUGUACUUUGAGUUGUUGAAGGUGUAGAGAUAUUAACUCCUAGAUUGGAUGAAUUUGCUUCCAUCUACAAGGAAAAAAUUCCAGGCCAUGAAUAUUGUCAUUAUCCUAUUAAUAAUUAACAAAUAAUCGAAAAAAUAACAAAUAGUGGUCACAGCAAGCUUAAAGCUCUUUUAUUAAUACCUUUAGCCAUGUUUGGAUACUGCGAUAAAUAAAUAUGAUUAGAAUAAUUUUAUGAAAAAAAAUCCAUCUGAGAUAGAAUACAUAUGUGAAUUUGAGAGCAUGACUAGUUAAUACUGAAAAUAUUUUUGCAGAACAAUGCCCAGCAGAUGUUUGUCGAAAAACCUUUUCCCUAAGAUUGUAAUAAUAAUAAUUAUUUUAUUUAUGUUAAUCCGAUUGUUGAUUAAGCUUGACACCAUCAUAACAACCAAAAAUUGACCAACUUUUAUCAAUAAAAAAAUAUUAUAAAGCACCAAAUCAUGAAAUCAAAUGGGCUAGACAUUUUAACAAUAAAAAAUUGAUCAACUUGUUUCAAAACAAUAAUAAAUUAGUAAAAUAGAAAGAAGAAAGAACCUAAGCAUGUGACGAUUUGUAGUUUGGGCAGCUUUUCAAGAAACGCCGUGAGUUGUGAUGUUGUUGUGCUCUAUGCGCGAGCAGAUGAGCAACUGUUCUUUAAACAAGAGAAUUUGAGUUUAGGGUUCUAAUAAAGUUGCUAAAUAUAUUUUUAUAUAUACGGGUUAACGGGUUGGGUUGGGUUAAAAAUUUGCAACCCGACCCAACCCGCAAACAGUGCGGGUUGAAAAUUUAAUAACCCAACCCGACCCGUAAAUUUUUUCAACCCAACCCAACCCGCAAAAAUUCAUACGGGUUGGGCAGGUUGGUGCCCACCCCUAAAUUUUUCCACUUUUGUAACUGUUGUUAACAACAAUUGACUAUGUUUGACUCAUGCGCAAAGCAUGUGACUUGAUUAAGUGAUCAAAAUGAUGAUUGAUUUUUGUCUUUACGUUCUUAAUGGUUUAAAUGAUUGCAUAUGAGUAACAUGUGUAACAUUACUAUAUUUAAUUGACAUGAGGUGGAUGUCAUCUUCAAUACUUAAGCACAAAAUCGACAUGUCAUCUUGAGGAGGCUAUCAAGUCAUACAAGUUGGAAAACACAAAUUGACUCUAUGACACCUUCUAGAAACUAGAUUUAAUGUAAUUACUUUAACUUCUCCACCUUAAAUUUGAAACUCUCUCAAACUUGCUACUUUUCUCUCUAUAUCUUUUGCAAAAUUACCUUUUGCAGAUUCCUGGUAAGUAGCUUAAACAUAGCACCAGGAAUAGCCUUAGUUAAGAUAUCAACAAAAUUGUCAUCAGUAUGAAUCUUUCCCAACUUAAUAGUUGUUUUUGAAACCUCCAAUCGAAUAAAGUAAAGCUUGGUGUCAAUAUGCUUGGUCUUUCUAUGAUGUGUUUGGUUUUUGCUAAGGCAUAUAGCACCUUGACAAUCACAAUAUAUCACCGUAGACAUUUGAUCAACUCUAAACUCACUGACUAUGUGUUAGAGUGUAAUUUAUGCACUAGUUUUACAUUGUUUACUUCCUUUAAUAUCGAUGUUUUGCACUUAAUAAUAGUGAUUUACUUGUGUUUUAUUUUUGUAGCUACAAUUCUAUUGAUUAGUGCUAAAAUUGAGCUACAAGAUGAUGUUUGAGGAUGAUUGUUUUCCUGGAGAAAUUAUGAGCGUCAAAAGAACUUUAUUGAUAAGGCGUGGGCGCGUGCUGUCAACUACGAACCUGUAAUUUUUAGUUUAACGUGUUUUGUAUUUUUGGUUAUUUUUGUAAUUAUGAAUUUAAUAUUUCAGCUAUUUGUAUUUCAUUUUAGAAAAAACUCUAGAGGAGAAGAGAGAGAAUAGUAUUUAAGGGAGGAAUCUAUUAUGAAAAGAGGAGACUUUGGAGAAAAGAAAGAAACCCUAGAUCUAAAUUUUUCUUUUCUUUCUAUGAAGAACUAAACCUAUUAUUCUGGUUAAAGGUUAAUGAAGUUUUGAUUCAUCACUACUGUGAGAUUUUUCUUAUGCUUUAAUUGUUUUAUUGCUUUUUGGGUAUUUGUUUAUUCUUUGAAUUAUUGUCAUGAUUAUGUUUGUUAAUUAGAUAAUUGGCCACUAUUUAAUUAUCAACUUAAUCUAUUGUCAAUUAAAUGAUUCAUCGUAUGAAGAUUUUAAUGUUUGUGACAAAUAUCAUAGCAGUGAGUUGUGUUAUGAGAAUAAACAAUCAAAUUUAAAUGAACCAUCGUAUGCGUUUGUUGAUUAGGAUUUGGGUCUCUCUAGUUUUUCAGGCUGUCAAUUGAUUAAAUCCUAUGAUCGUAUCUAGAGUUGUCUAUUGAUUAGGGAAAUAACCAACGGUCGUACCUUAGUUAUCGACUAGUUAAGGAGAGAUUGGCUAUUAGAGGGUCUCAGUAGCUAUAACCGGUCUAUUCAUAAGUAGUAAUAAUUUAUAAUUGAAUCAAUGAUCAGUAGUCGAAUCAAGCUGAGUUAAUUCCUUCAACCAGAGCUUUUCCUAAUUUGAAUUACAAUUUUGAAAUUGCAUUCUUGUUAUUUUAAUUUGAUUUUUAUUAUUGUCAACAAUCCCCUCAUUUUGCAUUUUAUAUUUUAAAAGGAUUUAAAUAAUUACCGAUCUCUGUGGACACGACCCUACUCAAUCACUAUACACAAUUUAUUUAGAGUAGGUAUUUAUUUUUGCUGGUUUUGACAACCAUCAAAUUUUGGCGCCGUUGCCAGGGAUUGGUGUCAUUUAUUUAAUCCUUUUUACGUUUUACUUGGUGUAUGGUUCGUUCUUCUCGUACAGGUACACUUUCAUUUGAUCCUGAAAUUGAAAAGACAGCUCGCCAACUGAGACAGCAGACGAAGCGAGCUAAGCAACGAUCCUCGUCACCUUUGCUUUAUAAAACAGGUACGGUGCCUGAUUUGGUUGAAUCAUCCAACGAUUCAGAAGAAUAAGUGAUGGAUAGAGUUGUACUUGUAGAAAGAACUCUUAGAGAGUUAGCUGAACCAGACUUGAAUCAACAACCAUUUUGCAUUCAAUAUGUGGACUUGGAGGUAAAUUUUGAAUUAAAGUCUGGUCUUAUUCAUUUGUUACCCAAGUUUCGUGGUUUUGCAGGUGAAAAUCCUCAUAAACAUCUCAAGGAGUUUUAUGUCGUGUGUUCAAGCAUGAGGCCACAAGGCGUGACUGAAGAGCAAAUUAAGCUGCGUGCUUUUCCUUUCUCUUUAGAUGGACUAGCUAAAGACUGGUUGUACUACUUGCCUCCUGGAUCGAUUACAACAUGGAAUAGUUUGAAGAAGCAGUUCCUCGAGAAGUACUUUCUUACUUCAAGAGCUGCCAACAUCAGAAAAGAUAUUUGUGGGAUCAGACAACUUCCUGGGGAGACUUUGUGUGAGUAUUGAGAGUUAUUCAAACAAUUGUGUGCCAGCUGUCCUCAGCAUCAGAUUUCUGAUCAACUUCUUAUUCAAUAUUUUUACGAAUGACUGUCAUUAAUGGAUAGGAGUAUGAUAGAUGCUGCUAGUGGAGGUGUAUUGGUGAACAAGACCCAUACUCAAGCAAGGAAGUUGAUCUCAAAUAUAGCUGCCAAUGCACAACAAUUUGGCAGUAGGCAAGAUCCUACUUCAAAGAAGGUGAAUGAGGUAAAUAUUUCUUCUGUUGAACAACGUUUAGAUAAACUUACUUCUCUUGUGGAAAAGUUUGUUGUAGGUAAUGUGCAACAGGUAAAGACUUGUGGCAUUUGUUCCAAUAUGGGUCAUUCAACUUAUAUGUAUCCUACACUUCAAGAAGAACCCGUUGAACAAACCAAUGCAGUUGGAGGAUUUCCAGGCAUGCCUCAGGGGAAGUAUGAUCCUUAUGCACAAACAUACAAUAUGGGAUGGAAGCAUCAUCCCAACUUUAGCUAUGGAGUUAAGCCAUCAGGAUUCCCACAACAAUACCCAUCAAGACAACCAGCCCCUCCACAGUCAAACUUCAAGUCAGAUAUAUCUCUUGAAGAAAUUGUUAAAUCACUUGCGACUAACACUCAACAAUUUAAGCAGGCAACUACAAUAAGCAUUCGGAAUUUGGAGAACCAAAUGAGCCAAUUGGCGACAACAGUGAGCCGUCUGGAGUCUCAAGUAUUAGGGAGAUUACUUUCACAAUCCGAGGUGAAUCCAAAGCAAAACAAUAGUGUUGUCAUCCUUAGAAGUGGGAAGGAGUUGCAAGAGUCUAGUAAGAAAGUGACAAAGCAUGUAAAAGAUGAGCUUGAGAAGAAUGAAUUGAUGCCUAAAUCUCAAGAUGCACAACCCACCAGAGCGAAACCCCUACCUAUUGUGAUACCUCCUCCUUUUCCAAGCCGGUUUGCAAAAUCCAAGAAGGAGGAAUAAGAAAAAGACAUCCUUGAGACAUUUCGCAAGGUUGAGGUAAAUAGUCCUUUAUUAGAUGCUAUAAAACAAAUACCUCGAUAUGCCAAAGUCCUUAAGGAACUGUGUACCUCUAAGAGAAAAUUAAGAGGAGAUGAAAAAGUUCACAUAGGGGAGAAUGUUUCAGCAGUUCUCCAAAAGAAACUACCUCCUAAGUGUAAGGAUCUAGGUAUGUUUACUAUCCCUUGUAAAAUUGGUAGUGUUAGAGUUGAAAAGACUAUGUUAGAUCUAGGAGCUUCUAUUAAUGUCAUGCCUCGUUCCAUUUAUUCAUCUUUGAAUGUUGGUCCAUUAAAAGAAAUUAGCGUGAUAAUUCAACUAGCUGAUAGGUCUAAUGCAUAUCCUGAUGGGGUAUUAGAAGAUGUCUUAGUACAAGUUAAUGAGUUGGUUUUUCCUGCUGAUUUUUAUGUACUUGAUAUGGAAGAGGAUAACUCCUCUAAUUCUGUCCAAAUUUUGCUAAGAAAACCUUUUCUUAAGACUGCUAGGACUAAAAUGGAUGUACAUAAAGGGACUCUCACUAUGGAGUUUGAUGGAGAGGUUAUAGAAUUCAAUAUGAAUGAUGGAAUGAAAUAUCCUAGUGAGGAACAUUCGGUAUUUUCUGUGGAUGUUAUUAACCCUAUAGUGCAGGAAGUUUUUUACAAGGAAACAACGAAGACAUUUUAUGACAGAAUAAUUUUGAAAAAGGAGUUCUCUGUUGGUCAAAAAGUUCUUUUUUUUUUCAUUCUAAGGUUAAACUUUUUCCUGGUAAAUUACGUUCUUGCUGGGUUGGACCUUUUAUUGUUACUAAUUUUUUUCUUUAUGGUGCAAUUGAGAUUCGGAGUCCGACCUCUGACAAAGUUUUUAAGGUUAAUGGUCAUCGCUUAAAAUCUUUUUAUGAAGGUUUUUCGGUGAAUAUUGUGGAGGAUGUGGCUCUCGAGAGUCCCAUUUAUGGAGAUUGAUGCAUGAAUGUGUCUAGCCAAAGACAUAAAACAAAAGUGCUUUUUGGGAGGCAACCCAAAGGAUUUAUUUAUUUGGUUUUUGUUAUAUCUUUUGUUUUUAAUUUUGAUUCAGAUUGUUUAAAUAAUGUUUUUGCUUAUUUUGGCCAGAAGAAAAUUUUUGGUAAGGCGUACCCACGUUUUAACUAAUAAGUACUUCUGUGAUUUUAAAGUAAAAUGGUUUUAAGGUGUGCUCACGUUUUAACUAGUAAAUACUUCUGUGAUUUUGAAGUAAAAUAGUUUUAAGGCGUGCCCACGGGCUUAUAAAAAAAGUACUUUUGAAAUUUUUAGUGUCUCAAGUGAUUCAUCACUAAAACAAAAAAAAUUAUUAUUUUAUUUAUUUUUUAUUAUUAUAUAUUUUUUAAAAAAAAUAAAAAAAAAUUCACUGUUCAUAAAAUCCCUAAUUCACCAGAAUUUGUUUUCUUCUCCAGCUGCUUGCAGCACACCAGCAGCAAACUAGCCCGUGUGAACUAGCAAGCAUCUCCAGCAGCAACAGUUCCAUCUCGCAGCGCGCAGCACCAGCAUCACCAGCGCAAGCACCAGCAUCCCGCGCGCAGCUCCGUGCCGUAAUCAGUCGUACGGUAUCCCGCGUGCAAGCAGCCCGCGCGCAGUUUCGUCUGCAACCAUCCGUGCGCAACCUAAGCAGCAGCCCGCGCAAGCAACCAGCGUCAGUUCAGCAACGCGCAUCCACAACCAGCCCGUGCACGCCUAGCUCCAACCCGCGCAGCACAACCAUCCGUGAGCAACCUGAACUAGCAACCGUGUACCUGCAAGCUCAACCGAGUAGCAAUCGUCUGUAACCAGCCCACGCCCUGCAUUCCAGCCUCAUGAAUCGAAACCCGUGAGUGAAAUUACUAUAACAAUGCCAAAGAGAAAAGCAUCAACUUCCAAGUCAUCAACAUCUAAAAAGAAACUCGUCGCAAAGAAAUCCAAGAUUGCCGCUCCCACUAUGGUUCCAUGGAACACAGUUUCAGAUUUACACCAAGCCGUGAGACAAAGAUCGAAAAAUGGAAAAGGCAUGAGUGUUUUGCCAUUUGUAGAAUCCAAUCUCGGAGGGUGCCUCACAUUCACGACUCAACAAGAGAAAGAAAAGUACAAAGAUAUUUCCAAGCGAAAAAUACUUCCAGUUAAGUAUAUUCAUUACCCGACUCUUGAAAAAUUAAAUGUUAAGAAUAAUUUUGAUUCUUUGAUGGAUAAGAUUGGUUUGCGUAAGUUUGUUGAUGUUGAUUGUUUGGGUUAUGUUGAGUUGAUUAGGGAGUUCUAUGCUGCUUUUCAAUUUAAUAUACCGAAUAAUUUUACUUUGUAUACUCCGGAUGUUAUAAAAUUUAGGUUAAUGGGACAUAAUUUUUCACAAUCUAUCAUAGAUUUUAACCUAGCUUUAGGAUUCAUUGAUGAUGAUUAUUCUUCUAGUGAUGCAUAUUUAGGAACAACUUGUGACUUUAGCGAAAAUUUUGAGCCUUAUGGUCUUUGCCGUAAUUUAUCGAUUGAUCACAAUGCCUAUGACCGGAGUAAAUCAAAGAGUUCUUUCUUACAUGAUCCUGUUUUGAAAUGUGUGCAUCGGUUCUUAGCAUAUAAUUUUUUAGGAAAGAAAGAUCACUCGAGAGUUUUCUCUAAAACUGGGUUUUAUUUUAUCUGGUGCAUGUUAAAUGAUGUGAGGCCUAAUUUGGGUUUUUAGUUAGCAGAUCAAUUUCAAAGUAUGUUUAAACGGUAUAGGACUUUAUAUCUUGGUCUAUACAUUACUCUGUUAGCUAUAAACUUAUGUGUGCUUGAUUAUGAUAAUAAUGAUUUGCAUCCUGCUUGCAAAAAUGAAUUUUUGGAUAUGCCUGUGUUUGAAAGAAUAGGUGUGGUCGAAUUCAAGGAGGGGAGAUUUCGGUUUACUGAACCAAGACCCACUCAACUUCCAAAGAAGCUUUAUGCUAGAAGUGGUGCUGUUGAGUGUUAGAAAAUGCAUAUUUAUAAAGGAGAAAACCGUCAUUUUACAUUUCAAGUCUUACUAACAACCCUUACUUUUAUGUAUUUAACCUUCUUGUGAUUUAAUUACAUGUGUUUUAUUUUAAUUAAGUAUUUUAUAUAUUUUAGGGGCAUUAUAGUCAUUUCACAAUAAAGGAGAGAUCAGACAGCAAAACGGACAUCACUUUUGAACUCAGGACGGUCAAAAACCUUAGGAGGAGCAUAAAAGGAAAAAUAACACUAUUCACAUGUACGGUACUAUUCACGUGUACGGUACUGUCUACGUUACUGUUCACGACACUAUUCACAUAUACGGAUCGAUGACGUGGCAUUGACCGAUGAUGUGGCAUUGACUGAUGAGGUGUCACGAUCCUGUUGGGCUAAAAUUCUUAUGUAUUGUUGAUGGUGACGUGAUAGCAUAUCAGUGGACGAAAAAUCUCGCGUACGGUACAUGCAUCACACAGGAUUAUUUUCAACCAAACCGUAUUACUGUUCAUCUGGGUCAAGCCGCGUUACUGUUCAUCCGGGUCAAACCGCGUUACUGUUCAUCCGCGUGGUCAAACUGCGUACUGUUGACUAAUGACGUGGCGAAAUCCUGAGCGUCCAAACUGUUUUUAAUCCGAUGGCCAUGAUUUACUCCAUGUAUCUAUAAAAAGGGGGCCUCUCCCCCCUAAUUUGAUAUCUCUGAAUCCAUUUUUGGGAUCCAGUUUCUGUAAUUCCUUUUCCAUCUUGUAUUUUCUUCGUAUUUUAAUAAAUUUCCAUUUUGCCCCUAGUUCAAUUAUGAGUGGAUAAUUUUCUUUCAAGCUUGGGUUGAAGCUGAAGUCUCAACAUGUGUCAUGGGCUUUAUUUGGUAAAUUUAUUUUCUCUUCCCCUCUAGUUUUUGUGGAUGUUUUGACUUCUCGUCGACAAAUAAUACUAAUCUUGUCUAGUACCGCCUUGGUUUCACCGGCCCUCUAGUACAAGGUUAUUAUUAUUUGGCACGAUAAGCCCUUAGCACCAUAUUGAUUAGAGCGUGGUUCCUGAGGUGUGGAUUCCCCCUCAUGAUUUAAUUGGCAUUAAUACGGAUUAUUUAGCCCAUGAUGCAUGUUGAUACGGAUCAGGAUACCCAAGUGCUUCAUUUCAAUAGAAUUCUCUUCAAUUUAUUCUCGCUAUUUCAAUUCAAAUUUUAGAAUUUAUUCUUUUCAUUUUAAUUUAAGUUUUAGCAUAUUCCAAAUCAUUUCCACCACAAAUCCAAUCACCCAUUUACAAAAUUAAUUCUACACACAAUUAAAAUCCACCUCCUCGUGGGAUCGACACUUGUCACCAUUGAUCUAUAUUACAAUAGAUUCGUGCACUUGCGAGUUCAAUAAAAUUUGCACAACAGGUGCUACCUCUGAUGACGAGUUUGACGACGAAACUGCUGCCCCGCCAACUAUUCCUUCUACAUCUGCACAACCUUUGAGCAUUCAGUUAGAGAAAAUGGAGCACAUGCUGAACAAGGUGGAGCAAAAUUUGGCCGCAUACUUCGAGAGUGUGGGAUUUAUCCUACCAUUUCCGCCAAGCCCAUAAACGUUAUGUGGAUCAAAGCUCACAAUUCAGGGAAGUUUUUACCUUUAAUCUUUUAUCCUUACGUUUUAAUUUUUAUGUGAGCUUUGAUUAUCUUACAUUGGGGACAAUGUAAGUUCUAGGUGUGGGGGAGGGAUUUUUACAAUAUUGAUGUCUGGAAGUAUUAUUUUCACUCUACUCAUCCUUAAAUGAUUUUGGAGUUAGUAUGCUUCAUAUAUUAUUAUUUUUCUUUUCUUUUCUUUCUCACUACUCUUUUCCCAUCUAUCUCAAAUUAUUCACAUCUAUUUUUAUUUUAUCAUAUUCUUUCAUCACUCACAUUUUAUCUUUCAUUUUUUUUAUUAUUACUACAUACAUCUUUCUCGCUUAUUAUCCUUUUUACCUUUCCUUUUAUAUAUCACUCAUACCUUCUUCUCAUUCUACACCACUAUUGAUGGUUGAUUCAUUUGAAGAGUGUACAUGAUUUGAUGGCAAAUUUACUAACUUUGUGAGGAUUUAAGCCUAUGAGCAACCACUUUGCUCUAAUUAUUUUUGUUAUGUGAAUAUCAAUCUUAGUUUGUUUAUCUUAGAACUUGCUUUCUUAUGCAUGUUGAAGCCGCAUUAUGGGAUUUUAUGCAUUAAAAUGAUAAUGGCAAACCACUUUCCAUUUUUCUAUUUUCGUAUUUUUCUUCUUUUUCUCCACCCGAAGACCUUGAUUUGUUAUAUUUAUUUGAGCCUUAACCAUUAUCCACAUAAUUCUCUCCAUCUACUUACCCAUUUUCCUUCUUUUUGAGUCUCAAUUUAAGGAGAUUUUUGGACUUAUUGUUUGGAUAUAUUUUGUAUAUAUUUUAAAUACAUUGCUUUUUUAAUGGCUUUUGCAAUAGCUGUGUAUUCUACUUCGGUAGUUGAUAACGAAACUAUACUCUAUAACUGAGCCUUCUAGUUUAUUGCACAAUUAUUAAAAGUGAAGAGAUGCCCUAUAAGUGAUCUUCUCUUAUCCAGAUCCCCUACACAAUCUGAGUCCACAUACUAAACAAUCAAACCAUCAUCUUGCCUUGUCCUUUAUAUAGUAAACCAUGAUUGAUGUUCCUCUUGGAUACCUUAAUAUCCAUUUCACAGCCUUCCAAUGCUUAUUCUUAAGAUUAACCAUAUAUCUACUCAUCACACUGGCAACAUACAAAAUAUCUAAACUGGUUAAUAUCAUUGCAUACAUCAAACAACCAACUGCAUUUUGUAUAAAGUACAUUCCUUAUUUCUGUUUUAUCAAAUUCAGUUUUAGGAUACUAAAGUUCAAAUAAUCUAAAAUGAGCUAGUAGAAAUUUUUGGACUAAUUUUGAAUCAGUGAUUUCAAACUUGUCAAGAACUUUGUUGAUGCAAUCGUCCUACGUAAAAAAAAAAAACUAUUAACUUUCUAGCCCCGCUCAAUUCCAUUCCCAAUAUCCUUUUGGCGAGCCCAAGAUUUUUCAUUUUAAUUCUCUUUUAAGCUGUUGUUUUAAGGUUUUUAUUCGAUCUAUAUUCUUGAUAAGGCAACUAUACUUUGUAUUUGAUCUAAUAGUUGCGUAUUCUACUUCAAUAGUUGAUAAGGCAAUUAUAUUCUAUAGUUGUGUAGUUGAUAAGGCAUUUAAAAUGAGCUAGUAAGGCUUUUAUUUGAUCCAUUAGCUAUGUAAUUUGCUUCAAUAGUUAAUAAGGCAACUAUACUCUAUAGUUGAGCUUUCCAAUUCGUUGCAUAAUUAUUGAAAGUAAAUAGAUGCCCUGUAAGUGAUCUUUUGUUAUCCAGAUCCCAUGCACAAUCUGUGUCCAUAUACUAAAAAAUUAAACUAUCAUCUUGCUUUUAUCCUCCAUAUAGUAAACUAUGACUUUUUUUAUCCUUUUAGAUACCUUAGUAUCCAUUUUACUGCCUUCCAAUGCUCAUUCCCAAGAUCAACCAUACAUCUACUCAUCACACUGCCAACAUAUGAAAUAUCUGGUCUGGUUAAUAUCAUUACAUACAUUAAACAACCAACUACACUUGCAUAAAGUAUAUUCUUUAUUUUAGUUAUAUCAAAUUCAGUUUUGGGACACUGAAGUUCGAAUAAUCUAAAAUAAGCUAGUAGAGAUGUUUGGACUGGAUUUUAAUUAAUCAUUUCAAACUUGUUAAGAACAUUGUUGAUGUAAUCCUCCUAUGUUAAAAACAAAAUAUUAGCUUUUAUCUCUGAUAAAUUCCAUUCCCAAUAUCUUCUUGGCUAGUCCAAGAUCUUUUAUUUCAAAUUCUCCUUUAAGUUGUUAUUUUAAUGUUUUUAUUUGAUCCAUGUUCUUACUUGCAAUUAGCAUUUCAUCUACAUAUAGAACUAAAUAAAUUAUUUCACUAGAGAAAUCUAAAUUGCAUCUCUGAAAGCUAAGCUUUAUCAUGAAGCUAUCAAAUCUCAAGUACCACUGUCUAGGUGAUUGCUUGAGACCAUAUAGUGAUUUAAAAGACAAGCCCAAUAAACUCUUAUAGGAUCCUCAAAGCCUUCAGGUUGAGUCAUUAUGAUGUCUUCUUAUAGUUCACCAUGCAAGAAAGUAAUUUUUACAUCUAUUUGUUCUAAAUGCAUUUUAUUUACAGCUACAAGUGAUCAGAUAAUUCUGAUAGAGGCAUGCCUGACUACAAGAGAGAAAACUUCUGUAAAGUCUAUAUCUUUUGUUUGUGUAAAUCUUUUUGGUUUCUCACCUUGUAUGCAUUGUUUAAUUCUAUAGACUCAUUUAUAACCCAUAGCCUUCUUUUUCUUUGUUGGUUUUUCUACAAGCUCCCAAUUACCAUUCUUAUGCAUAGAUUCCAUAUCCUCUUGCAUAGCUUUGUACCACUUAUCUGUGUUUUCACUUAAAAUAGCUUCCUUUUAAGUCUUUGGCUCCUCUUUUUAGAGCUCAUGAGCUGCUGUUAAUACAUAUGCAAUUAAGACUACAUAUCCAUACCUCUUAGGUGUCUUAAUAACUCUUUUUUGCCAUCUUUGAUAAGCUGGUCAUUGUUGUGCAAAUUUUAUUGAACUCGCAAAUGCACGAAUUUAUUAUAGUGUAGAUCAAUGGUAAUGAGUGUCGAUCCCACGAGGAGGUGGAUUUUAAUUGUGUGUAGAAUUAAUUUUCUAAAUGGGUGGUUGGAUUUGUGGUAAAAAUGAUUUGGAUUAUCCUAAAAUUCGAAUUAAGAUGGCAAGAGUAAAUUGAAGUGAAAAUCCAUUAAAUUGACGUACUUGGGUAUCUGGAUCCGUAUCAACAUGCAUCAUGGGCUAAAUAUUCUUUAUUAAUACCAAUUAAAUCAUGACGGGGGAAUCCACACCUCAUGAACCACAUUCUAAUCAAUAUGGUGCUAAGGGCUUAUCGUGCCAAAUAAUAAUAACCUUGUACUAGAGAGCAGGUUAAACCAAGGCGGUAUCUAGACAAGAUUAUUAUUGUUUGUCGACGAGAAGUCAAAACAUCCACAAAAACUAGAGGGGAAGAGAAAAUAAAUUUACCAAAUAAAGCCCAUGACACAUGUUGAGAUUUCACCUUCAACCCAAGCUUGAAAGAAAAUUAGCUACUCAUAAUUGAACUAGGGGCAAAAUAAAAAUUUAUUAAAAUACGUAGAAAAUAUAAGAUGGAGAAAGAAUUAUAGAAAAUGGAGUUCAAAAAUGGAUUCAGAUAUAUCAAAUUAGGGGAGGAGGAGACCCCCUUUUUAUAGAUACAUUGAGUAAAUCAUGGCCAUCGGAUUAAAAACAGUUUUGACACUCAGGAUUGCGCCACGUCAUCAGUCAACAGUACGCGGUUUGACACGGGUUGAACAGUGACGCGGUUUGGUUGAAAAUAAUCUUGUGUAAUGCAUAUACCGUACGCGAGAUUUUUGGUCCACUGAUAUGCUGCCACGUCAUCGAUCAACACUGCAUAAGAAUUUUAGUCCAACAGGAUCGUGACACCUCAUCAGUCAAUGCCACAUCAUCGGUCAAUGCCACGUCAUCGAUCCAUCUAUGUGAACAGUGUCGUGAAUAGUAACGUAGACAGUACCGUACAUGUGAACAAUGUCAUUUUUCCUUUUAUGCUCCUCUUAAGGUUUUCAACCGUCCUGAGUUCAAAAGUAAUGUCCGUUUUGCCGUCUGAUCUCUCGUUCAUUGUGAAAUGACUAUGAUGCCCUUAAAAUACAUAAAAUACUUAAUUAAAAUAAAACACACAUAAUUAAAUUACAAGAAGCUUAAAUACAUAAAAGUAAGGGUUGUUAGUAAGGCUUAAAAUGUAAAAUGACGAUUUUCUUCUUUAUAAAUAUGUAUUUUCUAACACUCAACAGUCAUCCUACAUAUUUAGUGGAUUGUGUUCUAUAAGAGCUGAACUUGAAAAUCUAAAAGAGAAUAAUAUGAACUUUUAUGAGGGAGAAUUUUAUUAAUUUUACCCCCUACUAUUUUUUAGUGAAACUUGUUGUAAAACAAAAAAAAAAAAAGUUGAUUGUUGGUGUAUGAAAAUAUUAACCAAUGAAAUUAAGGGUAUAUUGGAAAUUAAAUAGGGAAUUUUAAGAAAUUUUAAUCAUUUUAAAAUUUUAGUAUUUUAUGCUUGAAAAAAAGAUUUGAUGAGAUGAAGCUAAAUAGCACACUUUAGUUAUAAUAUUAUUCUUCUUGUUGUUACUGAUUCCAUUUCCUUAGCCAAAUUUGUAAUAAGGCUUUUAAGCUAAUUUGGGUUAUAACUCGGCAUAGCCCAAUAAAUUUCAUUAUUUGCUCAUUGUACAAUUUGAAUUAACAUUUUAAAACAGAUUUGAUGAGAAAUUGUGCACACUAUAAACCAUCAAAAUAAGAUGUAUAACUUAAUUUGCGAAAAAACAUUAGUGAUAAAAUUUAUGACGGUAAAACUUCUAUGAGCCAAAAUUACAUAGGUCAAAGCAUAAAAAAUAUGUGAUAAGUUGUUAGAAUAGACCUUGGGCCACGGAUGAUAAGAUGACCCGACUCAUCCCAGGCUUCAGCAAUGAAUGACAGGCUUGUCUUGGCUGAAAAGUGAGAUAGGGCCCAAGAUGCAUGGGAGCUUAAAAAAUUAAGGGUUAAUUACCCAUAUGUGACAGAUUUUUUUGACAAACUUCAAAAAGAUGAAAUAUUUUUUAAAAAUAAGCGAGCAGUGACAAUCUAUUAACUAUAACGAAACGGUAAAUUAAUUGCAAAAUAAAAAUUUUGCCCUUAGAAUUAAUUGCAAAAUAAAAAUUUUGCCCUUAGAAUUAAUUACAAAAUGAUGUUUCUGCCCUUAUAAUAGCCACAAAUGACAUUUCUAUCCCCAAAAUUAGUUACAAAAUAUAUUUUUGCCCAUACUAAAUAAUUUUUAUUUUUUAAAUAGAAAAAUUAUUAAAAAAUUACAUCUAAAGUGCAAUUAACGGGCUUUUUUAAAAUCAUACAAUUUUUUUUCAAAAAUUCUUGUUGAAUUAAACACAUUUUUUUUUAAUAAAUUUUAACGGCAAAGUUUGAUUCAAAAAGAUUUUUUAAAAAAAAAUUGUAUGAUUUAGCCAAAAAAGGCCCGUUAAUUGUACUUAGAUGUAAUACUCAAUUAAUUUUUUCUAUUUAAAAAAUAAAAAAAUAAUUGAGUAGUGGCAAAAAUAUAUUUUGUAACUAAUUUUAGGGAUAGAAAUGUUAUUUUAUGACAAUUAGAGGGGUAUAAACAUUAUUUUGCAAUUAAUUUUAGGGGCAAAAAUGUCAUUUUAUGGCAAUUAUAGGGGCAUUAAUAUAAUUUUAUAAUUAAUUUUAGAGACAAAAAUGUCAUUUUGUAAUUAAUUUAAUGUUCCCGUUAAAGUUAACGGAGUGUCACCUGCUUGCCUAUUUUUAAAAAGUGUUUUACUUUUUUUUAGUUUGUCAAAAAAUCUAUCACCUAAAGGUAAUUAACCCAUAUAAGAUUAAACAAAUUAGAGAUUUAAUUAGAUAAAAUAAAAACUUGAUACUGAAUUUGCUAUAAAUAUAAAUGAAAAAAAAAUUGAAGUACAAUUGCAAUCCAGCUUGAUUGUAACUUGGGGUUUAAAAGAAAACUUUAAAAUUUAUUAAUUUUUUUAUAAUUAUUAAUUUUUUUUAGGAUUCAAAAAUUUAUGCCGUUACCUACAGCUGAUGUAAGAUAAGCUUUGCCCGUUUUGAGUAAUAUAACAAGAAGAAAUUAAUGUCAAAAGUUGCGGCUCUCUCUCUCCAAAAUUUUCUAAGCUUUCUGACGCUCAAAGAUUCCCUCGGCAUUUUUUCCACCGAAAAUCAUAAAUAACUCUAGAUUUUUAUGAAGUUUGCACUCUCCUCCUACUUAAUCAGCUAUUACGAGGAAAGAAGAGACGGUCAAAAUAAGAAGAAAAAGCUCCUUUACCCCACCACCUUUAUCUCCCCGCAGAUUGGCAAUUGGAAAUUUUUGGCUCUGUAAUUUUUCCAAGAUUUGAAUAUCAAAUUGCAGAUCACCGAUAUUGCGAGAAAAAGAGGGAAAAUUGGACAAAAUGUUAAUCAAAUGAACUAUAAUGACUUAUAUUUUAAAAGAAAAAGACAAUAAUAAAUUGGUACUAUAAUAUACCAAAUAAUUUUAUAACUUAUAUUAUUAAUUUUUACGCUCUUUAACAUUUUUCUUAGCGCAUCAAAGAAGGAUGCAACCAUUCUUUAGAUUCUUCUAUUUUAGAUUCAUGCAUCGGUCAUGAUUCGAGGUGGAGCCAGAAAAUUGAGUCAUAAGGUCAAUAUUAUUUUAAUUGUUUUGGAAAAAAUAAAAUUGAAAAAAAUUAUAAAUUAACCAACGGUUAAGAGAGAAUAUAUCAAUAUUCUAAGUUGGUGUUUGGUUUGAAAAAAAGUAAAGAAAUGAGAGGAGAGGAAAGUGGAAGAAAGGAGAGGAGAGGAUAUUGAAAUUAUUUUCUAAUGUUUGAUUUGUUAUAAAAUUAUAUAAAGAAAGGGAAUAUCUUAACUUUUAUUUGGACAAUUUCACCCUUUAAUGUUAAACUUUCAAUAUUUAUCAUAAAUAUAAUUCAAACAUUAAACAAUACAUUUAUUUAAUAUACUAUAUAAAUAACUAAUAAAAAUUAUUUUAAGUAAUAUAAUUAUAUUUAUAAUUAAACUCUAUUAAAAAAGUUUAUUGACAUAAUUUUAUUUUAAAAUUAGCUUAAUUUAAUUAUUUCUAAAUAAAUUAUGACAUAAUACAAAUAAUUUCUUAAUUAAUAUAUUAUAAUUUUAAAAUUUUAUUUGAACAACGAAAAAAAUAGAGUUGCCGCCGCCGUGUCUCGCCGGUGGCCACCACUGUACCAUGUCAUUUUAACUAGAGAAGUAUAUGAAAAUUAUUAGAAAUUAACGAUCUAUAUAUUGAAACAACUUAUUUGGCCGAAAUACUUGAUGUUUGUCCAUAUCUGAGAUGGUUGGAAAGUUUUCAAAUUUCUAUCAACCGGAUUUGAGGAAGAUAAAUUCAUUUUUUCACUUGUGUGAUGGUAAAAUGAUGUUUCUCGUCAGCCAGUGACCCCAACGGUAUAGGUGGUGAUGUCUCACGUGAGGUUGUUGGGCAGCGACGGCGGUCCGACAAUGUUAAAUUUGUAUUUCUAUUUUUUAAAAUUAAAAAAAUAAAGUGAUUUUAUUAAAUUAUUUAAUCAUUGCUUUAACUUUUACUAAUACAAAAUUAAUUAUCUAAAUAUUAAAUUGAUAAAACAAAAUUGUAGAUAAUAAUUAUUUGAUAAUAUUAAACGGGUAAUUUUAGAUGUUUUGGCUUCCAAUAGAGCAGGAAUUCAAAUUCAUCACUAUUUGGUGUGGAAUCUAAAUUCCACAUUAUGAUUUAUAUUAAAUUCUUAUAAAUUAUGGUAAAUCAAACAAAGGAAAUAAGAAAGAAAUUUAAAUUACUUUCCUUUCCCCCUUCCUCUCCUUCCAACCAAACACUACCUAAGGGUAUAUUCAAGUUUACAUUCGAGUUUGGAGUUAGUGAAGACGUGCAGCGUGUGGCCGCAAUGGCGAUCCAUGCAAUCUCAACCAGAAACCACAUGCUCAUGCACAUUAAGAGGCCGCAAUGGUUGGUGAAUCUGAAAUACAAGUAUGCAACCCAAGAGGGGGUGAAUUGGUAUUUUAAAAAAAUCCUAACAAUACCACAUAACAAUCCAAUCUAACGCCUUAAUAAAUUCGAAAGUAAUAAGUUCAAUAAAUACACAAUCACAAAUAAGUAAGAGAGAAGAGAAACAAACACACGGAGUUUUACGUGGUUCGGUAAUCCUCACCUAUGUCCAUGCCUCCAAACGAUCCAAGCUUGAGGAUUUCACUAUCCAAGCCUUCCAAGACUUCAAAUGUUUACAAUUGACUUCAAGGUGUCAAUAAACCUUUACAACAAAGAGAUUAUCUUGCAAUCUCUUUACUCAAGUGUCUCACACACUCAAACACUCACAAAUUUAUGAGGAAAUAAAAAAAUUACAACAAAACUCUCUCAAAGAGUAGAUAUUCAAAAUGAAGAACAAGAGAUGAUUCAAUAUUUUAUGAUUUUUGAAUUGAGAGCUCAAGAUAUCUCGUGUGCUUUUUGUUUAUGCUUUUUAGAGAGCUUGAAAAUGAAUUGGAUUUGAAUUUAUAUAGUUUGAGCCCAAAAACUAGCCAUUAUGUGUUUUUUGAUGAUAACUGGCUUGCCGCUUUCGGAUUUCGGUUAACCGCUUUUAUGUUACUGUUAAAGCAAAAAUUUAAAUUUCAGAACAUCCGGCACGCCGCUUACGAUAUCCGGAUAGCCGUUUAUGCUCCAGAAGCUUACUGCCCAAAAUUUGGCUUGCCACUUAUUAUAUCCGGUUAGCCGCUUGCUACAGUAACUGCUACAGUGAAAUAUUUUCUGAAAUUACUGUUUAACUCAAAAACUUUAUAAAACUAUAUUAUGGCCCAAAACGUUGUGAAAGUUUUCGAAUAUGUCCAAUUUUAGAAUUUCUAAAUAACGCUUUGUCAAUCCCAAAACUUUCUGAAAUUAUGAUAUCACCCAAAUUAUGUAAAAUUAUAGAAUGACCCAAAAUAUUUAAAUAUUUUCAAAUAUGCCCAAAUCCGAAAUUUCAAAACAAUAUCAAAGGUUUUAAAAUAUUUUCAUUUUAUUCCAAAACACUUUAAUUCCAUAAUAUCAUUUUCUUAUUGUAAAAGCACAAUUCAUAGAUCUUUAUUUAACUAACACAUGUGGUUUGUUAUCAUCAAAAUCAAUAUAUAUAGCCAUAUAGGUUAACAGAAUCAUCAUGACUUUUGAUCUACAAUUGAAGUAAAUCUGACAAAAUUUGACACGACCCGAUCACCUAAUACGAAUAUAAUAUCAAUGGAAUAUUAAAUUUCACACUAUUAUUAAUGAGUCUGAUUUAGGUCAACACCAUUUUUUUCUAUAUCAAGUUAGAGUUAAAGUUCUUGACCUAUUUAACAUGAUUUUCUUUUUUAGUUUUUUUAGGGAGGGAGGGGAAUGGAAAGGAUGAACAUAUAUACGUAGUGUUUCAUUUAUAAAAAUUUAUAUAGAUUUAAAAUUUCAAUAGUAUUAAUUAAUUUGUGAAAUAUUGGUAGAUUUCAUAAUAUCAAUGUGUAAUAUUAUGGUAGACAUGUAUUUUUUAUAAUGUCAAGAAAUAAUAUUAUAUAUAAAUAAUAUUUUAUAAUAUUGAAAUAUAUAAUGGAGUGCAAAUGUGUGAUGUAAAUCUUGUUAAAUAUAGAGGUAUUAAGCGAGCUAUUAGGUAACUCGUUUAUUUUCCGUGUUGGUUAGAGUCUUAAUAUUUUGACAUAAUUAUUAAAUGGGUCAUAUUUAGGUUAGCCUGUAUUUGACACGAUAAGAAUAAGACCCGAUGGCCCAUUUUGUUAGCUCUAGCUGUAAGAUUGACUCCAACGUCUAAUAGACAUAAUCUCGUACAAUUAUGUAUUAUUCUUUCUUCUUUUUCAACCAUUAUCUCUUUUAUAUAAAUUGAGCCUUUAGGCUAUUUUAUCAAUAAGAGGGAAGUUUAUUUUGUUUAACAAAAUCUUUUACUCAUCUCAAACAAUAAGGGAUUCGGUAUAAAUUUUUAAAACUAAUUUGAAAUUGGUUAGGAUUCGGGACCAAAUUUUUUAUCCUAAUUUAUUAUUCAAGAUGGGAUUAGGGACAAUUCGUAAAACAUGAACAACAUUACUAAUGUUCCGAUUGUUAUUUUAAUUUCAAUUAACUAAACUUGAAUGGCAUUUCGAAUGUUCCAAUUGUUAUCUUAAUUUUAAUUAACUAAACUAAAAAAAUAUAUUUAUCUUUAAAAAAAACAAAACGAUGGAUCCAAACCCAAGAAACCCAACAAGUUCACUUCUUUGCAUUCGCAUUUUUAAGUUUAAUUGAACCAAAAAAAUGGUUUGUUAUUUUACUUACUAAAUUUUGAUUGUUAAUGGAUGAAAUUGGGACAUUCACCUUUCAUUUAUUUCCCAUCACAGACAGGAUAAACCUUGAUCCUGAAGCUUCUUUGUGAUUUCCCAAAAUCAAACCCACAAGGUUGCAUUGUUUCCUCUCUCUUUCUCUCUCUCCCUCUCUUCAAAAGGAUCAAUAAUCACUACGAGAAAAUGAAUCACAUACAUCAAGUCUCCGAUCUAACAAAAUUUGAGGAUUUGGGCUAGAUCAAUUCUUAUUUAAAGAGUCUCAACUUAAAUUUUAGUUUGACACCUAAAUUUAAAUCAUGAAGAGAAUAUAAGCUUAAUCAUUUUCAUUUGAAUUUUUUUAUAUUUAAUUUAUUUUUAGAAGGUAAAACUUAUUAUGUUCUUCUAAUUAGUAGUAAGUACUUUUCUUUUUAAUAAUGCUUCCUUAUUCUAUCGAGAUAAUUUUUUUUAAAAAAAACUUAAUAUAAUAUUUGAAAUAUAAUUUUUUUUUUAUAAAAAAAACCUUAUAUAAUAAGAGUUGGAAUUGUCUAACAUCAAAGAUGCUUAUAAACAUGGAGAAAUAUUAACAUCAAAUAUGUUUACAAACAUGGAGAAAUAUUGACAAACUCGAUCUCAAUAACUCUCACUGUUUUAAUUAACGUCAAUGAUAUCAUCAGUAAUUUAAAAAACAACUAAAGACUUAAGUAAUAACUGUGAAGAAUAUUACGAGGAAUAUGCAACUUUUUAAGAUAAAAUAAUAUAAUUUAUAACAGAAAGUGAAAAGAAAUAUACAAAUUCGUAGUAAGAAAGAAGGAAUAAAAAUUUACAUCAAUUUUUGUUUCUCUAUUCGCCGGGAACAUACAGGCACAUUAAUAAUUUAAGAAAGCCCAUCUAGUGUUGAAGGCUCUAUAAACUUUGGUGUGUUAUCCAAGAAUGAUCAUAGGGCUAGUAAUUACAUCAAUGAAUCAAUCUAAUGUCUAGGAUUCAGAGCUUUAGGUGCUGCCAUCGGUCGUUGUAAAUAGUAAAACGACCAUUGCUUUGACCAGAAAACAUACUGGUGGUUUUAGAAUCCUUGAAAUGAGAAGGCUUUUAAAAUAUUGUAUCUUGUCUAUUUACUAUUUGUUAUGUGCACGUGUGUAUAUAUAUAUAAGAAAACACCACAAUGAAUCUGGACGUGGUUAGAUAAAAGAUUCACUUUUAUUGGCAGUAAGCACUCUUCAAACGCAUCAUUUAUUUAUUUUUUUUAAUGAAAAAUGAUAAAGAAACUGAAUGAUGACAGUAGGAAAAAUAGAACGAAUUAUAUUACUUUGCAGUAUUAUAAUGUUAAUUAAUUAUUUUAUCUUUUAUCUUUUAUAUCUUUAUAUUUCAUUCUACCUUUCUUGUAUUUAAUUUUUUAUUUAAAUAUUUGUAGUAUAGCUAAAACUUACCACGUAAGUUAAUCACACAACAAGGGGCACAUUUGUAGACCCACUCCCCUAUAAAUAACGAGUCUCUGUGAAUUUAGUCUUACCUAUUGCUCUGCUUGUCUUUUACAGAAAUUACUCACUAUUCUCUACAGUAAAACAAACACAAGACACGUGAUGCAUCCGAACUGCGAGUACUGCCGCGGUCAUACUCAUGGGUAUGGUUAUUUUCUAAAUCAGUUAACUUGUCGUCACUUUCAUUUCAGUUAUUGAUUUCUUCGAGUCGGAGCUAAUCGUAGCUCGGCGUCGUUGGGUGGAGAAAGAGAGAGUGAAAAUCAUGAGCUGUGUGUUGGGUUGAAAGAAGAAGGGAUCUAGCUAGGAUCGGCAAGAAUUAGUGAGUGUGUGUACAUAAAAAUUUUCAAUCCGGAAUUAAAGUACAAAUUAAAGUACAGGAUGAGUUUAUAACAUUAUAAACGUAUUUUUAUAAUUUACAAUAUUGUCAAAAACAUGAAAAAGGCAUUUUUCAAUGUUGUAAAGUCAUCUCAAAUUUUAAUAUCGGAUUUUAAUUUCAAGCUGAGUAAGGAUGAUUGAGAGUAAAAAAGAACUAAUUUGUUUAAUUGUUGUACUGUCUCACUGUGACAAAAAUAUUUAUCAUAAAUCUAAUUAAUUACUUCCAAUUACACAAAUUAAUAGAUUAAACCAUACUCAAAGGAACUUCUCGUCUCUCCAAGACCGCACUGAUUCUAUCAUAGAGGCCAACUAUAGACAUUAACUUCCCCCGAGCGCAGCUUACAACUUUUAUCGUGUUCUGCUCUUCAAGAAGCAAUUCUUCCUAAAAUCUCAGAACGUGUUUAAUUAAUUACAUUCAAGUGGAUACUCUACAAUUCUCGGAAGCAAGUUAUAACUCUGCUCUGCUGUAUUUUUGUCGUUUGCAGCGACCGAAUUUUGCUUUGCUACGCUGUUGUUUUCGGGUUUCUCAUUCCAGUUCUUGUCAAUGUUGUGGCUGCCAAUGCUGAAGGCACAAACGAGCCCUUGUUGGAGAAGAAUGGCAUAAAUAUGUGGUUUUUUCUUGUGGGACUAGGAGGGUACUGCGCUGCACUUAUUGCUGACAUCAAAUCCCGAAUCCAUGAAGCAAAUUCGUCCGUUGCUGCUGAUACAAGUUCCCCAAUUCAUCAAACAAAUUCUUCAAACAUCUGCAGCCUUCUUGCUGUCGUCUUCGGAUCACUUUCUACGGUCUCAUUGGUAUCCAUCCUUGUUCCACGCGUGAUUGGAUNNNNNNNNNNNNNNNNNNNNNNNNNNNNNNNNNNNNNNNNNNNNNNNNNNNNNNNNNNNNNNNNNNNNNNNNNNNNNNNNNNNNNNNNNNNNNNNNNNNNNNNNNNNNNNNNNNNNNNNNNNNNNNNNNNNNNNNNNNNNNNNNNNNNNNNNNNNNNNNNNNNNNNNNNNNNNNNNNNNNNNNNNNNNNNNNNNNNNNNNNNNNNNNNNNNNNNNNNNNNNNNNNNNNNNNNNNNNNNNNNNNNNNNNNNNNNNNNNNNNNNNNNNNNNNNNNNNNNNNNNNNNNNNNNNNNNNNNNNNNNNNNNNNNNNNNNNNNNNNNNNNNNNNNNNNNNNNNNNNNNNNNNNNNNNNNNNNNNNNNNNNNNNNNNNNNNNNNNNNNNNNNNNNNNNNNNNNNNNNNNNNNNNNNNNNNNNNNNNNNNNNNNNNNNNNNNNNNNNNNNNNNNNNNNNNNNNNNNNNNNNNNNNNNNNNNNNNNNNNNNNNNNNNNNNNNNNNNNNNNNNNNNNNNNNCCUCUCCACAAGCAGCCAAAAGCAGCAUCAAAUGCUUCAACCUAAUAUUUUUUCUUUGUUAAAAUUGUUAGUGUGCUAUUAUUUUAUGAAUACUGGCCGACUGUGUGUAUAUAUUACUGUGGUCAGGCAAUCAGUUUUCAAUAAUAAGGAAUUUCGAUCUUUACUAAAAUGCAGGAUAAGUUUACUACGUCGUAAACUUGUCCUGAUUUUUAAUAAAGCUCCGGAAUCCCCUAUAGAAAAAUUUUGGUGUAUAUAUGUAUUUAGUAUGCAAGAUAGGAUAGAAUAUAAUUAUAUUUAAUACUAUCAUAUAUGUUUGGUAGGUAUAAUGUUAGAUUGGAUUGUAAUUCACUAACAGAUAUAAAAAUAAUCUCUAAUAUGUUGAAAUUUAUAUUUUUUUUUGUAUUUUAGUGAUAAAGUGAGGAAGUCUCAUUAGAUAAGAACUAUAUAUAUACCUACAUACAUAUAUCUAUAUAUAGUUUUUCUUGCAUUAUUAUUUACAUACAUACAUACAUACAUACAUAUAUAUAGUUUUUCUGUAUUAUUAUUUUCUUUUCUUGCAUUUUUAGAUUAAUUGAAACUAUCCGGUUGCUUUCACGUUGUUAAAAAUAUGUUCACAUAAAGAUGUUACAAGAAAAAAAAAACAAAAGGAGAAAGAAAAGGAAAGGACUAAUUAGAUCAGAAAACGGCAAGCUGAAACAACCAUAAUAUUCAGCUUUAACACUAACUAAAAAAGCUUCGAAGCUAUUAUUCUAUAUAUAUUCACAAGAAAUUAUUUAGAAGAGCUAAGGAAAAAAUUUGGUGGCAAACUGAAAAUUGAUGCGGGAAUAGUUGUAAGUAGUUUGCCAAGUCUUCGAUCCCAGUCCUGUUAAAGACUUCCAUACCUAUUACUACUUCAAAGAUUUAGAUGCUCUGCUGCGAGCUGAGUUUGAAAAACAAAAAGAGAGGAAUUGGAAGAACAAUAAGCAUAUUUUACGAGGGAGAAUUAUAUUAAUUUUAUCCCUACUAUUUUAUUAAUGAAACAUACUGUAAAACAAGAAGUUGUUUUAUUAAUGUAUCAAAACAUUAACCAGUGAGAUUAAGGGUAUAUGGAAAUUAAAGUGGGGGUAUUAAGAAUUUUGAACAUUUUAAGCCAAUCUGUGAUUGUGGGAGACACUGCAAUUUUCCUUUUGUAAAGACUGAGAAGAGGGACGAUUGUGGUGUUCAUACUCUUGCUUUAAUUGCCAUCUGGAACUUCUGAUAAAUAAGGCUUAUAGAGAAAGUAUAUGCAUAUACAAGCAACUAAAAUGCACACCCAAAAACUAUGCUGAGUGAAAAGAUUUAAAGAUCAAAGGCUAAAGCCUAUGACCAAAACAAGGGGGGAGAGAAAGAACGAAAGAGAUGUUAUAAUUACUAAUAUAUUAGAGAGAAAGAGAAAGAAAUUGAGAGAAUGAAAUUCACAGGGAGGAAAUGCUCAAAUUCAGUUCAUAUUUUUAUAUUCUUAUGAUCUCAACGGAAACCCACUGCCUUUUAUAGCGAAAAUGAAACCAUAAACAACAACACCCCUAAAGACAUGAUAUUAUAAUAAAUCCUUUAAUCAUUAAAGAUAAAGGAUUAUUAUAAUAAAAGUAAAGACAUGUUAUUAUUAUAAAACCUUUAAUCAUUAAAGAUAAAGGAUUAUUAUAACAACGAAAGAAAACAAUUACAGAAGAAAUCAACACAAACGGCAAAACUGGGAUAAAGUUGAUAUCCGUUGCUUUUUGUCAAAUCAAAGUCUAAUCCACCAUAUUAUAAAUCCUUUUGAAUUCAAUAUGAUCCAAUCAAUUAUUGAAAUCUAAUAAAAUCAAAACGAAUAAAAGGUGAAAUCUAAUUUAAUCUAAUCCUAUCAAUCCGAUUAAAAUAAAAAUCUUCAAAUAAAAAUCAUCAAUUACUCUUCAGAAUUCUAAUUCUAACAAUUGAAAAAAAAUCAACUUCUUUGAUAUUUCAUGUAUUUUAUAAUCAUAUGUUUAAAAAAAAUUGAAAUUUAAAAAUUAAAAGCAAAAAUUGGUAUGGCUUGCAGUUUGUUUUCUGUAAUAUUAUUGUAUAUUUAUAAAUAUGCAAAAUUAUAUUUUAUUUUUUAGAAAAAAUUAGGUUUUAUUUAUUAGUACGUUAAAUAUAAAAGUGAACGUAGCUCUUUUAAAAAAUAAAAAAAUAAAAAAAUUAAUUGGAUCGAUUUAUACUGAAUUUGAACACAUAGAUCCAUAAAUUAAUCCAAUAAUAUUAGAUUUUUCAUUUUGCAAUCCAGCCUUUACCAUCGAUAGUGCUAGCACAUUGCUUACCAGCUUAUAAAGUGGUAGCCCACCAAUCAAACACAUGACCUGAUACCACUUGUUGGAAAGUGGAGAUUGUUGCAACUUCUCAGUAGGUUACUCAUCAUUGAAUUGCUCUAGCUUCAACACACUUACCUAUGGAGUUUUGAAAUAAAGAUUGCCAUAUUCUUCUAAAAAUUGAUAGGUGCUCGAAGAAUGGAAUAAAUCGUUUAACUUCAUUCCUUUGUAGUCUAAAGGUGGCCCAUCAUAAUGUCAACAAUUUACAUUUAUUGGGUGAGAUUAAUCCAAUUUAAAUUUUUGACCCAAAAAUUUAACAUAAAUUUUGAACCACUGAUUUCAAGCAAUACAAUAGUAAAUGUUGAAAAUUACAAUAGCACUUAAUGAUGGCUAUUCAUGCAUCACUAAAUUUUUAGAAACCAAUAGCUCAAGGUUUAUGCCAAUAUUUUAAGUCAUAAAUCUAAUUGAAUAGCCUAACUCAUAUAGUCAUCCAAUCAAGUAUGUCUUAUUGUAAUAAAUUCAUGACCACCAUAUAAGACACAAAAACUAUAUAUUUGAAUAUACCAUAUGAUCAAAUAUACUGAUUUUUAUGUUUUAGUCUGGUCAUGACUUUAAUGUAAGCAAGUAUUUUUUUUAAUUUGUUUAGUUAAAUAUAAGAAUUUUUUUCAGGGACUAAAAAUAUCAUCAUUAAUUUUAUAAAAAAUAUAAAGAACUGUGUUAAGGACUACUAUAUGUUAUUUUUCACUUCGUUUUCUUUCUUCUCACUACCCAUUUUUCUUCACUUCAUCGGCAGCAGCUAGCUCAACACCACCACAUCCAUAGGAGAAUGCAAAGUAACUUUCUUCACCAAAAGCAGUCGCCUUCAUCAUUAAGGUAUAGUUUUAAAUUUUUAAAGAUUGAGAGAUAAAUAAAAGUAAUAUCAUAUCCCCUGCACAUUGACAUUGAGAGUUAUAAUUGUCCAUUGUUUUCACUUCAAAACUAGGUUUCCCGACACUUAAGCUGCUUGUGUUUCGCCUUUCGAUAUCGAAACCGAAAAUGAAAUAUUGGUUUACCGAAGAAACUCACUUCCAGUCCUGGUCCAAGAAAGGCUGGACAAUCGUUUUGUUGGAAAAAUAGCACAAAGUGGCUAUUUUGAGGCCAAUUUUGAGCAAGAUAAAUAUUGAAAAAUAGGUAUGCAUGGAUAAUUAAGAAUCUCCUCCAUGAGCUCUUUGCAACGAAUCAUAAAACGCUCAAAUUAGUGUUUGGGUGAAUGAGAAAUUGGAUCUCAAAUAGCACCUAUUGGUGCAAAAAAAGAGGAAAAAUCCCGAAUGGGAGUUUUAGUUAAUUAAUACCCCCUUGAAACCUACAUAUAUUGGCCUCCAUGUUCAAUUGAAAAACACAUUAGAAUCCUUGUGAUUUUCUUCUCUUCUCUCUUAAGCAAAUAUUCUAGCUUUAGGUUUUAGUGUGAUAGAAUUCAAACAUUUAUUCCAGUUCGUGAGAAUAGUGAGGUUGUGCUACCAACACUGUUCGAAUCUUUUGUAUCUUGGGAGACAGACACCUAUAUAAUUCAAGCACCAUUGUGAAGGUGUUGAAUCUAUUUUAAAGACAUUAUAAUUUUACAGGCCUUGAGUUAGUGAAAUUAUUUUUUUAAUUUUUACCUAUUGUUGAUUUAUUUAUUAUAUCAUUGCAAUUUUAGUUAGUUUAUUUAUUUAUUUAAUAAUAAUAAUAAUAAUAAUUUGUUAGUUUAUUUAUUUAAUAAUAAUAAUACUAAUAAUAAUUUGUUAUAAAUGCAUAAGAAGCUUAUUAUGAAGCUUAAGUGCACUAGAAAGGUUCUGACACCGAAGUUAUAUAUAAUGCCUAAAGACGUUGGGUUUUAAGUGGAACUAUUGUGACCUCUUUAAUGUUUCUUAGGAACCUAACUAGUGUAUUUUUUCAUAUGAAGUGGGUGGUCUUAUAUCACUUGAAAGAAAUAAUAACAUUCUUAUAACUACAAUCUUAAAACAGAUUAUCUGUUGAAAUGACAAUUGAUACGAGUUGGCAAGCUAGAACUUUUAACCCUCCUACUCUUGUCUCAUGUGCCGAUAUUGGCACUAGUGUUGUUGCAUAUGUGGUUGUUCCUUAUGCGGAAAAACCUGAGAAAUUCACUAGACAAAAUAGAAAAUGUUCUUUUACUUGACCACCUUAAAUCUUGGGAGAUUCUUGAAGGAAUAUGCUCUUAUAUCUAGAAAGGGUGAAAUUGAUCACCAAGUGAUCAGUGCAAUAGAUGCUUGGAAUCAUUCUAUUUUCCUCUGCAAAAAUUAUGUGUUGAAUGGCUUGACCGAUCUUUAUAUAGCAUGAAUGCUAGAAAGAAACAAGGAGCUGAGGGAGUCUUUAGAACAAAAAUAUAAAACUAAAGAUACUGGCACUACAAAAUUUGUCCUAGGCUGCUUCUCAGAUUAUAAGAUGAUGGACUCAAAAACUGUUACAAGUCAAGUUCAAGAAUUAUAGAUAAUUUUUCAAAAAUUCAUGUCGAAGGAAUGGAUUUGAAUAAAACUUUUCAAGUGUCUACUAUCAUUAAGAAGUUGCCUCCAGCAUGGAAAGAUUUCAAGAGUUAUAUGAAGCAUAAGAGAAAGGAAAUAUGUUUAAAAGAUUUGGUUAUUAAACCUUAAGUUGAAAAAAAACAAAAUUAAUAAUGAGAGAAGUGUCAUUUCUGUGGCUAAAGCUCAUAUUACGGAAUAUGGUCAGAAUAUCAAGAAUUAGAAGGCUAACAAGAACAAGCUGGGUCCAAAAUGAAGGGGUCUGCAAGAAACAAAAUAAAUUUCAAAGGAAAUGCUUCAACUAUGAUAAAAUAGAUCACAAAGCUUAAGAAUGCAGAAUGCCAAGAAAAAGGGAAACUGAGAAGGUAAUGUUGUAGAGAACAUCUUUUGAGAUGCGUUAGACAAUAAUUUUUCUGCAGUGGUUUCUGAAGUGAAUUUGGUGGGUUUCAAUCCAAGAGAUUGGUGAAUUGAUACUAGUGCCACUCGACAUGUAUGCUUAGACAAGGAAAUAUUUAUUUCUUUUAAAUAUAUUAGAAAUAAUGGGAAAAUAUAUAUGGGAAUUCAACCACAUCUGAGAUAGAAGGUCAAAGAAAAGUAAUUCUAAACAUGACCUCUAGGAAAGAGCUAACUUUGAACAAUGUUUUGUAUGCGCUAGAAAUUCGCAAGAAUCUCAUAUCUAGAUUGUUUUUAAACAAGCAUGGAUUAUGGAUGGUGUUCAAGUCAGAUAAAAUAGUUUUGUCUAAAAAUGGAAUGUAUAUGGGAAAGGGUUAUGUAUCUGAUGGGUUAUUUAAACUAAAUGUAAUGAUUGUAAAAUCAAAGAUUAAUAAAGCUAUUUUUUCUGCUUAUAUUCUUGAGUUUUCUAAUAUGUGGCAUAGUAGAUUAGGACAUUACAAGUAUCAUCUCCAAAAAGACAUGAAAUACCGACAUCAUAUCUAAAAGGAAUAAUGGACUUUUACAAUUCAACUCAAACCACUAUUAGGUAAAGCACCACCACUAUGUAGUAGCACAACAAUCCACUGGAAUGUAAUUCAUUAAUCCUGAAAGACAGAAAAAUAAAAGAAAAGAUUAUAAACUAAACAAACAGCUUAUCAUAACAUAUUGAAUCACAUUGUUACAACUAACAACAACAAACAAAUCCACAUACAAGUCAAUUUUCCAACACUUCCAAAUCAAUUUUCAAACUAAAUUCCCUUAUUAAAAUGCUAUAGCACAUUAACAACUGAUGAUCUUAAAGAGAAAGAAACAGCUGAAGUACUAUAGAAUAAAAAGGCAAAAAAUAGUUGAUUUGAAGAGUAACAAAGUUAGCUGUAUAAGUUAACUGACUUGCAAACCUAAGUACGUCAUCAACGACCCUCUAAUAUUGGGGAAUCAACUUGAACAUCUGUCCCAAAAGUUGCAUGAUGAUCAUGAUGUGCACUGGAAGCAUCUGCAACCUAUUACNNNNNNNNNNNNNNNNNNNNNNNNNNNNNNNNNNNNNNNNNNNNNNNNNNNNNNNNNNNNNNNNNNNNNNNNNNNNNNNNNNNNNNNNNNNNNNNNNNNNNNNNNNNNNNNNNNNNNNNNNNNNNNNNNNNNNNNNNNNNNNNNNNNNNNNNNNNNNNNNNNNNNNNNNNNNNNNNNNNNNNNNNNNNNNNNNNNNNNNNNNNNNNNNNNNNNNNNNNNNNNNNNNNNNNNNNNNNNNNNNNNNNNNNNNNNNNNNNNNNNNNNNNNNNNNNNNNNNNNNNNNNNNNNNNNNNNNNNNNNNNNNNNNNNNNNNNNNNNNNNNNNNNNNNNNNNNNNNNNNNNNNNNNNNNNNNNNNNNNNNNNNNNNNNNNNNNNNNNNNNNNNNNNNNNNNNNNNNNNNNNNNNNNNNNNNNNNNNNNNNNNNNNNNNNNNNNNNNNNNNNNNNNNNNNNNNNNNNNNNNNNNNNNNNNNNNNNNNNNNNNNNNNNNNNNNNNNNNNNNNNNNNNNNNNNNNNNNNNNNNNNNNNNNNNNNNNNNNNNNNNNNNNNNNNNNNNNNNNNNNNNNNNNNNNNNNNNNNNNNNNNNNNNNNNNNNNNNNNNNNNNNNNNNNNNNNNNNNNNNNNNNNNNNNNNNNNNNNNNNNNNNNNNNNNNNNNNNNNNNNNNNNNNNNNNNNNNNNNNNNNNNNNNNNNNNNNNNNNNNNNNNNNNNNNNNNNNNNNNNNNNNNNNNNNNNNNNNNNNNNNNNNNNNNNNNNNNNNNNNNNNNNNNNNNNNNNNNNNNNNNNNNNNNNNNNNNNNNNNNNNNNNNNNNNNNNNNNNNNNNNNNNNNNNNNNNNNNNNNNNNNNNNNNNNNNNNNNNNNNNNNNNNNNNNNNNNNNNNNNNNNNNNNNNNNNNNNNNNNNNNNNNNNNNNNNNNNNNNNNNNNNNNNNNNNNNNNNNNNNNNNNNNNNNNNNNNNNNNNNNNNNNNNNNNNNNNNNNNNNNNNNNNNNNNNNNNNNNNNNNNNNNNNNNNNNNNNNNNNNNNNNNNNNNNNNNNNNNNNNNNNNNNNNNNNNNNNNNNNNNNNNNNNNNNNNNNNNNNNNNNNNNNNNNNNNNNNNNNNNNNNNNNNNNNNNNNNNNNNNNNNNNNNNNNNNNNNNNNNNNNNNNNNNNNNNNNNNNNNNNNNNNNNNNNNNNNNNAAACUUAACUAAAUUAUCAAAAAUAUGUAAUACAUGUUCACUUCUAACCCAAAUUGAUUUGGACAUCCACAUUUACAAGAUUGGAAGUGAGUCCGAAUCAAUCGAAACUCUUAAUAGAGUGCAUCAUACUUCAACCUCAAUUCAUUUAUCACAACCCCGUAUUCUUUUUGUACCUCCAUACGUAUCUCAUCAAGUAUUCUACUCUCAUUAAUGUUGUUACUCCUUGAAGAAUUUGUUUGCAUGUGCUCCCGUCCAUGCGCAUCAAACCCCAACACACCAUUAAAUAUAUCAUUUCUAAUAGAACUAGUUUGUUGAUCCUUAGGUAUCUUAGAAAGAUGUUCAUUGAAUUGACUCUACAUAAUUAAUACAAUCCACAAAAAGAUAAUUACAAAGCACAGUAAUAACAAGUUUGUUUUAUCAUAAAAAUUUAAUGACAAGUAUAUAUUAACUAAAAUAAUAUAAUUACAAUAAUAUUUGCACUCUCAAUGCCCCACACAUCGAAUAUUUCACACACAAGAAUAGGGGUAAGUGGCAUUUGAUUCCUAUGACUUAAAUUGCCAGUCUUUUGACAAUUCUCACACGACUUACAAAACAUGUAUGAAUCACGAAAUAAAGUAGGUCAAAAUAGACCACAUUCUAAUACCUUGGAUGCUGUCCUUUUGGGACCAAAAUGACCACCACAUGCGUAUGAGUGAUAAAACUGAAGAAUCGAAGGAAUUUUAAAUUCAGAUACGCACCUUCUGAUGACUUGGUCAGAGCAAUGUUUCCACAAGUAAGGGCAUCGCAAACAUAGUACUUAGCAUCGCUUCUAAUCUUAUCUUUUUUAGCCCUCGUCAGAUCACUAGGUGGUGUUCUUAUAACUCAGUAAUUGACAAUGUUAGCAUACCAAGGAACCAUACCUUGAGUUACAAAGAGAUGCUCAUCUGGAAAAUCAUCCUUAAAAGGUGCUGCUUCUUCACUCGUGGUCAAUCUUCUAAGGUGGCCUGCAAUCAAGUUUUCUACUCCUUUCUUGUCAUGGAUCUCCAAGUUGAACUCUUGAAGUAGUAGGAUCCAGCAGAUGAGUCUCGGUUUUGCUUCCUUCUUGGAGAGCAAAUAUCUGAGAGCUGCAUGAUCAGAAAAAACAAUCACUUUAGUACCCAAUAAAUAUGAACGGAAUUUUUCUAAAGCAAAAACAAUAGCCAAAAGUUCUUUUUCAGUUAUUGAGUAAUUACAUUGAGCACUAUCAAGUGUCCUUGAUGCAUAAUAUACCACGUGAGCAGCUCUUCCAACCCUUUGUCCGAGAACAGCACCAACAACAUAGUUACUGGCGUCGCACAUUAUCUAAAAAAGGAGGCUUCAGUCGGGUGGCUGUAUAAUUGGAGCUGAAGUCAAUAACUCCUUGAGCUUAUCAAAUGCUACCUUGCAUGCUUCAUUAAAAUCAAAUGUCACAUCUUUCUGAAGCAGCUUGCUCUAAUACCAAAUUAAAUAUAAGUGUGCAACCCAAGAGGGGGGUGAAUUGGUAUUUUAAAAAUUAUCCUAACAAAACCACACAACAAUCUAAUCUAAUGCCUUAAUAAAUUAGAAAGUAAUAAGUUCAAUAAAAACACAAUAACAAAUGAGUAAGGGAGAAGAGAAACAAACACACGAAUUUUUUACGUGGUUCGGCAAUCCCCGCCUACGUCCACGUCUCCAAGCAAUCUAAGCUUGAGGAUUUCACUAUUCGAGCAUUUCCAAGACUUCAAACAUUUACAAUUGACUUCAAGGUGUCAAUGAACCUUUACAACAAAGAGAUUAUCUCUCAAUCUCUUCACUCAAGUGUCUCACACACUCAAACACUUACAAUUAAGAUAAAGAAAUGAAAGUUAUAACAAAACUCACUCAAAGAGUAGAUAUUCAAAAUGAAGAACAAAAGAUGAUUCAAUAUUUUAUGAUUUGCGAAUUGAGAGCUCAAGAUAUCUCGUGUGCUUUUUGUUUAUGCUUGCUAGAGAGAUUGAAAAUGAAUUGGAUUUGAGUUUAUAUAGUUUGAGCCCAAAAACAUGUCAUUAUGUGUUUUCUGAUGAUAACUGGCUUGCCGCUUUCAGAAUCCGGUGAGCCACUUUUAUGUUACCGUUACAACAAAAAUUUGAAUUUCAGAAUAUCUAGCAUGCCGCUUACCAUAUUCGGAUAGUCGUUUAUGCUCCAGAAGCUUACUACCCAAAAUCUGGAUUGCCGCUUACCAUAUUCGUUUAGCCGCUUGCUACAGUAAAUGCUACAGUGAAAUAUUUUUCAAAAUUAUAGUUUGACCCUAAAAUUUUAUGAAACUAUAUUAUGGCCCAAAACGUUAUGAAAACUUUCAAAUAUGUCCAAUUUCAGAAUUUUUAAAUAAUGCUUUGUCAAUCCCAAAACUUUCUGAAAUUAUGAUUUCACCCAAACUAUGUGAAAUUAUAGAAAGCCCAAAAUAUUUAAAUAGUUUCAAAUAUGUCCAAAUAUGAAAUUUAAAAACAAUAUCAAAGGUUUUAAAAUACUUUCAUUUUAGUGCAAAACACUUUAAUUCCAUAACAUCAUUUUCUUAUUAUAAAAGCAAAAGUCAUAAAUCUUUGUUUAAUCAACACAUGUGAUUUGUUAACAAUCUCCCUUUUUUUAUUAUGACAAAACACAUUAUAAAAAUUUAAUCUAGUUAUGAAAAACUCCCCUUUAAUCAAUGCGAGUUAAAAAAUUGAUUUGAAAAUUAUUUAAAAAGACUCCCCUUGGAUAAAUGCAUAUUUUUAUAACACUUUGUAUAACACAUAUUAAAUUAUUCUCUCCCUUUAUCAUAAAAAAGAAUAAAAGCUCCCACUAUCAAUCAUCAAAGUCGCAAUACAAGCACAUUAGUUCAAAAAAAAAAAUCUAAAAGUAUAAGGAAAUCCAUAUAAUCCAUAACAAACAAUCAAAACAAAUUCAUAUCAUCCAAAACAAAUACAUAAUCCAAAAGCAUAAUAAUUAUCCAUAUAGUCGAAAAUAAAAGAACAUAAAGCAGUAAAUGAUAUAUAGGUGUGUCCAAAUACAAGCAUAAGAGACUACUGGGGUGGUGAGGAUGGUGGUGAUGGAGGAGGAUACAUAUAUGGAAUGCCGAAGUGCUCAAAGAGAAGGCGUUGUCCAUGAAUGAGCUGCUGCUGCUGCUUCACCUCAUCCAUAAGCUGUUGAAGAGUAACCUCUUCAGAGGUAAGAGGCUGUGGAGGUGAUGAGACGGAUGCAGAGGCACUAGGAGCUGAAGUAAUCAUAGGAGGAUCUCGGCGUCUACGCUGGCCCCAAAAUUAGAGUGAGAAAAUAGGUAGCUGAUCGGCUGGAACCACAACAUUAAGUAGUCGAUCAUCACUUGGAGAGAAAGGUAAACUUGUUUUCAGUGAAUUUGACCCAAGUGCCAUUUUUCCACUCAAAGCCUAAGCCAAAUAUAGUAUCAUCCCCGAUACCCUUAGACGGUCUAUACGGCGGUUCUUGAAUCGGUACAUCAAAAUAUUUAAGAAAGUACUUCAAUUCUCCCAUCAUACUCAUCUCAAAUUCUUUGCUCAUACACGAUAAAAAUUCUUUACACAAUAACUCAUUAGUAGAACCAAAAAUAAUAUUAUCAACAUAAAUUUGAACAAUAAGUAUAUAUUGGUUCUUAUGCUUAACAAAUAAAGUUGUGUCCGCUUUUCCCAUUGAAAAGUUGUUAUCUAACAAGAAGUUUUUAAGCCUAUCAUACCAAACUCUAAGUGCUUGUUUUAAUCCAUACAAAGCCUUAGAUAACUUACACACAUAAUCUGGAAAUUUUUCAUUUUCAAAACCAGAAGGUUGUUUCACAUAAACUUCCUCCAUAAUAUAACCAUUUAAGAAAGCACUAUUGACAUCCAUUUAAUAUAAAAUAAAAUCCUUAUGACAUGCAUAUGCUAAUAACAUCCUAAUGGAUUCUAAUCUAGCUACAGGUGCAAAUGUUUCAUCAAAAUCAAUUCCUUCUUCUUGGUUGUAAUUUUGAGCCACUAAUCUAGCUUUAUUUCUUACAACCACACUGAAUUCAUCUGUUUUGUUUCUAAAUACCCAUUUAGUGCCUAUAAUGGAUUGAUGUUCUGGAUUAGGAACUAAUUCCCACACAUUGUUUCUCUUAAAUUGAUUCAACUCCUCUUGCAUUGCCAUAAUCCAAGAUUCAUCAUUUUCCGCAUCCACAAAAGAUUUUGGUUCAAUUUGAGAAAUAAAUGCAGCAUGCUCACAUGUGUUCCUAAGAAAUGAUCUAGUUGUAACACCUCAUGAGGGAUCUCCUAAAAUUACAUCCUUAGGGUGAGAAGAAACAUACCUCCACUCCUUAGGGAGUGUUUAAGAAGUACCUUCAUUUGGCUCUGCAUUUGUUUCUUCAUGAUGUUCCUCUUGAAUUCUAUACGAUGCAUCUUUUUGGUUGUCAAUUGAUGCUUCUUCUCGUUGUUCUUCUUCUGCAUUAUCAUCAACAACUAUUUUCUCCGUAGAGGAGGAAUUAGACUCAACAAAUGUAACAUGCAUUGAUUCUUCCACAACUAAAGUUCUUUUAUUAUAAACUUUAUAAGCUUUGCGUGAGUUUGAAUAACCAAGAAAAACACCAAUAUCAAAUUUUGGAUCAAAUUUACUAAGAUUAUCUUUUGUGUUCAAAAUAAAACAUAUGUAUCAAAAGACUUUAAAAUAGCCAAUGUUGAUUUUUCUAUCUUACCAAAGCUCAUUGUUAGAGUGCAAUUUAUGCACUAGUUUUGCAUUGUUUACUUCCCUUAAUAUCGAUGUUUUGCACUUAAUAAUAAUGUUUUACUUGCGUUUUACUUUUGUAGGUGCAAUUCUAUUGAUUGGUGAUAAAAUUGAGCUAAAAGAUGAUGUUUAAGGAGGAUUGUUCUCUUGGAGAAAUUAUGAGCGUCAGAAGAACUUUGUUGAUAAGGCGUGGGCGCGUGCUGUCAACUGCGGACCUGCAGUUUUUAGUUUAACGUGUUUUGUAUUUUUGGUUAUUUUUGUAAUUACGAAUUUAAUAUUUCAGAUAUUAGUAUUUUAUUUUAAAUAGAAUUCUAAAAGAGAAGAGAGAGAGAGUAUUUAAGAGAGGAAUCUAUUGUGAAAAAGGGGGGAUUUUUGGAUUGGAGAAAAAGAAAGAAACCCUAGAUUUAAUUUUUCUCUCCUCUCUAUGAAGAACUAAACCUAUUUUUCUAGUUGAAGGAUAACGAAGCUUUGAUUCAUCACUACUGUGAGAUCUUUCUUGUGCUUUAAUUGUUUUAUUGCUUUUUGGGUAUUUGUUUAUUCUCUGAAUUAGUUUCAUGAUUAUGUUUGUUAAUUAGGUAAUUGGCCACUAUUUAAUUAUCAACUUAAUCUAUUGUCAAUUAAAGGAUUCAUCGUAUGAAGAAUUUAAUGCUUGUGACAAAUAACAUAGCAGAGAGUUGUGUUGUGAGAAUAAACAAUCUAAUUUAAAUGAAUCAUCAUAUGUGUUGAUUAGGAUUUGGGUCUCUCUGGUUUUUCAGGCUGUCAAUUGAUUAAAUUCUAUGAUCGUAUCUAGGGUUGUCUAUUGAUUAGGGAAAUAACCAACGGUCGUACCUUGGUUAUCGACUAGUUAAGGAGAGAUUGGCUAUUAGAGGGUCUCAGUAGCUAUAACCGGUCUAUUCAUGAGUAAUAAUAAUCUAUAUUUGAAUCAAUGAUCAGUAGUCGAAUCAAGCUGAGUUAAUUCCUUCAACCAGAGCUUUCUCUAAUUUGAAUUACAACUUUAAUUUGCAUUCUUGUUAUUUUAAUUUGAUUUUUAUUAUUGUCAACAAUUCCCCCAUUUUAUGUUUUACGUUUCAAAAGGAUUUAAUUAAUUACCGAUCUCUGUGGACACGACCCUGCUCAAUCACUAUACACAAUUUAUUUAGAGUAGGAAUUUAUUUUUGUUGGCUUCGACACCCAUCAAAUUUUGGCGUCGUUGCCGGGGAUUGGUGUCAUUUAUUUAAUCCUUUUUACGUUUUACUUGGUGUAUGGUUCGUUCUUCUCGUACAGGUACACUUUCGUUUGAUCCUGAAAUUGAGAAGACAGCUCGCCAGCUGAGACAGCAGACUAAGCGAGCUAAGCAACGAUCCUCAUCGCCUUUGCUUUCUGAAAUAGAUACAGUACCUGAUUUAGUUGAAUCAUCUAGCGAUUCAGAAGAACAAGUGAUGGAUAGACUUGCACCUGUAGAAAGAACUCUUAGAGAGUUAGCUGAACCAGACUUGAAUCAACAACCACUCUGCAUUCAAUAUGUAGAUUUGGAGGUAAAUUUUGAAUUAAAGUCUGGUUUUAUUCAUUUAUUACCCAAGUUUCAUGGUUUUGCAGGUGAAGAUCCUCAUAAACAUCUUAAGGAGUUCCAUGUUGUGUGCUCAAGUAUGAGGCCACAAGGCGUGACUGAAGAGCAGAUUAAGCUGCGUGCUUUUCCGUUCUCUGUAGAUGGGCUAGCUAAAGAUUGGUUAUACUACUUGCCUCCUGGAUCGAUUACAACGUGGAAUGGUUUGAAGAAGCAGUUCCUUGAGAAGUACUUUCCUGCUUCAAGAGCUGCCAACAUCAGAAAAGAUAUUUGUGGGAUCAGACAACUUCCUGGGGAGACUUUGUAUGAGUAUUGGGAGCGAUUCAAACAAUUGUGUGCCAGCUAUCCUCAGCAUCAGAUUUCUGAUCAACUUCUUAUUCAAUAUUUUUACGAAGGACUGUCAUUGAUGGAUAGGAGUAUGAUAGAUGCUGCUAGUGGAGGCGUGUUGGUGAACAAGACCCCUACUCAAGCAAGGGAGUUGAUCUCAAAUAUGGCUGCCAACGCACAACAAUUUGGCAGCAGACAAGAUGCCACUUCAAGAACGGUGAAUGAGGUAAAUAUUUCUUCUGUUGAACAACGUUUAGAUAAACUUACUUCUCUUGUGGAAAAGUUUGUUGUAGGUAAUGUGCAACAGGUGAAGACUUGUGGCAUUUGUUACAAUAUGGGUCAUUCAACUGAUAUGUGUCCUACACUUCAAGAAGAACCCGCUGAACAAGCCAAUGCAGUUGGAGGAUUUCCAGGCAUGCCUCAGAGGAGGUAUGAUCCUUAUGCACAAACAUACAAUCCGGGAUGGAAGGAUCAUCCCAACUCUAGCUAUGGAGUUAGGCCGUCAGGAUUCCCACAACAGUAUCCACCAAGACAACCAACACCUCCACAGUCAAACUCCAAGUCAGGUAUAUCUCUUGAAGAAAUUGUUAAAUCACUUGCAACUAACACUCAACAAUUUCAGCAAGCAACUACAGCAAGCAUUCAGAACUUGGAGAACCAAAUGAGUCAAUUGGCGACUACAGUGAGCCGUCUGGAGUCUCAAGUAUUAGGGAGAUUGCCUUCACAAUCUGAGGUGAAUCCAAAGCAAAACGUUAGUGCUGUCAUCCUUAGAAGUGGGACGGAGUUGCAAGAGUCUAGUAAGAAAGUGACAAAGCAUGUAGAAGAUGAGCUUGAGAAGAAUGAAUUAAUGCCUCAAUCUCAAGAUGCACAACCCACCAAAGCGAAACCCCUACCUAUUGUGAUACCUCCUCCUUUUCCAAGCCGAUUUGCAAAAUCCAAGAAGGAGGAACAAGAGAAAGACAUCCUUGAGACAUUUCGCAAGGUUGAGGUAAAUAUUCCUUUAUUAGAUGCUAUAAAACAAAUACCUCGAUAUGCUAAAGUCCUUAAGGAACUGUGCACCUCCAAGAGAAAAUUAAGAGGAGAUGAAAAAGUUCACAUGGGGGAGAAUGUUUCAGCAGUUCUCCAAAAGAGACCUCCUAAGUGCAAGGAUCCAGGUAUGUUUACUAUCCCUUGUAAAAUUGGUAGUGUUAGAGUUGAAAAGGCUUUGUUAGAUCUAGGAGCUUCUAUUAAUGUCAUGCCUCGUUCCAUUUAUUCAUCUUUGAAUAUUGGUCCAUUAAAAGAAACUGGUGUGAUAAUUCAACUAGCUGAUAGGUCUAAUGCAUAUCCUGAUGGGGUAUUAGAAGAUGUCUUAGUACAAGUUAAUGAGUUGGUUUUUCCUGCUGAUUUUUAUGUACUUGAUAUGGAAGAUGAUAACUCCUCUAAUUCUGUCCCAAUUUUGCUAGGAAGACCUUUUCUUAAGACUGCUAAGACUAAAAUGGAUAUACAUAAAGGGACUCUCACUAUGGAGUUUGAUGGAGAGGUUAUAGAAUUCAAUAUGAAUGAUGCCAUGAAAUAUCCUAGUGAGGAACAUUCGGUAUUUUCUGUGGAUGUUAUUAACCCUAUAGCGCAGGAAAUGUUUUACAAGGAAAAGACGAAGACAUUUCAUCAUAGAAUGAUUUUGAGAAAGGAGUUCUCUGUUGGUCAAAAAGUUCUUCUUUUUCAUUCUAAGCUUAAACUUUUUCCGGGUAAAUUACGUUCUUGCUGGGUUGGACCUUUUAUUGUUACUAAUGUUUUUCCUCAUGGUGCAGUUGAGAUUCGGAGUCCGACCUCUGACAGAGUUCUUAAAGUUAAUGGUCAUCGCUUAAAACCUUUUUAUGAAGGUUUUUCGGUGAAUAUUGUGGAGGAUGUGGCUCUCGAGAGUCUAAAUUAUGGAGAUUGAUACAUAAAUGUGUCUAGCCAAAGACAUAAAACAAAGGCGCUUUUUGGGAGGCAACCCAAAUGAUUUGUUUAUUUUGGUUUUUGUUUUAUCUUCUUUAAAAAAAAUGAAAAAUGACAAAAAAUGAGUUUGCUUAUUUUGUUCAGAAGAAAAUUUUUGAUAAGGCGUGCCCACGUACUUAUUAGAAAAGUACUUCUGAAAUUUUUAAUGUCUCAAAGUUUUAAGGCGUGCCCACGUACUUAUUAGAAAAGUACUUCUGAAAUUUUUAGUGUCUCAAAGUGAUUCAUAAAAAAAAAAAAACCAAAAAUCAAAAAUCAUCAUUUAUUUAUUUAUUUUCGUUCCUUUCUUUUUUUAUAUAUAUAUUUAUUUAUAAAAAAAAACCAAAAAUCGAAAAUCACUGUUCACGAAUCCCUAAUUCAAAAAUUACUGUUGAUUGUCGUUUUACAGCAGCAUCAGCCCCAGCCGCAACCAGCAGCAUCAGCUCCAGCCUUCACCCUGCAACCAGUAGCAUCAGCUCCAGCCUUCACCGCGCAACCAGCAGCAGCAGACGAGUACGCCCAGAACCAGCAGCAAGCUCCAGCAUCCCCAGCAGUGCAGCGCGCAACGUAAGCCCCAGCUGCGCGCGCAGCACGAACCAGCCCCAGCCCGAGCACGCAACCCAACAAGCGUCACCAGCGCAGCACCAGCAAUCCCCCAGCGCGCAGCAACAGCUGCAGCACGCAGAUCCAGCGUCACCAGUUCGUAGCAUCAGUCCCAGCCCACACGCGCAACACAACAAGCACCAACCCGCGAAGCACAACCAUCCGCGCGCAACGGAACCAACAGCCGUGUACCCGCAAGCUCCAGUCGAGCAACAAUAGUCCGCAACCAGCCUACGACCUGCAUUCCAGCCGCGUGAAUCGAAAUCUGUGACAAGAUGGAGCAGAAUUUGGUCGCAUACUUCGAGAGUGUGGGUUUUACCCCACUAUUUCCGCCAAGCCCAUAGACGUUAUGUGGAUCAAAACUCACAAUUCAUGGAAGUUUCUUUUUGCCCUUAAUCUUUUAUCCUUACGCUUUAAUUUUUAUGUGAGCUUUAAUUAUCUUACAUUGGGGACAAUGUAAGUUCUUGGUGUGGGGGAGGGAUUUUUGCAUUAUUGAUGUCUGGAAGUAUUAUUUUCACUCUACUCAUCUAUUUUCAUUCUACUCAUCCUUAAAUGAUUUUGGAGUUAGUAUGCUUCAUAUAUUAUUAUUUUUCUUUUCUUUUCUUUCUCACUACUUUUUUCCCAUCUAUCUCAAAUUAUUUACAUCUAUUUUUAUUCUAUCAUACUCUUUCAUCACUCACAUUUUAUCUUUCACUUUUCAUAUUACUACAUACAUCUUUCUCACUUCUUAUCAUUUUUACCUUUCCUUCACUCAUACCUUCUUCCCAUUCUACACCACUAUUGAUGGUUGAUUCAUUUGAAGAGUAUACAUGAUUUGAUGGCAAAUUUACCAACUUUGUGAGGAUUUGAGCCUAUGAGCAACCACUUUGCUCUAAUUAUUUUUAUUAUGUGAAUAUCAAUCUUAGUUUGUUUAUUCUAGAACUUGCUUUGUUAUGCAUGUUGAAGCCACAUUACGGGAUUUUUUGCAUUAAAAUGAUAAGGGCAAACCAUUUACCAUUUUUCUAUUCUCGCAUUUUCUUUUUUUUUCUCUACCCGAAGACCUUGAUUUACUAUCUUUGUUUGAGCCUUAACCAUUACCCAUCUAAUUCUCUCAGUCUACUUAACCAUUUUUCUUCUUUUUGAGCCUCAAUUUAAGGAGAUUUUUGGACUCAUUGUGUGGAUAUAUUUUGUAUAUAUUUUGUUGCUUUUUCUACCUUGUAUUAAAGUUUCUCAAUUGGAUCAACAAGCAUUAUGCUUGAAUUAAAUUGUGCAAGGUUCAUUUCUUUUGUUUGAUUCAAAAAAAAAAGAAAGAAAAAGAAAAGGAAAAAGAAAAAAAAGAAAAGAAAAAUCGAAAAAAAAAUAAAAAAAAAGAGAAAAAGAAGAAAAAAAAAUGUUUACAUUCGUGGUGACUUGAGUAGAAAUAAGCAUUUUGAUAUCAUAAGUUCAUUCAAUGAGUUCAUUCUUCUCAUUUUGAUCUCUUUUUCUUUCAUAGACCUUUCUUUUUCAUUUAACCUAUUUAACCCCAUUACAACCCUUUUAAGACCCUUAGAUUUUUGCAUUUUAUUCAUGUUUUGUGGAUUGAGAUGUGAUAUAUGAGCAAGCUUAUGGUAAUAGCAUUCUUUGAUUUGAUUUGAGUGCAUAGAUGAUACCCUAAACACUUUGAGUGCAUGGAGUGAAGUCAUUGAGAGGGCUAUUAAAUCUUGUUGCACUUGAAUUUUGAAUGGAUCUUCUUGGUGGCUAAAUGUUCUUAUUCUAUCUUAUGAGAUUCUAUGCUUUAAAAGUCUUUGUCUCUCGAAUGUUGAUCGACUUAAUUUCUUGAGGUAUGCUUGCUUAAAAUUAUUUUUGGAUGAGUUGAGAUGAGAAUUGAGUGGAGAUUUGGGAUUAAUCUUGAGUUAUAUGCUUGAGGACAAGCAUCAUCUUGGUGUGGGGGAAUUUGUUAGAGUGCAAUUUAUGCACUAGUUUUGCAUUGUUUACUUCCCUUAAUAUCGAUGUUUUGCACUUAAUAAUAAUGUUUUACUUGUGUUUUACUUUUGUAGGUGCAAUUCUAUUGAUUGGUGAUAAAAUUGAGCUAAAAGAUGAUGUUUAAGGAGGAUUGUUCUCUUGGAGAAAUUAUGAGCGUCAGAAGAACUUUGUUGAUAAGGCGUGGGCGCGUGCUGUCAACUGCGGACCUGCAGUUUUUAGUUUAACGUGUUUUGUAUUUUUGGUUAUUUUUGUAAUUACGAAUUUAAUAUUUCAGAUAUUAGUAUUUUAUUUUAAAUAGAAUUCUAAAAGAGAAGAGAGAGAGAGUAUUUAAGAGAGGAAUCUAUUGUGAAAAAGGGGGGAUUUUUGGAUUGGAGAAAAAGAAAGAAACCCUAGAUUUAAUUUUUCUCUCCUCUCUAUGAAGAACUAAACCUAUUUUUCUAGUUGAAGGAUAACGAAGCUUUGAUUCAUCACUACUGUGAGAUCUUUCUUGUGCUUUAAUUGUUUUAUUGCUUUUUGGGUAUUUGUUUAUUCUCUGAAUUAGUUUCAUGAUUAUGUUUGUUAAUUAGGUAAUUGGCCACUAUUUAAUUAUCAACUUAAUCUAUUGUCAAUUAAAGGAUUCAUCGUAUGAAGAAUUUAAUGCUUGUGACAAAUAACAUAGCAGAGAGUUGUGUUGUGAGAAUAAACAAUCUAAUUUAAAUGAAUCAUCAUAUGUGUUGAUUAGGAUUUGGGUCUCUCUGGUUUUUCAGGCUGUCAAUUGAUUAAAUUCUAUGAUCGUAUCUAGGGUUGUCUAUUGAUUAGGGAAAUAACCAACGGUCGUACCUUGGUUAUCGACUAGUUAAGGAGAGAUUGGCUAUUAGAGGGUCUCAGUAGCUAUAACCGGUCUAUUCAUGAGUAAUAAUAAUCUAUAUUUGAAUCAAUGAUCAGUAGUCGAAUCAAGCUGAGUUAAUUCCUUCAACCAGAGCUUUCUCUAAUUUGAAUUACAACUUUAAUUUGCAUUCUUGUUAUUUUAAUUUGAUUUUUAUUAUUGUCAACAAUUCCCCCAUUUUAUGUUUUACGUUUCAAAAGGAUUUAAUUAAUUACCGAUCUCUGUGGACACGACCCUGCUCAAUCACUAUACACAAUUUAUUUAGAGUAGGAAUUUAUUUUUGUUGGCUUCGACACCCAUCACUCAUAUGGAGUUUUAUUAAGAUUAGAUCUAAUCAACACACGAUUCAAAACAUAACAAGCGGUGUUGACGGCUUCGGCCUAAAAAUACUCAGGCAAAGAAUUUUCAUUCAACAUGGUCCUAGCCAUUUCUUGAAUAGGCCUAUUCUUUCUCUCUACGACUCCAUUUUGUUGUGGAGUCCUAGGUGAUGGAAAUUGAUGUUCAAUGCCAAAGUCAUUACAAAAAUUUUCAAAUGCAUGAUUUUCAAAUUCUCCACUAUGAUCACUUCUAGCACAAGUAAUAGAAUAAUCUUUUUCAUUUUGAACAUUUUUACAGAAAAUUUGAAAUGCAUCAAUGGCAUUGUCCUUAUUAGAUAAGAACAAUACCCAUGUGCAUCUAGAAUAAUCAUCUACAAUUACAAAUGCAUAAAAUUUGCCACUUAAACUAGCAUAUCUAGAAGGUCCAAACAAAUCUAUGUGAAGUAAUUGAAGAGGUUUUGAAGUGGAGACAUGAUUCUUACUUUUGAAGGAAGUUUUGAUUUGUUUUCCAAAUUGGCAAGCUUCACAAAUUCUAUCUUUUUGAAAACUGAUUUUUAGAAGACCUUUAACCAAAUCAUUUUUCACAAUUUUUUAAAUCAAAUUCAUGCUUGCAUGACCUAAUCUUCUAUGCCACAACCAACCAUCAUCAUGUAAUGCGGAGAAACAUUUAUCAUUUGUCGAUGCACAAUCUAUAUUAAUAGUAUAGACAUUAACACAUCUAUUUCCUACAAACAAAACUUUCCCAUCACAUGUAUUCUCAAUAACACAUUUUGAUUUAUCAAAGAUAACUUUAUAUCCUUUAUCACAUAAUUGACUAAUACUAAGCAAGUUGUGUUUUAAGUUUUUAACCAAACAUACAUUUUCAAUGAGAGUAGAGGAUACAUUACCGGCAUUUCCAAUGCCAAUGAUUUUUCCCUUUAAAUUAUCUCCAAACGAUACAUCUCCACCAUUUUUGAUCUUGGUAAAACUUGAAAACCAAGAAUAAUUCACUGUCAUGUGUCUUGAACAACCACUGUCCAAUUACCACUUUUUUUUUUCUUCAAGCCUUGUAGAGAAAAUCUCAAGUUUUAGGUACCCAACCAUUUUUUGGUCCUUGAGAGUUAGCAAUGGCUCCUUUCGGAACCCAAACACAUUUCACACCAUAAUAUGCAUUUCUCUUCACUAGACAUGUAUUUUGCAUAUGACUAUCUUGAUUAUAAUAAUGACAUACAAUUUGAUUGUCAAUAGAUGUAUUCUUCACAAAAUAACUCUUGUAAUAUUUUUAUUUCAAAUUUGGCUUAUAACCAAUGCCUCUUUUGUCAAAUACACAUUUUUGUGAGUUUAGCAAGUUAUCCAACAUCUUUUGCCCAUUUUUGAAUUUUAGCACAAUCUCAUUUAAUUCAUUGCUCUUCUUUCUAAGCAUUUGAUUUUUAUUUUUCAAAUCAUUCACGUGUGACUAUAAAUGCUCAUGUGAAGUGCUAGAAUUCUUAAAUAAUGCAACUCUAUCAAGCAAUGUUUUAUUCUCUAAUUCUAGGUAUGUAAUCUUUGCACUAAAUAAUUCAUUUUCAUUUUAAAGCUCUAUCAUUUUCUUUUUAAGACAUAUAUUCUUUUUACCAAUCUUCAUCAAUUCAUCAUCCAAAUCCUUAAAGGCAUCAUGUAAUUCAUCAUAUGUAGGAAGAACACUUACCUCAUCAACUUCAUUACAUGAUUCUUCCCCAAAGGCCAUGAGAGCUAGAUUAGUCAUCUCUUGUUGCUCUUCAUCAUCGCUUGUUUCCUCAUCAUUAUCAUCACACGUGGCCACCAUAGCUUUAUUCUUGAAUUUGUUGAGGAGAGGACAUUCCGGUCGAAUGUGUCCGGGCUUCUUGCAUUCAUAGCAGAUAAUUGGCUCUUUCUUUUCCUUUUUGUUUUGUGACUUCUAAACUUUCUCUGCUCGUUAUUCUUCUUGUAGAAUUUUCUGAAUCUUCUAGCCAACAUAGCCAACUCAUCAUCAUCCAUCUCGUUUUCCUCAUCACUAUCACGUUUUAAGGCUUUGAGAUCAAUGCUUUUCUUCUUUUCCUCAUGUCCUUUUUCUGCUGCCAAAUAUUCUUCAUAUGAAAUGAGAGAACCAAUUAAAUCAUCAAUAGGUAAUAUAUUUAAAUCUUUGGCUUCCUCAAUGGCAGACUUUUUUGGUCUCCAUUCCUUAGGUAACGACCUAAUGAUUUUUUUAACUUUCUCGAUAUUUGAAAAGGUCUUUCCUAGGGCUCCUAGAGUGUUCACUAUGUCCGUAAAUCUAGUAUACAUAGAGUACACACUCUCAUUUUGUUCCAUUUAGAAAAAUUCAUAUUGUCGAGUGUACCUACUUAUUUUAGAUUCUUUCACUUGAUUCGUGCCUUCAUAAACAACUUCAAGUUUGUGCCAAAUUUCAUUAGCACUUUUGCAACUAGACACUCUAUGAAACUCUUUCUUACCUAGUGCACAAAACAAGGCAUUCAUAGCCUUGGAAUUUAGAGAAGAUUUUCUCUUUUCGAAUUCAUUCCAUUCACGUGAAGGUUUUGGAAUAUCUUCCCCGACUUCAUUUUUAGUCAAAGGCAUGUAAGGACCAUCACUAACGAUUUCCCAAAUUUUGUAAUCUAAAGCUUGCAAGUAAAUUCUCAUUCUAGUUUUCCAAUAAGGGUAAUCAUUUCCAUCAAAAUAUGGUGGUCUAGUGGUGGACUGUCCUUCCCUAAAUGUGGAAUCAUUUUGAGUUGCCAUUAAUCUUUAGCUCUAAACUGUUAAGUCUAAACAAAAGCACUUUGCUCUGAUACCAAAUGAAAUAUAAGUGUACAACCCAAGAGGGGGGUGAAUUGGUAUUUUAAAAAUUAUCCUAACAAAGCCACACAACAAUGCAAUCUAACGCCUUAAUAAAUUCAAAAACAAUAAGUUCAAUAAAAACACAAUAACAAAUGAGUAAAGGAGAAGAGAAAUAAACACACGAAUUUUUUAUGUGGUUCGGCAAUCCCCGCCGAUGUCCGCACCUCCGAGCAAUCUAAACUUGAGGAUUUCACUAUCCGAACCUUUCCAAGACUUCAAACGUUUACAAUUAACUUCAAGGUGUCAAUAAACCUUUACAACAAAGAGAUUAUCUCUCAAUCUCUUCAUUCAAGUGUCUCACACACUCAAACACUUACAAUUAAGAUAAAGAAAUGAAAGUUACAACAAAACUCACUCAAAGAGUAGAUAUUCAAAAUGAAGAACAAGAGAUGAUUCAAUGUUUUAUGAUUUGCGAAUUGAGAGCUCAAGAUAUCUCGUGUACUUUUUGUUUAUGCAUGCUAGAGAGAUUGAAAAUGAAUUGGAUUUGAGUUUAUAUAGUUUGAACCCAAAAACUAGCCAUUAUCUGUUUUCUGAUGAUAAUCGGCUUGCAGCUUUCGGAAUCCGGUUAGCCACUUUUAUGUUACCGUUACAACAAAAAUUUGAAUUUCAGAACAUUCGGCAUGCCGCUUACCAUAUCCAGAUAGUCGUUUAUGCUCCAGAAGCUUACUGCCCAAAAUCCAGAUUGUCGCUUACUAUAUCCGUUUAGCCGCUUGCUACAGUAAAUGCUACAUUGAAAUAUUUUUUAAAAUUAUAGUUUGACUUCAAAACUUUAUAAAACUGUAUUAUGACCCAAAACGUUAUAAAAGCUUUCAAAUAGGUCCAAUUUCAGAAUUUCUAAAUAAUGCUUUGUUAAUCCCAAAACUUUCUGAACUUAUGAUUUCACCCAAACUAUGUGAAAUUAUAGAAUGACACAAAAUAUUUAAAUAGUUUCAAAUAAGUCCAAAUCCGAAAUUUUAAAAACAAUAUCAAAGGUUUUAAAAUACUUUCAUUUUAGUCAAAAACACUUUAAUUCCAUAACAUCAUUUUCUUAUUAUAAAAGCACAAUUCAUAAAUCUUUAUUUAAUCAACACAUGUGGUUUGUUAUCAUCAAAAUCAAUAUUUAUAGCCAUAUAGGCUAACAAAAUAAUGAUGUAAGGGACAAAAAUACGUGUGUGUUGUUAAGUAAACAUAAAAUUUGUGUUGCGGUCCUCAAUAUGACUGAUAACUCUAUGAAAUGAGUGUUAUCAUGGUAUUUUUAGACUUAAAUCAAUACUACUUAGAGAGUAAAUUAUGUGUUUCUAUUGCAUUUUUGUUACAUUUUGCAUAAAUAAUCAUUUUAGUCAAUCUUAAUAAGUUUUGCUCGAUUUAAAGUAAUUUUUGCUCAAAUUGUGUGCAUAAUUGUAGGUUUCCAGAAGUUUAUAAUUCAUGGAAGGAAUGCUAUGCAAUAGGCUUGCAAAAAUAAGGAAAGAACAUGGCAAUAAAAGAGUUGAAACAAAUCUGGAACAGUGCAGUUGCUGUAGAUAUUGCUGUAGCAAUCCUGAAACAACAUCAGAGAAAAUUUCGUCUGGGAUACUUGCAGAAUUGCCAUCUGCAGUUUCCUAAUCUGACUUAUGCGCGACCUAGGCUUCCGUUUACCCUAAUUUUCAACUAUAAAAGAAGCACACAUCAUAAAGAAAAGGGAGGGUCGUCACCCAAGGAGAAAAACAAAAAGAAACAAAAGAAAAACAAGAUUCAAGAGCGAGAUUAAGGGCUGCACAAGAGGAGAAUUUGCAGAAAUCAAUUGGGAGUUCAAUCCUUCUUAUUCUUCUCUUGUUUUCUCGUUUUCUAUUUAUUUAUGGGGAUGUGUUUCAUGGCUGAAACUUUGUUCUUUAUUUUUCUUUUGCAAACUAUGAACUAAAUUUAUUUGUGGUUGAGUGAUAAACAAUCUUGAUAGUUUAUUGACUGAAUAUAUGUGUUGCUGCAUGUUUGCUGUAGCAGUUUGUUUUGAUAGUAUUUAUUUUAUUCGUUAUUUCGGUUGAUCACCCAUUUAAUGAUACUAGCUAAUGAAGAGCCGCAAAAGGGUCUAUCUUAGUGGAACAUAUCAUAACAAUACUUGAUCUUAAAUUGAGUUUCCCGGAUUGAGUUUUACUUGAGUCCCAAAAGGGCCAUGCAUAAUUUAAGAUUAGUGAUGAACUAGACAUAAGGAUUCACCUUGUAGAGUAAAUAGAACCUAAGCGUGUAAUGUUAUAUCUUAUAUUGACAUAGCAACUGAUCACUAUUAGGUUGCAUAUAGAUAUAAGAUAUCCAACAUGCGACGGCUGAGGAUGCAUAAGGAUUCUGCCCAGUGCUGUAGCAGAUACUGCAGCAACCGAGCCAACCAUUAGAAAAUAGUCAAGACCAUUAGGAGAGUUUAUUCACUCAACUACUAUAUAUUCCCAUUAGUUUUAUCCUUGAGUUUGAUGUGAUAAUUUACUUUGUUGCAUUUUAUUUAUAGCGUUUUUAUUUUAAUUAGUACAUUAGUUUCAUUAAUUGUUUAUUUUAUUUUAACACAAAAUCUGCACUGUUAAGAUUGAUGUAGCAAGUCUAAUAACAUCAAUCCAUGUGGAGACGAUCUUGAAUACUCAUCACUUUAUUACUUGUUGUGUACACUUACACAUUGACACCAAUAACAUUAGUAUUUAUAAACCAACAGUGACUCAUGUCCUCAUCAUGACUCAUACCUUUAACAUAUAUUUUUUGUCUCAGUUCUUGUCAAAUAAUAAGGAAUCAAAAAUGGUUGGUUGGAAUAAGAGAUGUUUCGCCAUUAAAUCAUAAAGUGGGAAAAAUUGGAUCUAUACUUUUUUAGUUGCGCAUACGUGGCAACUGAAAAAUAGUUAAAAUGACAUUUUUGGACCAGCAGCUUCCCUCAGGUUCCAUCAGGGGAGGGACUAUGUACAGCUCUGUCGUCUAUUCCAAAUUGGAUCCCCUAUGUUACAUGCAUGGGCUCACUCACUAUUAAUGUGAGAGGGCUGUAAGUUACAUGCAUGUAACAUAGCAUUAGCCUUCCAAAUUUUAAGCAUCGUUAAGCAAUUUUCAAGCAGUCAUUCAGUGAGAGAAGAGAUAGAAAAUAAUUAGGCGUGCAUUUUGAAACCAAUAAUAUUUAUCUACCACAAGAGUGAAUAACGGGUAAUUUUCGGUUUCUUCUCUUGAUAUUUGGGUCCUUUCACUUCUAUAAAUUAUAUGAGUGUCUCUACUUUACGCCCUCCCGUUAGUAUAGAAUUUAUUUGACUGUUAACUGACUAAGUAAAUGACCAAAAUACCCUUACAUUAAUAAAACAAUAUUUGAGACAUGUACUAGGCAAUGAAUCGUUAAUAAAUUUGGUGCCAAAUUAUAAUGAAAUGUCAAUAAUACCCAUGAAAAUUUUCAAUUUCCAUUUUUUGUGUCACUUAAAAAAUUAAAAUUAAAUUUUAAAAAAGAGUUCAUCUCUACCGAUAUUACCAUUGAAUCAAACGGCUAUAUUUCUAGAGCAAAUGGGUAUAAAUUCAUCACCUAUUAAGCCAAUAUUAAAAAGUAAUGUGGUGGUAGAAAUCCACGCAUUUAUACCGUGAUAAACAAAUAAAGAAAGUGUGUUUUUGAUUCAAAGCAUUGGAAAGAAACCAUCAAAAUAAAAGAAUAAAGUGAAUUUCUUUUGUUUUUAAUUAGAUUUUUAAUUUCUCUUAAUAAUCUAUUGUCUUUUUUUUUAAUUUAAGUUCCAUAAUGUUUCAAUAAUUGAUCAAAUUAUUUAGAAUUAGACAUUUACUCUUGGGGCAGCAUAAUUUUUUUUUUUAAAUUAAUAGAGGCGCUUGAUAAUUUUAUAAUUAAGUUGGGACACUUUCUAGGGGCAAAUAAUAAAUGAGAAAUUAUCAUUGCACCACCUUUUUUUUACCUUAUAUUCAUCCAACAAGCAUAAAAUUCUAACAUAUUCUUUGCACCACCUUUCUUUUUUUAAUUUGUAUCAAUUAGCCACUUUUGCACUAACACCAUUAAAUAAUUUAAACGAAAUGACAAUUUUACCCCUAAAUAAAUUAAUAGAUCAUUUUAUUUUAUAAAAGUUUUGCAAAAUAAAAAAAUUAUAAUUAUAAAAAUACCCCUAAAUUUAAAAAAGUAAAUCCAAAAUAGAGGUGUUUAGUUGAUUUUUAUUAAAUUUAGAUUUUGAAAAAUUGUAAUAAUUAUUUUUAUUAAAAUUUUAUAACUUUGCAAAAUUAUAAUAAAAAAAUGAAUUUAGUUAUUAAAAUUUUAUAAUUUUGUAAAAUUUUAUUAAAAUAACUGAAUUUAUUUAUUAAAAAUAAAUCCCAAAAUUUUAAUAAUUUAGGGGAUUUUUAUUAAAUCCCAAAAUUUUGUAAUUAUUUUUAUAAUUAUAAUUUUUUAUUAAAAUAAUUUUUAUUAUAAAAAAUUUAAUUUUUGGAUUUAUUUCCUUAUUAAAUGUAGAGGUAUUUUUAUAAUUAUAAUUUUUUUAUUUUCAAAGUGAGUGGAUCCUGGUCGUUGCAUUUUCAACAAAUUCAUGAAGCCGGUUUUCACUAGGGGUGGGCAAAUUCGGAUUCGAAUCAAUCCGAUCGGAUCUCGGAUUGUUCAAAUUGGUGAAAAAAUCAUCCAAUUAUAAUCUGAAUUCAAAACCAAUCCGAAUCCGAUCCAAAUAUUAUAUUCGGAUCGGAUGGAUAAUUCAGAUUAAUUCGGAUUCUCACAUCGGUAAUAUCAUAUUGAAAUUGGAUUCGGAUUUGCUCAAAUAAAUCAAAUGAAUUGAAGUCAUUUUCAAGUUGCAAGGCAAAAUUGAAGUCAUUUUCAAGUUGCAAGGCAAAAUUGAAAUCACGCAAACAAGAAAAAAAAGCAGCAAGCCAACAAAUAGAGAAAAAAAAAAUACAAAAAUUGAAAGCACAAAAGACUCAGAUCUCUGCAAUUUUUUUAAAAUCAAAGUAUCUAUUCUUAUUCCUAUGCAACUCACAAGCUUUGAUAGAUCAACUCUGUUGGAAACCCUUGCAAUAAUCAAAUAGAUGCAGCGGCUAGGUUUGGGACAUCAACUUGUGGUUGCGGCUUCAGUUGGAAGCGUAGCAACGUGCAGCUCACGGGCUCAGCGGUUGACUUCGUCGAUGUGUAGCUAAGGCGUCGACUACUUGAGACUUAAAGAGAUCAGUUGGGUUUGUACAGCUUUUCCAAUUCUUUGGCUGGGUUCGUGCGGCUGCAAGUUCUUCUCCAAUUCGUUGCCUGGUUCGUGAGGCUGCAACCUGCAAGUGCUUCUCCAAUUCUUUGGCUGGGUUCGUGCGGCUGCAAGUUCUUCUCCAAUUCGUUGGCUGGGUUCGUGGGGCUGCAGCCUGCAAGUGCUUCUCCAAUUCUUUGGAUGGGUUCGUGCAGUUGGAGCCUACAAGUGCUUCUUCGAUUCUUUGGCUGGGUUCAUGGGAUUGCAAGGGCUUCUUUCAUCCUUUCUGAUUUGGGAUUUUAGGGAUUUAGUUUAGGGCUGCCAUUUAACUUUUAUUUUUUUAUUUAUAGUUCAAUUAAUUUUUUUUAAUUGCAAAGUGCAAUCCGAUUGGAUUGAUCGGAUUGAUCCGAAUCCGAACCGAUUCGAAUUAAAUCCCAUCGGAUUGCAAAAUUUUAUCCGAUCGGAUUUGGAGGUCAAUCUGAAUCCGAUCCGAACAAGUUCGGAUUGGUUCGGAUCGGAUCGGAUUGAUCCAAAUUCGAUCCGAUGCCCACCCCUAGUUUUCACCAAGACUACAAAUUGUUUCAACAUAAUAACAACAUCAUUCUCCACUACCUCUCUCUCCACAGAGCAGACAGAAGCAGCAUCAAAUGCUUCAACCUAAUAUUUUUUCUUUGUUAAAUUUGUAAGUAUGCUAUUAUUUUAAGAAUAGUGUGUGUGUGUGUGUGUGUGUUACUGGAGUCAGGCAAUCAGUUUUCAAUAAUAAGGAAUCUGGCAUUUUACUAAAAUCCAAUACCAAUCGAUUGGUAUUGGAUUUUAACAUAUACACUAGCGCAAAAUUAUCCAAAGUGAGUGGCUACAUCAAAUGUGUACAAUGUUGUAAACUUCUCCUGCAUUUUAAUAAAGUUUCAGAAUCUUGUAUUGAAAAUAUAUAUGCAUUUGGUAUGCAGGAUAUGACAGAAUAUGAUUAUAUUUAAUACUAUCAUGUGUUUUUAGGUAUAAUUUAAGAUUAGAUUGUAAUACAUUAACAGGUUAAAAAACACAAUAUCUAAUAUAUUAAAAUUUGUCUUUUUUGUAUUUUAAUAAUAAAGUGAGGAGUUCUCGUUAGGUAAGAACUAUAUAUAUAACAGUUUCUCUGUAUCAUUAAUUUCUUUUCUUGCCUUUGUAGAUCAAUAGAAACAUUGUUAAAAUAUGUACACAUAAAGAUGUUACAAGAAAAGAAAAAAGAAAUUAUCAAAAAGAAAGAAAAGAAAAAAGAAACAAAAGGGGAAAGACUAAUUAAAUUAGAAAACGGCAAGCUGAAACAACCAUAAUAUUCAGCUUCACCAGUAACUAAAGAAGCUUCGAAGCCGUUAUUCUAUACAUAUUCAAACGAAAUUAUUCAGGACUGAAAAUUGAUGCGGGAAAAGUUGUAAGCAGUUUGCCAAGUCUUCGAUCCCAGUCCUAUUAAAGACUUUCAUACCGGUUACUACUUCAAAGAUUUAGAUACUCUGCUACGAGCUGAGCUUGAAGAACAAAAAAAGAGGAAAUGGAAGAAAAAUAUGGAUUUUUUACAAGGGAGAAUUUUAUUAAUCUUAUUCCUACUAUUUUAUUGAUGAAACUUAACUGUAUAAAUAUUAACCAGUGAAAUUAAGGGUAUAUUGGAAAUUAAAGAAGGGGGAUUAAGAAAUUUUAAGCAUUUUAAGCAAAUCUGUGAUUGUGAGAGACACUGCAAUUUUCCUAUUUGUAAAGACUAAGAAGAGGAACGAUUGUGGUGUUCAUAUUCUUGCUUUAAUUGCCAUCUGGAGCUUCUCAUAAAUAAGGCUUGUGGAGAAAGUACAUGCAUGUACAAGCAACUAAAAUGCACACACCAAAACUAUGCUGGGUGAAAAGAUUUAAAGAUCAAAGGCUAAAGCCUAUGAUCAAAACAAGGGGAGAGAGAAAGAACGAGAUAGAUGUGACUGUUAUGCACGGAAUGCGGAAUUAAGCACACCAAAUAAUUACAGAAAAAUAAAGGACACAAGAAUUACGUGGUUCGGCAAUAUGCAUAUGUCCACGGGAGCAAGAGAAAAAUAAUUGUCUUAUUAACAAUUAUUUGAGCACAAAUUUGAGUAAAGAAAUCUCACUUUCCCAGAACCCAAAUACACCCAGUACUCUCACAGACACUCUCCAAUUAUUCACACUCUCAGAACUCUCAAAAGUUUAAAAAUUAAUAAGCUUAACAAAUUUUUGGGAUGCCAUUAAAUGAAGAAAUGGCUUCAAUUUAUAGGCUUGAAGCUAGUACUAUUUCACCUAACCCAAACACUAUUCCACCUAACCCAUGCAAGUAUGUCAAGGAGUUUGGUAUUUCUUUGGCCAAUCUUGAAAAAUUCUUCAAAUUUGAAUCCAACAUUUCAGCUAACCUUGACAUUUGUUAGCAAAAUGCAAGUGGAUUUCUUAUUUUUCAACAAUUCUCCACAUCGGCGAAGAUUUGUCUAAAUCUGAACCGACUACCAACCAAUCAUCAUCCCCAAAGUGGCUGCAUCUCUGUGACUGCCUACGUACCCAAAAUUUGAGAUCAAGCCAACCGUAGUUCAAAAUUCCCGAAGGACAUAUCUUAACACAAUCGAAGGAUUUGAAUUAGUUUCAAGCAAUAUUGAAACUUAACUACAGAAACUACCUUCGUCAACAUAUCUGAUGAAUUAUCUUUGGUAUCGAUCUUUUUCAACAACACAACACCGCUCUCGAUAAUCUCUCUCACAUAAUGAUAUUUCACAUCUAUGUGCUUCGUCCGAGCAUGAUAUGUUUUAUUCUUCGCGAGGAAUAUCGCACUUUGGUUAUCACAAAAGACCGCAAUGUUCUCCUGGAUUACUUCCAAAUCACCUAACAAGUCUUUCAACCAGAUAGCUUUCUUUACAGCUUCAGUUGCUGCCAUGUACUAUGCUUCCGUAAUGGACAGAGCAAUUGUCGAUUGUAGAAUCGACCUCCAGCUAACCGAACCUCCACCCAAUAUGAAUACGUAGCCCGUUGUUGAUCUUCACUUGUCAAGGUCUCCAGCGAAAUCAAAAUCACAAUACCCAACACAUUGUUGACCACAAUCCUUCUUGAACAAUAACCCAACAACAACUGUCCCAUACAGAUAUCGGAGAAUCCACUUUAUCGCAAGCCAGUGAUUUUUACCUGGAUUGUGCAUGUAUCUACUAACCAUGCUCACUGCUUGAGAUAUAUCGGGCCUUGUACAUACCAUAACAUACAUAAGACUACCUACAACACUAGCAUAUGGAACACGAGCCAUGUAAUCGCGCUUCUCUUGAGAUCUAGGAAAUGAAGAAGAGCUUAAUUUGAAAUGAGGAGUUAGAGGUGUACAUACCAGUUUAGUUUUGUCAUCCAUACCGAAUCUUUCUAUGCUCUAAGAGCUAAGCUUGAAAAACUAAAAGAGAGGAAUCAUAAGAACAAUAUGAAUUUUUAUAAGAGAGUCACUAAAUAUAGCUUCCUCCUCUUUCUAAAGUUCAUGAGCUGCUCUUAAUGCAUAUGCAAUUAAUAAUACAUAUAUAUACCUCUUAGGUGUCUUAAUAAUGCUUCUUUGCCUAUCUUUGACAAGCUAGUACUUUGAUAAGCUGGUAAUCUUGUACAUUUAGUGGAUUAUGUUCUCUAAGAGCUGAGCUUGAAAAACUAAAAGAGAGGAAUCAUAGGAACAAUAUGAAUUUUUAUAGGAGAGAAUUUUAUUAAUUUUACCCCUACUAUUUUAUUAGUGAAUUUUUUUGGAAAACAAAAAAGGUUGUUUAUUGGUGUAUGAAAACAUUGACCAGUGAAAUUAAGGGUAUAUUGAAAAUUAAAUAGGGAAUUUUAAGAAAUUUUAAUCAUUUAAAAUUUUAGUAUUUUAUGCUUGAAAAAAAGAUUUGAUGACAUAAGGCUAAACAACACACUUAGUUAUUAUAUUAUUCUUCUUGUUAUUAAUGAUUCCAUUUCCUUAGCUGAAUUUGUAAUAAGGCUUUUGUACAAUUUGAAUUAACAUCUUGAAACAGAUUUGAUGAGAAAUUGUGCACAUUGUAAACCGUCAAAAUAAGAUGUAUAACUUAAUUUGCGUAAUAAAAAUUAGUGACAAAGUUUACGAUGGUAAAACUUCUACGAGCCAAAAUUACAAAGGUCAAAGCAUUAAAAAAAUGUGAUAAGUUGUUUGCAUAGACCUAGGGCCGAGGAUGACAGGAUGACCUGGCCCAUCUACGCCUAGACAGUGAAUGCCAGGUUUGUCUUGGCCCAAGAGUGAGACAGGGCCCGGGAUGCAUGGGAGUUUAAAAAAUUAAUCAUGUGUAAUAGUUUGAUUAAAAAAAAUCUGAUUACACGCAUUGAAAAUUUUAGUCCCAGGUCCUACUUUUGAAACGCUAUCUUAUUAAAACAAAAUGUAUAAGCUAUAAAUUUUAUAAAACAUAUUACAAACGUGAAAAUAUUUAUAAAAGAAUGAACUUUAAGGCACGGGCGAAAAAGGAUUAGGUCUAUUACAAUUGCCAAGCCAGGCUUAGCCCAGCCUUGGGAACCCAAAGAGCAUGUUCAGGACAACAAUAGAACACUUCUUUCUAAUACAAUAAAUAUAUACAACAAAAUUUUUCUUUAUUAUAAUAAUUUUUUGUGGCAAUAUUACCAAAAAUUAAUAGAAACUGCCUAGUUGUUUCCACGUAGUUAAAACAAUGUACAGCUAGAUAAAGAUGUUAGAAGAGGGGGGGGGGCGUGGGGGGACUAAUUAGUUCAUAAAUGAGAGAGCUGUAUCAGCCAUCAAAUUCAUACUUCACCCCUAAUUAAAGAAGAAGCUUCCAAGCCAUAAUCUUAUAUACACGCACGUUAUUAUCUAGAAGAGCUAAAGAAAAUAUUUACCAACCAACAUUUUACAGGGACUUUCUUAUAUAAAGCCCAUUCAUUGAUCCAAACAUAAAUCUUACCGAAAACAAGGACUCAAGUAAAUUUCCUACUUUUGGUUUGCUCAACAGCUACUUUAAUGAAUAAUCUUUUGAAAGAGCUUUUAUUGUACAUUUCGAGAAGUACUCACUGAAUCAAAAAAAAAUUGUAUACACGUGUCCGAUAUAAUUUUACCAAGAGUUCUGCUAUUUAUCCCGGGUCAAAUCCCGAAAGUUAAAACAAAACGACGUCAUUUUUUUCUUUUUCAUGAAACGCUACCGUUUCACCCUAUCAAAAGCAAACGUUCCUCUCUUCUUCGUUUUCGUCUUCCUCUCCCGACUCCUCUUCGUUUCACUAGGGAACGACAUUCGUUUUGUUUAAGAUCCAAAUCAAAUGUUCCUCUCCUCUUCGUUUUCGUCUUCCUCUCCUGACUCGUCUUUGUUUUCUCCUCUUCGUUUCACCAACAAUAUUUGGAGUAAUUAUUAUUUUUUAUUGGGUUGAUUGGAAGCAAAACAAGUAAUUAAUUGGAACGGGACGAGCUUGACUUCACUUUGUUGACUUUGUGCAGCGAGUCUCGCUCUAAUCGCAACGUUUGCAGCUUCCACCACUCGUUUCUUCAUUAUAUUUGAUAAAAUCUCGUCUCUCUCUAACAUUAAUAAAACGAAAGAUAGAAUAAAAAAAAUAAAAAGGAAGAAGAUAGAGGAUUGUAUUUGUAAUCCACAGUAAGCAACAAAAACCUCGGAUUCUGAAUGCUGCCCUUGAAAUUCUCCAUGUUGUUUCUGUUUGUGAUAUAUCUUUUAAGCUCCCAGUUCAGUUUUACGGCUGCAGAUGACCCAACAUACGUUCAUCAUGUUUGCUCAGAAAUAGCAAAUUUCACCAGAAACAGCACCUUUGAAUCAAACCUCAAUCGUCUCCUCACAUCUCUUCCCACUAACGCCACCGCUGGCCAAGACCCAAACAGGGUCUACAGCCUCUUUUUCUGCCGCGGUGAUCAAACUACCAACAACUGCCAAAACUGUCACUUUUGCUACCAGAAAUGUAACUCGGCGUUGCCCAGUGAGCAAAGACACCAUAGUAUGGUACGAUGAGACAAAAAUUCGUAAUCGAAAUUGAAACUUAAAAAAUUUGAAGAUUCGAAAACAAAAUGCUGCCAAAAGAAAACAAUGCCUUAGCUUGUGCAAAGCCACAUAUAAUCGAAACUGGAAUCCGUAAAUGCCGAAACUUAGUCUUAUAACAGAAAAAUUUAACAACUGCUGUUAAUGCCUAUGAGGUUAGGAAUCAUGGACAAUGUCGAGACUCUAUCUUGUUCAAGCUUCUGCUUUUGCCUUGUCUGAGCCUAAUAUUUCACUUGGGCGUGGUGAAUCGAAGAGAAAGAGCUUAAAGAUUCUGCGUUUUUCUCAGUUCAUAAAGUAGUUGUUUCUCUGCAUCUUUUCUGCUUUAAUUCAUUUUGUUUUUACUAGGCUCAAACAACUACGUUUCAUGGAAGCAAAAAGGGAAAAAUAAACCAAAAUCAAAACGGCGUCAUUUUGAUUAAAUUCGGGGUUUGACCCGGGAAAAAUAGCAUUUUCCUUUUACCAAAAGAAGCACUUCUAGAUAUUUUACAUGUAUUACCUCGAAAAAAUCAUUUUCAAGAACUGAGGGGAAAUAAGAUAAAACUAACAUGUGCCAUCAAUUUUUCUGGAUUCAUAAUUUCAAGAGUAGUACUAGAAAUACUAACUAAUAGACUACCAUAAGCAAUACAUUCUUUCACUUAAUUUAUGAAGUGUUCUUCGUGUAACCUUUUUUUUUUUUUUGGUUACCCAACCAAUUGUUCGCGCAAGAUAACAUUAGUUUACAUUUAAGCAAGUAAUAAGGGUGUAAUCUAAAUUUGAUUUCUAAAAUAAUAUUCCAUAAAAUAUAACAUAAUCAACAAAAUACUCAUGCACAAAGUACUCUAAAUAUAGCUUCAAGACGAAAAUGUAUUGAAGUCAUAUUCUACGUCAAUUUGAUCAAUUAAAAAGGUACAAUUAUGUAACGUGUUAAAUUUGAACUAAAAUAAUGUCGCAUGAUUGGUUAAUCAAAUUUCAAGUCACUUGAGAUUGACAAGAGUACAGUUAAUUAUUUUAGCAAUUUUAUUCAAUGGUGCCUACUGCCUUAGGAUCAAAAAGACAUACGCUAUUUUUUUAUUCAUAUUAUAUGUUUGCAAGUUUCCCAUGCUUUGGUUCCACUGCAUUCAAUGUUAAUCAUCCAUACAAAGGAUCAGUUCACACAUGAUACACAGGAAAAUGAAGUUACAAAGAAGGACCCUCUAAUCUUAUUACGGAAGCAAAAAAAAAAAAAAAAAAAGGUAAAAUGGGAUACCAAAGACAUGAAAUUAUUCUGUUAAAAUAUUAUUAUUAAUAAUAUCACCAACAAACUGAAAUCCCAAUUAAAUUAAAACAAUAAAUAUGACUCAAAUAAUACAAACACUAAAAAAGACAAAUCAAAUUAUAAUACAAAAAACUCGGAAUACUAUUACUAUAUUUAGAUUUGGACCGUCUAAAGCUGUCCAACAUCAAUAAGAAUACUAUUACUAAAACCCAUUUAAUUGAUAGCCAUUCCAAGAAAUAACAAUGUUAAUUUGUACCAUGUGUAAAAUAAAUAUAUAAUAAUAUAGAAGCUUUCACCUGAGCAUCCGACCAUGUAACAACUUCUCAUUGGAGAGGUUAUGUGGUACCACUAUUCCAAGAAUACUAUUACUAUAUUUAGAUUUGGACCGUCUAAAGCUGUCCAACAUCAAUAAGAAUACUAUUACAUAAAUUGACAGAAUCUGCAAAAGUGUGUGAUAGGUCACAUGUCACGAUUUCAUUAAUUGCACCUCACAACCCACCUAAUAAAUUCGUGACACGUAGCUCAUCACGCACAAUAACAUGAGCGAUGGCGUGCAUCCGAUCACGACUCAUAAUCUGACUGUUAGAUAUAUGCAUAUGUGUUUGUGUGUGUGUGUGGGCGUCCUUAUUUUUUAAAUACGUCAUUAAAUUGUGUGGUUUAAUAGAGUCGUGCAAAUAGGCUAUUAUUUCAUUUUGAAUUCAACACGUUUCCCUCACAUUUUUAUUUAUAUUUAUUAGUUGGCCCUUUUAUCUCUUGUGUACAUUGUCUUAUUAGACUUAAAUAUCAUCUCAUAUAUCUACAAUGGUGGCAGCCAUGCCAAUUACAAUUUACCACAAUACCCUUUCAAAGUUUAAAUAUGCUUUUUGAACAAACACGUCUAAGUUCCACAAUUGCUUCUCUAAAAUUGCUUCUAGUUGCUUCUUCCUAAUUUCAAGAAAUUGAUUUCAACUACUUAUCUCAAGUUCCAAAGAAACCAAAGGGUGACAAACUUAGGAAUUUUUUCGAACUAUAUUUAUGGCUAUCUAAAUUCCAUGUAAAUAUUUUUUUCAGACCCACACAUAAAUCCAAAUAAAUAAACAACGAAUAAACAAAUUAUUUCUUGAUACCCUUUCAAUUAUUUGGAGAGUUAUCUUGCAUAAAAUAUUUUCAAGCAUGUCUUGAUCAAAAUGGAUCAAGAAAAAUAUAAAAAACAAUAUUUUAUAUAUAAUUUACCAUUAUAUGCACCCAUUUAGUUUUCAAAAUUUAAAAAUAUGUAAUUUGAUCGUUAUUGAAACAUAAUUUCAAAGAUUAUUUUCAAAUGACAAUGAAAAAAGACCAAAUAACUGGGUAAAUUGUAUAAUAUAAUUAUCAAAUAAAUACACAAUCUUUUACUACAUACAAUGACUCAAAUCAUCUAAAAAUUAUUAACACUAAGUAAUUUCUAAUUUAAAAUUAAAUUCACUAGUGUACGUAAUUCAUGUGAUGUUAUGAAAUGUAUAUAUAAUAAAAAAGUAAAAAUUAGAAAAGAUUUGCCAAAAAAAUUUUAAGCCUUUUAUAGAGAACUUGUCGUGGUGAUAUUUUUGAAACAAAAAUUUUAUCCAAAAAGAAACUCCGCGCCAAUGUGGCUUCUCUUAAGAUUGAGUUGAAACAAUUGAGAGUUAAAAGCGUUCAAAAAAGAUUAAAGGGUGCAUUUGAAAUUGAGGUUGGGCAGCUGCACUAAAGUAUUUGGUAAACAUUAUCUAUUGUAACUUAGAAGCUAUGUUAAUAUAAUUUUUCACUUAUAUAAUGAAAAAUCUAUUAUAUCUUUAAUAAUUUUAUCAAAAUUAUUAUUUAAAAUUUAUACUUACUACAUAUUAUUAAUUUUUAUUUCAUACUCACAACUUUUUUUCUAUAGCAUCUAUAUCUUAAAAGGUACAGCACCUCUAUCUCAAACGCACCUAUAAUUGAGGGGAUAAUGUUGUAAAAUUGAACGUGGUAUAGAUGUAAUUAUUGCAAAAGUAUUGGGUGAUGUUUAAGUCAAAUAAAAUAAUGAUACAAGAGACAAAAACACGUGUGCGCUGUUGAGUAAACAUAAAAUAUGUGUUGGGUCCUUCGGGUGACUGAUGUCCUCUCCAUACCUUUGGCACAUAUGUUUUGUCCAAUAAUAAGGAAUCAAAAUGGUUGGUUCGAAUAAGAGACGUUUCGCCAUCAAAUCAAAUUGGAUCUGUACUUUUUCAGUUGCGCGUACGUGGGAACUCAAAAAUAAUUGAAAUGACAUUUUUGGACCCGCAGCUUCCCCCAGGUUCCAUCAGAUGAGGGGCUAUGUACGGCUCUGUCGUCCAUUCUAAAUUUUCAGCGUCGUUAAGCAAUUUUCGAGCAGUCAUUUGGAAACCAAUAAUAUUUACCAACCACAAGAGUGAAUAACCGGUAAUUUUCGGCUUCUUCUCCUAAGGUUUGGCUGCUUUCACUUUUAUAAAUUAUACGAGUGUAUCUCCAUUUUAAACCCCUACUAUUAGUGUCGAGUUUAGUUGGCUAUUAACUGACUGAGUGAAUGACUAAAAUACCCUUGCAUCAAUAAAAUAAUAUAUGAGAGAUGUCCUGGGCAAUGAAUCAUUAAUAAAUUUGGUGCCAAAUUAUCAUGAAACGUCAAUGAUACCCAUGAGAAAUUUCAAUUUUCAUUUACUGUAUCACUUUAAAAAAUAUAAUUAAAUUUAAAAAAAAAAGUUCAUCUCUGCUGAUAUUAUCAUUGAAUCAAACGGUUAUAUUUCCAAAAAAAUUGGAUAUAAAUUCAUCACCUGUUAAGUCAAUAUUAAAAAGUAAUGUGGUGGUAGGAAUCCAUGCAUUUAUACUGUGAUAAAUAAAUAGUGUGUUUUUUAUUCAAAGCAUUGGAAAGAAACUAUAAAAAUAAAAGAUUAAAGUGAACUUCUUUUGUUUUUAAUUGGACUUUCAAUUUAUCUUAAUAAUCUAUUGUCUUUUGUUUUAAUUUAAGUUCCAUAAAUGUUUUAAUAAUUGACCAAAUUAUUUAGAAUUAGACAUUUACUCUAGGGGAAGCGUGAUUUUUUUUAAAAAAAAAUUAAUGGUCGCGCUUCAUAAUUUUAUAAUGAAGUUGGGACACUUUCUUGGGGUAAAUAAUAAAUUAUUACAUAUGUAAAAUGCAGUAGAAGUAGCAGUUCCAAGUGCUACAAAAGACUAUAACAGUAGCACUUUCUUAAUGAUUUAAAUGCCGUUAAAUAGCAGCUUUUAAAUGUUACUGAGGUUUAAAAUGGCAGCAUUUGUUUAAAGCAAUCACGUGUGAUUGUGUAGCUUUUUUACAAUUUACAGUGUCAAAUUUGUAGCGUUCGACAAAUGCUAAUAAAUUGUUAAGACUAUUUAGGAACAUGGGCUAACAUAGUCUUGCUUAAAACCCUAUCAUCGAUCAAUUUGUUGUGAGUGCGCGCGGGCCCCAAGUGAUCCUAUACUAGAUAUGUACCAAGGUGGAGUGACUCGAAACGCAAAAAGCUUAAAAAGAUUCUCUCCUUUCAACUUUCUCGACACUUUGUUUGCCAGUCAGCACCGCCUCUUCAACCUUCCCCCCAUCCUCUCCACUCUGCAUGCAACCUAAAAUCUAUGCAUCAUUCGUUUAUCAUUGUUGACAUGUUAAGUUUUGGACGGCAGAAUGGGACCUACUACGGCGAAUAAAUAGCAGUCAGAAGUCAAUUCUCUGUCAAUUUGACCCACAUCAAACGACAAAGAAAAUAAGAAAAGUGGUCUACAUCAAAGCUGUUGCUUUUCGCUUCUCUUUUACGAAGACUCCCCAUGGCUCUUCAGUUGAGAAAAAACAAGACGUGCGAUGCCGAUUCGGAACAGCAAGGACUGCCGUGGUCAUAGUAAUAAUGCACAAAUCUUACUAAAAACAAGCACUCAAAUAAAAAAUUGCGGUUUGCAUAUAAAAUUUCUAGGCUUGGUAUGCUUAACAGCUACUUGACUGAAUCUUGUUUGACUUUUAUUGUGUCAGCCAAACUUUCGUUGGNNNNNNNNNNNNNNNNNNNNNNNNNNNNNNNNNNNNNNNNNNNNNNNNNNNNNNNNNNNNNNNNNNNNNNNNNNNNNNNNNNNNNNNNNNNNNNNNNNNNUUUUUUUUUUUUUUUUUGGGGGGGGGUGGGGGGGGGGGGGGGUUUGUGUGUGUAUAUAUAUUUUAAUUUGAAAUUUUAAAAUACGGAAAAGUUUAAAUAAGAUUAGAGUUAAUAUCUCUAUGUGUGUGCAGUGGCAGUGCCAAAAAUUAUUUUUAGCAGGGGCUAAGUUCAAAUAGUAAUUUAAUUUAACAAAGUAGUCAAUAAAUAACAUAUAUCAAAAUAAAAUUUAUUAAAGUAUUUAAUUCACUACACUUAUAAUUGUCCUCGACGAGGUUUCAUAUAUUGAAAACAUUGAAUAAUAACCUCAUUAUCAAGACUACAAAAUAUAUCUUUUUCUAUGUAUACAACAAGACUAUCAUUCAACCAUUGAUCUCCCAUCGGAUUUCGCAGACAAUUUUUCAUAAAAUUCAUAGCUGAAAAUGUCAUUUCUAUUGUAGCUGUGGCAACUGGUAAAAUCAAUGUUAAUGUCACUAAUAAAUAAACUAAUAAAUAUAAUUGAUCCUUCUUAGUCUCAACCAAUUUUCUUGAUAGCUCACCAAUCCCUUUCAAUCUAAAAAUUUGUCAAAACCCACAUUCAUAAUAUAAACAUCAAGUUGAGUUUCAAGUGCCACAAGAUUCACUAGAGAAAAAUUAUUUGGAUAAAACUUAGCUAGGCAAAAAAUCGAUGGUGGUGGUUACAAAUUUGAUUUUAAGUUUUUUUUAGGGAUUUUUAGUCGCUGUAUUAAACAUUGGUCUUUUAGUUAUUUUAAAAAUUUAACAAGGACUUUAUUGUAAAUCCACUAAAAAAUAAAAUGAACUUAGUUUUUUUUAAAAAAAAAGCUAGCAGUGGCUCAACAAGUGGCACUGCCACUCUGUGUGUGUGUGUAUGUAUGUAUAAAAUAGGGGUGGGCAGGGUCGGGUUGUUAUCAGGUUGAAAUUUUUUAACCCGACCCAACCCAUUGCAUAUCAGUCGGGUUGGGUUGAUUGGGUUGGGCUUUUGAAAAAAAUUAUUUUUAUAGUCUAAUUAAAUAGUAAACAAAAAUUAAUUAAUUAAUUAGAAAAACUAAAAAAAUACAAAUAUUAAAAUUCUUAGAACAAAUUUCACAUUUCAAAGUUUUUAUAUUUAUAUUUUUUUAAUUUUUAUAUGAAAUAUCAAAUUUAUAUAAUAAUUUCUAUAUAUAUACAGGUUGAAGGGUUGGAACCCACAAAAAAAUCACAUGGGUUGGGUUGGUUUUACGGGUUAGGCAGGUUGGUGCCCACCCUUAGUAUAAAAUAUCAUUCUUAGGUGUAAAUGCUUGCAUUUUUUUUAAUAUGCACACACUAUUACACUGUACAACUUAAUAAAGUUAAUUUUCAAUACAAUAUAAAAUUGUGCGAUAAUAAUAUUAAGAACUGACUCUAUUAAACCGCACAGCUUAACAGUGUAUCCCUAUGAAAAAAAUGAUGACGCUCACACUAAAAAAAACUAUGUACACACAUACAAUCCCCCCCCCCCCCCCUCCUUUCAUUUAAGUUAUUUGAUUUAAUCUCAUGGUUUAAAUCAAUUCAUUGAAAUUAAAACUCACAAGUCACAACUUGUCUUCUUAUUUUUUACUUUCGCUUUCUUCGCAAUGACUCAUAGUAAAAAAUUCUCUUUCUUUCGUCGAAUGGCCUUCCCUCUCUAUGAUAGAGACUCUAUCAUAUGAGCUCAUGAUUUCUAAUUUUGCAUGAUUAAUAAAUUUUUUUCAUUUAUUAUGUUUGUGUUUUACGGAAGUUACAUGCUAAAUGGUGUCCUUUUGCACUUUCCAGUUUUCUUUUUACUGUUCUUGUCGUUUUUAGUAAUAUAACAAGAAGAAAUUAGUGUCAAAAGUUGCGGGCGGCUUUCUCUGUCCAAAAUUCUCUAAGCUUUUUAACGCUUAAAGAUUCCCUCUGCAUUUUUUCCUUCUAAAAUCAUAAAUAACUCUAGCUUUUUACGAAGUUUAGUUUGCAUUUUCCUCCUACUUAAUUGCUGCUAGUUGGAGGAACGAAGAGACGGUCAAGAUAAAAAGAAAAAGCUCCUUUACGCCCACCACCUUUAUCUCCCCGCAAAUGGGCAAUUGGAAAUUUUUGGCUUUGCAAAUUUUCCAAUAUUUGAAUAUCCAAUUGCAGAACACCGAUAUUGCGAGGGAAAAAAGAAAAAGAAAAAGAAAAAUUAGACAAAACGUUAAUCAAAUGAACUAUAAUGACAUAUGUUUUAAAAGAAAAAGACAAAAUAAUAUAUUGCUACUAUAAUAUGCCACAUUUCAUAACUUAUAUUAUUAAGUUUUAGUCUCUUUAACAUUUUUCUUAACUUAUCAAAGAAGGAUGCAACAGACUUUAGAUUCUUCUAUUUUGAAUUCAUGCAUCUGUCAUGAUUAGAGGUAGAGACAGAAAAUUGAGUCAUAGGGUCAAUAUUAUUUUAAUUGCGUUGGAAAAAUUAAAAUUGAAAAAGUUACAGAUUGACCUACGAUUAAGAGUGAACACAAGAAUAUGAUUUUAAUUUGCUCCACGUCAUCGCAUUGGCAGUCGUCGCCGUCUCUGUUGGGGAGUGAAGACGCGCAGCGUGUGGCCGGAUGCGCGGUGCAUGCAAUCUCAACGAGAAACCACGUGCUCACGCGCAUUAAGAGGCCACACUGACAGCGGUGAGUGAGUCAUCAUGACUUUUGGUCUACAACUUAAGUAACGCUGGCAAAAUUUGAGACUGACUUGAUCACUCAGCACAAGCAUAAUAUAAGUAGGAUGUUCAAUUUCACAUUAUUAUUAAAGGGAUUGGAUCGGGUCGACAUGAUUUUUUUCGUUAGAGUUAAAAUUCUUGACUCAUUUAACAUAAUUCUCUUUUUUAAUUUUUUUGGAGAGAGUGGGGGAAAGGAAAAUGAUGAACAUAUACAUAGUGUUUCAUUUAUAAAAUUUUAUAUAGAUUUAAGAUUUCAAUACUAUAAUUUUGUGAAAUAUUUGUAGACAUAUAUAUUUCAUUUUUUUCCCAUUUCUUCUUCCACUCUCUGCCUCUCUUUCUCUGUGAUGAGUCUAAUGGUGGUUUCAAUUAUUAAUGAAGGUUGCUGAUGAAGAGAAAUUAAUAGUGGAGAGGGAUGGAUUCAAAGGAAAUUUACUUUUUAUUUUGUUAAUCCUUUUAUCAUGAAAGUAUUAAUUACUAUGAGAUGAUAUUAUAAAGAAUAUCCUUGAAAAUUUUGUUGAUGAUUAAUAUCCUUGAAGGUUACUAUAAAAUCCUUAAUUAAUUUUUAUCAUAAUUAUUAUUUUGUAUUUUAAUUAUUGUGAU
rnacentral:lncRNA from 1 species